CCAGGAAGGAUGAUGCGGUGAACUUGAUAUGGCGGCAGGUGAGGCACAAAAUCCCCGCAGUUAAUCUUGCGAUUCACAGGAGUAGGAGAUUAAAAGUCCCAGACUGGUGGUGAGGAUUUGGUGAAUCGUGUACAUAUUAUCAUAUUGAUGGCGAACCGGCAUCAUUCAUAUGGUUCACGACGAAGCCAUGGCGGUCAUUCCUUGUGCACCAUGACACUGGAUCCAGGAAGAUGUUCUAACAGGCACUAACAUUUUUGCCCCUUUUCGUUGAUCUUACGACACUGUAACCAUUACCCCCCUUGAGGUCAUGAUAUAGUGAGAACGUGUGCAUUAGAAAACACACUUACAAACAUGUGUACCAAUAGACUGGAUGUUGCAAUGUAUUCAAGUAGAUAUAAUUUUUCUUACUACUUCUUGAGCCCUUUAACAGCCAAGGUAUCUUUUUUUGUUGUUGGUUGUUUUUGAGAUAGCUAACCACUCAUUUCAAGUGGUAACAGCCAAGGUAUCUUUUGAUACGUUCGUUCUGUGUUGUUUCCUGUGAGAAAUGCUCUGGGUGGCUGGGAUCAACUGUUGGCCUGCUUAUCUCAUUGACUUGUUAGUAGUGGUAGCACAGUAGGUUUUCAGGAAGUGAAUCAGGAUGUAAGAAUUUUAUAUGGUGGGGAACAAACUGACUAUGGUGUGGACUGUGGAGAACACUUUUAUCAUGGGCUACUAAUUUUUAGCUUGUCAUGUCUGUCCUGUUUGCAGCAAUUUCUUGGUGGGGAUUGUGGAGAAGUAAUUGGUGGCUGUGUUUCCUCCAACAUCCAGACUGACAAGAAAAAUCCCUGCAGUUAAUUUUGCGAUUCAGAGGAGUAUAUAGGAGAUUAAAAGUCCCAGACUGCUGGUGAGGAUUUGGUGAAUCGUGUACAUAUUAUCAUAUCGAUGGCAAAACCGGCAUCAUUCAUAUGGUUCAUGACGAAGCCAUGGGUGUGCGCCAUGACACUGGGUCACAGGAAGGACUUGCCAAAUUUAUAUAUAUAUAUUCAGAGGGUCAAAAUGGAUUUGAUCAAACCAACUCCACUUUCGAUUUCUAUUUGGAAUUCAGACUACUAAAGCUCGUCUGCAAGAUGGGCCCACCUAGAAGCUCUCAUGGACUGUAAACAGCAAAUGCCAAGGACUAAUUUGCAUAUAUAUCCAGAGGGUCAAAAUUUAAUUUAAGAUUUGGUUGGGGUGCGCCUGCCCAGGCAGUAGUGCAACGCACUGGACGACACCCGAGGGCCCCAGUGGCAAGCCACUGUGGUGGGCCCUCCCCCACAAAAAAUAAAUUUAAUAUCGUUAUGGGCACAUGGCCCACAUAUCAGAUAUUAAACUGAUAAGAACAGAUACUACACUUGAUCUUAGCCAAAAGGCCGAGAAAGGUAUGAGUUGCAGCGUUGCUCUGCCCCUCUAUUUGUAGCCUACUCGCCCUCCCGUCCCCUCUUCGCUAGGCGAGGUGGUACUAAACGAGUCGCCUCUCUCGCGCGGCUGCGGAGCGCGGACGCUGCGCUGCGUGCCCCCCGACCCCGAGCCAGCCUCUUUGUUGCAUGGGCCUCAAGCGAGACGGCCUUUCCGAUGAGGCCUGUAUUAUGGGCCUGAUUUGCUCUCGGCUCUUGGAGGCCGGGCCCUGUCGGAGCGUGUUCUGAAGCCUGACGGUCCUGCAUGUUAUAUGUAUGGCUGGCUGAGGCGCUGCACUGCACUGCACGGUGAGACGAGACAACCGGCGAGGCGGACUCGAUCGACCGGCAAACUCCCCGGGAAUGCAGUCGUCGUGAUCGAUCGUUAUGUGCGUUCUUUUGCAGAAUAUAUACUCUACUACUAGUGUGUAGCUCUGCACAACAGAAGCGACGUUUGAAGAUGCAAGGUAGCAUCCAUCCAUCAAGGAAUAGUAGUAAAAUGUGCAUGCAAUAAAUAGAAAAACACCGCAGAUAUAUAACAACAACAACAAAAUGCACUCCUAAUAGUUAUCCCCUUCCCCACGGAUCAUAUUAGACUAUCCCAGAAUGAUUCUCAUCCUCUAGAGUCUAGAUUGUUCUAUAUCAAUGUUUGAUGUCAUACUUCAAUGUGAAUCACCAGUUUUUUUUUCCGAAAAAGAUUCAACUCUAUUAGUUCAUCAAAAGUACAAAGCACCUCGAACAUAAUAGAAAUUUACAUCGAGGUCGGUCUCUAGACCACCGAAUGACAACUACCGCCAUCAGAACGAGCCGCCAACAUGCCGCUCCUCUACUGGAGCCGGCAUGACAUUAUCGAUGACAUUCAGGAAGUCUUCAUGCACGUUCCCCUAAGAACUAGUACCAUGGAGCCGCAGUCGUCGUCGUUGAACUGUCGAACAUAUCUGAAGGAACUGGCACCAAAUCUUGCCGGCGCAUGCACGAGAAGAAACUCUAACCUCGUCGCCCCAAGGAAACGACAUAAAUCUACGUCGAAGCUCUGUCGACUGCGUCCAGAUGGACGAACUCGAGGAGAAUCAGAGGACGGAAAACAAACUCGAAGAAGAAGCAUCGUCAUCCACCAGAGCGCCGCACCAGUGAGGACCGAAGAAAAGCUAACCUAAAAUACUAACCGAAGCAAAGGCACCGGGAGUGAAUCGCCGGUUUAUGAUGUGCUACUGAAAUUAUUGAUCUCACCAACAAAUGAUAUUAACCUACGACAUAUCGACAUAUAAGCUUGUGAUUCAACUAAUAAUUUAAAAAUAACAUAAUUAUCAUAAUCCACAAAUUUGUGCUCGUGUUGAUUGUCACACCUCCCAAGCUUUACCAUGCCUAUUACACAAUAUCAUGGACAUAAGAGAGUAUCUCGUGUUUGCUUCCAUGCUACUAAUGUCUCUUUUUAUUAGAGAAUCCUAUAAGCAUGGGAAAUGAAGCUUCUAGAAUACAUGGGAUGAUAGAGUGGGGGAUCAAUUAGAAGGCGAUGUGGCAGAAUCCUAUGGGUUUAGAAAUUAUCUAACGAAUGGCAAUGCUCAGAUUUUCCAUAUCUCAACCGUUCGAUGGAGCAUUUUCAACACUAAUGUUUGAAGUUAUUGUCACACUACAUAGUAGUAUAGAGGUAUAGAUAUAUGACAAAUCGUUCUUCCCUUCGAUGAGCUGGAUCAAACAUGUGUUUCUUACCUUGGUUCUGAUCAUACGUGGUUGCUUGUUUAUCUCUUGUUGAUGUUUUAAUGGUGGCCAGAAACAUUCAAGAACUAAGAGCAACACUAGCAGGGUCACCAAAAUGUUUGAUUGUCAUAGUAAUCGUCAAUAUGACAAUUUUGAGAAAAACACCACUCUAGCAGAGUCGCCAUCCGACCGAAUCAUCAUAAUUCAUGGAGGGAACUCCAUACUAAGUUAGCGAUUACCUAUAUUUUGAGGUUGUGGGGCUUCGUUUGGAGGGCAGGCGGCCAAACGCCCACCGCGACGCGAGAUAAUGAACUGUGGUCACGACAUGUCCAACUAGUCGCGCCCCUUCCCGCUACCGCGCCCCAUGUUUUCUCACUGCCUGCCGUUGUAAAAAAGCAUGGCUCUCUUUCUCUACACUACCACCAUCCGUGCCUCGCAAACUCUUCUUUCUCUGCACUUACACCCUAUCGGUUCCCCUUGACCAAAAUGGGUUCUGCUCUCGGAGGAGAAGAAAUGAAUGCUCGACAAGGAGGAAGUCGUUGGAAUCGCUGAGGAUGAGUGUGAUCGCGGCGACGCGGAGGAGGCCAUGCAAUAGGAUCCCGCCCUCCUCAACAGGUGCCUAGUUUCUAAUCUGAAACACAUGUUGGUGUUUGGGAUGUCAAGCACGAAUACAUGUAUAUAUCCCGUCUGGGUAGGAGAGGCCUUACACACGCAACUUAUAUCGGCCACCACAUGCUCCUUGAUGCCUCACUAUUAAGGAGGCAUGAGAAGGCAUGAGACGAGCGCUACACUGUCAACGUGUCGAACUUCCACCACAAGAAAUAUUUGAGCAGACCACCGGUUGGCGGAGGCUGACGUUUGAGAGCAACAACACCAUACUGCGAGGAGGCACGAUAAGAUUUCGCAGCGGAGAGCACGAAAGCGCGUCAGAUGAUGCCAAUUCAAUGUCAAUAUUGAGGCGACGACUCAUGCAAUAUUGGUCUUGCCCCCUUGAGAAAGUCAUUGAUGGAAAUAUGCCUAGAGGCAAUAAUAAAGUUGUUAUUAUUAUAUUUCCUUAUUCAUGAUAAAGGUUUAUUAUUCAUGCUAGAAUUGUAUUGAUCGAAAACUUAAAUACAUGUGUGGAUACAUAAACAAAUAUUAUGUCCCUAGUGAGCCUCUACUAGACUAGCUCGUUGAUCAAAAGAUGGUUAAGGUUUCCUAACCAUAGACAUAUGUUGUCACUUGAUAACGGGAUCACAUCAUUAGAAGAAUGAUGUGAUGGACAAGACCCAUUUGUUAGCUUAGCAUUUGAUCAUUCAAUUUAUUGCUAUUGCUUUCUUAAUGUCAAAUACACAUUCCUUCGAUUAUGAGAUCAUGCAACUCCCGGAUACCGGAGGAAUACAUUGUGUAAUAUCAAACAUCACAACAUAACUGGGUGAUCAUAAAGAUGCUCUACAGGUAUCUCCGAAGGUGUCUAUUGAGUUGGCAUGGAUCGAGAUUAGAAUUUGUCACUCCGUAUAUCAGAGAGGUAUCUUUGGGCCCUCCCGGUAAUACACAUCACAAGUAGCUUGCAAGCAAAGUGACUAAGGAGUUAGUUACGAUUUGAUGUAUUACAGAACGAGUAAAGAGACUUGCCGGUAACGAGAUUGAACUAGGUAUGAAGAUCCUGAUGAUCAAAUCUCAGACAAGUAACAUACAGACAGACAAAGGGAGUUACAUAUGUCGUCAUUAGGUUCGACCGAUAAAGAUCUUCGUAGAAUAUGUAGGAACCAAUAUGGGCAUCCAGGUUCCGCUAUUGGUAAUUGACCAGAGAGGCGUCUCGGUCAUGUCUACAUCAUUCUCGAACCCGUAGGGUCCGCACGCUUAACGUUCGUUGACGAUAUAGUGUUAUAUGAGUUAUGUGAUUUGGUGACCGAAUGUUGUUCGGAGUCCCGAAUGAGAUCACGGACAUGGAGCUCCAUAAUAGUCUGGAGGAAAAUAUUGAUAUAUAGGACGGUGGUAUUUGGACACCGAAAAGGUUUCGGAGUGAACCGAUGAAAGGAUCUAGAUGACGACUAGAGGGGAGGGUGAAUAGGCAUUUUUAAACUUUUACAGAUUUGGCUUUAUUCUAAUGAGGAAUUAAACUAACGGAUACUUUUCAAGCACAAAUCCUAAAUAUGCUAGGCACAACUAGGUGCACCAACAACCUACGCUAAACAAGAUAGGAACUUAAGCAAACUAGCAAGCACAAGCUAUAUCACAAGAUAUGGAAAUGUAUGAACAACUAAGCAAUUCAACUAGCACAAGAUAUAUCAAUAUGAGCAAGUAUGAAUUGCAGAAAGUAAAGAGUGUGGGUAUGAGAUAACCACAAGUGAGUCAGGGACGCGAAUUUAUCCCGAAGUUCACACUCGUAAGAGUGCUAAUCUCCAUUGGAGCAGUGCCGAAGCCAAAGCUUUGGGGCGUCACCAAGUGACUCACCGUAUUCUCCCUUUCGAGUCACCCCCAACGGAUGAGACUCGAUCCACUCGGGGUUGGUCUUGAAGGCGACCACCACACCUUUACAAUCUUCUCCGGAGCACACCACAAACACGGAAGCUUCCGGAGGAACUUGACCACCUAGUCCACUUCAACACCCUUCCCCGGAGCACACCACAAAAGGAAGCUUCCCGAGGAAUCUUGGCCACAUAGCCUCUUCACAAUCUUCUCAAUGUAUCACCAAACCGUCUAGGAGGCAGAAGCCUCCAAGAGUAAUAAACUCACGGGCUCUCACUCGAACUAAUCGAUGUGGGGAGCUCAAACCAAUGCAAGAAAUGCAAUGCAAGGUCAAGCAACAAAUGCUCAACUCACUCUCUCAAUCUCACAAGAUGCACUCUCGAAACACUACAAAAAAAUACACUUCCGUGAUGAUACAUGUUUGUCACAAUAGGUUGCGUUUUUUGUCAUGCAUGUACAUCCAUGACGAUUUUAUGACAGAAUCGAGAUAGUCAUACAUAUGCUGUCGUAGAAGUGUUCCAUGACAUUACCAAAAUUAUCAUCACGGAAGUGUCCACUUCCAUGACGAUAAAUCGCGCGUCACAAAAGUGCUUUCGUCAAGGGUGACCGACACGUGGCAUCCACCAUAACGGAACGCCGUUAAGCUAUCGGGUUCGAUUUUGGAUCCCAUAAUCCGUUAACAGCCCAGACCAAUGGGGAUUUUCCACGUGUAAAAUCAUCAUUGGCCGCAGGAAACACGUGUUGCCUCACCGUUGGGACAGAUGUCAUCCACUCAUUGGACAAGAGGCGCCUAUGAUAGGUCGACACGUGGCACGGCCCAACAGUGGCCCAUUCCGGUGAAAAAGGUCGGCCCAGUAAAAAUUAGCAGGCCGGCCCAUAUAAGGCCUACUUGUGUCAGGUCCAUUUAAGCCCACGGCCUUUACGAGAUGUGCCAAUUCGGCCCAUCAACGGCCCGUUAAACAUUUGACACCAUUGCAGCCCAUCGUCAGUUCGAGCCCGUUAACAGCCCGCUAUAUAUUUGGGCUCAAUAUCAGCCCGAUGAGAUUUUGGCCUGUUAACGACCCAUUCAAUGGAUGAGCCAAUUUUCAGGAUGUACAUCUUUCGGCCUUUUAGCGACCCAUUUAAAUGUUGGGCUAAUUUCCGGCCCAGUGUGUCUUUCAGCCUGUUGAUGACCCAUAAAUCUGAUGGGCCAUUUGUAGUUGGACCUGAGUUUUGGCCUUUUAGCGACCCAUUUAAGUGUUGGGCCAAUUCCCGGCCCUAUGUGCCUUUCGGCCUAUUAACGGACCAUAAAUGAGUUGGGCCAUUUGUAGUCGGACCUUAGUUUUGGCCUUUUAACGGCCCAUACCCUUCAUGGUCCAAUACCAACCCGAUUUCUCUUUCGGCCUGCUAAAGGCCCACAACACAGUUGGGCCAUUUACAAUACGACCUGACUUUCGGCCUCUUAGCGGCCCAUGCUCUUCAUGGUCCAGUACAAGCCUGUUGUCUCUUUCGGCCUGCUAAAGGCCUACAGUAUAGUUGGGCCAUAUGUAGACCAAACUUAGUAACAGCCUGUUAACGGCCCAUGAAAUAAAUUGGGCCCACCUGUUGCCCGCUUCGAUGUCUGUCACACCCUAGCUAGUCAUGCAUUAGAGUGUUGCAUCAUGUUUACUUUUUCAUCAGAAACUUGAAAUGGGGAUGACAGAACCCCCAGCCCCGUCUGAAACCAACUAGGGUUACUAAAAUAAUUUUUCAAUGAACCUGAAAUGCCCUUCUAAAAUGUCCAUCAUUUUAGCCUUGGUUCAGAACCUCUGACAAAAGUGGUGCACAUUUUUCUAGGCCAUCAUAGGGUCUUUGAAUUAAAUCAUAGAUAUUUGAAAUUGGGCAUUUAAAAUAAUAUAAAAUAUUUAAAUGCUCAAAUAUCUCCAAACUAAAAUGUUUCAUGUUGGAAAUAAUCCAACUAUGGACCAGGAGUAGUUUGGUGAAUUUUGGAGUUGCCUAGGUAUUUUAAUUAAUUCAACAAAGUUGCAGAUAUAUUAAAUAAAACAGAAAACAGAAAAGAAAGGGGAAAGACUUACCUGUGCGGCCCAGCCAGCUGGCCGGCCCAGCUAGCAACCGACCCAGCCCAACACUGUAGCUCCCCGUCGUCUUCCUCCCCACGCCCCGAAGCUGCUGCGUGCUCGCGCGCGCGCGGCCGCGCGGCCACCUCCUGCUUGCCGACGCCCUCCUGACCGCGUGGACGACGUCCGCAGCCCGUCCCGAUCCCCCCUGCUCUCGCUCACUCUCCCCCGUUUCUCCCUCGCUCUCUCUCGCUCUCGGCCGAAGCACACCGUCGCCGCCGUUCGCCGUAGCCACUGUCUCCGGCCACCCCUCGCUCCCCCGAGUAGCUCAGAAGCUCCGCCACAACUCCCUCUUCCUCCCCACCGCUCCACGAGUCCCCGGAAGCCCUGCAUCGCCGCCACGUCGCCGUUCCCCUCUUCGGGCUCCGACCACCGUCGCCGACGAAUUCGCCGUCUCCAGCGCGUCCCCGAGCCCGCUUCGACGCCCACCGCAACCGCGGUGAGCUACGCCACUGUUUCCCCCUCUUCUCCCCCUCGUUCCCUCACCGUAGCUUCAUCUCCACCACGGCCGAACCUCCGCCGUCGCCGAGCUCGCCGUCGACGCAGCUCCGGUGACCAUUUGGUCACCCCGGCGAGUCCAACGCGUUCACAGAACCCAGUAGAGCAUCCCUAGCGCCCCACUUUGCUCGACUUCGAGCUCCAGCACCACUCCUGUGCACGACCGAACCCCGGCGGCCGCAGCCGAGCUCACCGCCGUCAACUCCGGCCACCCCGACCCCAACGGACUCCGCCAAGAGCCGCGGGUCGUCCUCAGCUUCACUCUGGUGAUCGCCGCGGUCCAUUUGGUGGCCGAAACGACCAAAACCACUAUCGCCGCCGCACUGUUGGUCGCCGCCGGCCAGAACUCCGGCGAGCUGACGUGGCCUAGUUGAUUAACCACUAAUCCACCACCUACUGACGCUGACAAGUGGGCCCCAGGGCUUAGUCAAAGCUAACCAGCCCGGGGUCAACGCGGGAUUAGCCCCUGUGACACUGACGUGUGGACCCCACACGUCAGGUUUGACCCGAGCCAGCCCUGUUGACCUGCUGAUGUCACUGUGAUGUCAGGCUGACGCAGUAAUUGAAUUUCUGGAUUUAAAUUAAAUCAGGAAAUUCUAGAAUAUUAUUUAAACUUCAAAAAUUCAUAACUUUUAUUCUGUAACUCCAAAUUGGACAAAUUAUAUAUGAAAAAUGAUCAGAAAAAUCCAAUCUAUCCAUCUGUACUAUUUUCAUGCAUGAUCAAACAAGUUAAAUUGAUGUUUUAAUCAGAAUAAGAAAAGGCACUUUAAAAGGCCAUAUUUGAAUUUGGAAUUUGAAUCUUUGAUUCAAAUUUGCUCAAACCCUACUGGCUUUAGUUGCAUUAGCCCAACACACUCAUAUUGCCAUGUUUCAUGCAUGCAUCAUAUUGUUGCACAUUGUUUGGUGAUGCCUGUGUAUCGUUAUCCUUUGCGACAGGAUCUGUCCCCGAGGAGUAUCGUGAUUACCCUAACGAAGAGUCGUAUCCGUGCAACGAAUCAUCAGGCAAGCAACCAACCAUUUGAUCAUAUCGAUACAAUCCCAUGUUCUCGCUCCUGCUCUCUUUUACUGCAUUAAGACAACGCGAUUCAAACUGCUGUGUGCUACGGUAGUUGAACCCAUUUCCUCUGCAUGACCUGUCAUUGCCACAGUAACUAGAUGAAACCCACUAGCAUGUGUAGGAGUUGUUUGAGCCAUAUGUAUGUGUUGUUCCUACCUUGCUAUGCCUGCUAUGCUUAGAGUCGUGUCAGGUCUGGUUCAUCUGGGUGAUGGGCUAGAGUGAAAUGAUUAUGUCGGUAAUGAGAGUGGUGUGGUGAACACGAUUUGGUAAAGGUAUCGAUGAGAGGCCAUGUAGGAGUACAUGGUGGGUUGUUUCAUUGAAGCCGACCUUAAGCACUGAGAUCUGUAUGUGUGAUUUAAGAUUCAGCUACUACCAUGCAUUGGGCCCGAAACCAAUGGACCCUCUCGACUUCUUAUUCACCCUAGUUCUCCGUCCAGGAGUUGCAAGUAGUUUCUGGUGUUUGUAGCCUACUGGAGGCCGUGGACAGCGCUGACCGUAGGGGUGGGCUGUGAUGCGGUAGGUACGUGGCCGGGUGUACCGAAUACCCGUUAGGUAUCUCGGGAACCCUGUUCACAUCGUUCGGGGCCGUAUGGGAAACCUCGGCCGGACUCCCUGCGGAUGGAACCUGAAUAGGCGAUAAACCUGGACUGGAGACUUAGGUGAUUAGGUAGGUCGUGGCCGACACCCACGUUGGGCUUCCGCUUGAAGGUUGCCGAGUACAUGUCGUGUAAACGACGGUAAGUGGUGAGAGCGUGUAUGAAGAAGUACCCCUGCAGGGUUAACAUGAUCUAUUCGAAUAGCCGCGUCCGCGGUAAAGGACUACUUGGUUGCCUAUACAGUUCAUAGACAAGUAAAUGGAAACUACUAAAAGCCUCAAGAUAAGUGUGAGUGCCGAGGAUGGCUCUUCCGUAGGAAGACGGAGGUGGAUCCUCGGUAGUGUAUUGAAGUGGUGAAUAGUGGACUCGUGUGCGCAAAACUGUUUCAAAUGGAGUAUCGUAGGAUAGUCUAGCCAAGAGUCAAAGCUGGCUUGCUGCAAUAACUCCACCAACCCCUCUUGAUACUAUGCAUGUAUGUAGGAUCUGAUGUAAGUCUUGCUGAGUACCUUUGUACUCAUGUUGCUAUAAUCUACAUUUUUACAGAAGACGCUGCAACCCCUUCUGAUGGGUUCUAUGUAGACGUUGACAUCAACGAGUAGGCUAAAGACCCAGGUGGUGACCCUGAGCUUGUGAAGGACCACGUAGUAUAGCUAGGCUUUCCAAGCCUCUUUUAUUUUACUAGUUGUCUGUACUCAGACAAGUUACUUCCGCUGUUGGCUUGUAUGAUUGUAUGACUUGUAUGUUGGGUCGUGAGACCCGUACCUUUGUGUGUAUGAUAUGUAUGGCUCCCUGAGCCUUAAAUAAAGUACUUGUGUCGUAGAGUCAUGUUGUGAUGCUUCGUUGUAUUUGCACAUAUCGAGCAUAUUGUGUGUAUGAUUGAAAUGCUUGGUAUGUGUGGGAUCUGACUAUCUAGUUGUUUAUCUUUAGUAGCCUCUCUUACCGGGAAAUGUCUCCUAGUGUUACCGCUGAGCCAUGGUAGCUUGCUACUGCUCUGGAACACUUAGGCUGGCCGGCAUGUGUCCUUCUUCGUUCCUGUGUCUGUCCCUUCGGGGAAAUGUCACGCUUUGAGUACCGGAGUCCUGUUAGCCCGCUACAGCCCGGUUUACCGGAGUCCUGCUAGCCCAGUGCUACAGCCCGGACCCACUUGCUGAUGACCGACAUGUUCGAAGCUGGGUCAUGGAUGCCUGUCCCUGUAAGUCUGUGCCACUUUGGGUUUACGACUAGUCAUGUCAGCCUGGGCUCUUUAUCAUAUGGAUGCUAGCGACACUAUCAUAUACGUGAGCCAAAAGGCGCAAACGGUCCCGGGAAAAGGUAAGACGACACCCGUGGGGAUACCGUGCGUGAGGCCGCAAAGUGAUAUGAGGUGUUACCAGCUAGAUCGAUGUGACAUCGAGUCGGGGUCCUGACAGCGUUGGCAUCAGAGCCGGACUGCCUGUAGGUUCUCUAAGCCAAACUGGUCGAUGUUGAGUCUAGAAAUUCUUAGUUAUAUGUAGGGGAAUUGUUUGUGGGUUGGAACGUAAGGCUCUUUUUACUCCUUAUACCUUAUGACAUUCUGAUCUGAGUCAGUCCAUUCUUCCACCGGGGGUUAAGGAAUUAGGAUCUGUUCUCUCUAUCAGGAUCACGUGUUACUAAUCAGUAGUACCUUAUAAGUUUGAUGGAUACAAGCCUAGUUCAGUUCUACUACCACAUUGUGUUGUUAGAAUGGAUUCAGAACUUGAUAUGAUGAUGUUGGGUGUGUACGAAAUCUUUUGUCAAAUGUCUCAAUAUCCUUUUUGAGCAUUUACAGCUGUUAUGCUGCCGAAAUUUUGCUAGAAAUUCUAAUGCCUUUGCAUUAUAAUUGUGCUUUCAGAUGGCCACUCGCGACCUCAAUCAAGUGGUUCGCCUGACUCGAUGCCUAGAUGUACCCGGCCAUACUGCUAAGUUGGUUAGGGUAAUGACUGAGGCUGGAUACCGCUGGUAUCCUGAGUACACGGUCGAAGAGCAAUUCCGAGACUUUAAUCAAAGCCAGUAUCUCUGCACUGUCAGGAUAUUUCCAUCCUAUCCUGGAUCCACUGAGCCUCUUCACUGCUCCUAUGGACUCGGGAUUACUAUUGAGAUGGCUGUGCAGGACGCCGCCUACUCUAUGAUGACCAUUAUGCGAGUCAGAUCUGGUCUAUUUCGGGACUCUGAUUUCCGGUAUAUGCCAGGAUCACUUCCGGGAGCACAAGGAUAUCUCCAAGCUAUCUAUGCUGAUUCUACUCAGGAGGAUUCACGGACUCGCACCACUGCUGAGAUGCUCGAGGAUAAGGACCGUGAAAAUCGGGCCUUAAGGUUAGAGCUCUUCAAUACCUGUGCCGACCACUGGGCCACUUUGACUCGGUUCGCACCGGCGGUGCAAGCUGGAUAUUCAGAUAUGCGCGAUCUCUAUCCAGUGAGAUCUGCUCUGCCGGACGUGAUGGUUUGGCGUGAUGUAGGAGGCAUCACCCCACCUCGCGGUCCCCGUAGGCCACCGUUUGUUGGUCCAAGGCCUCAUCCUAGCCCCUAUGGUCCACAAGCUCCGCGAGAUCGUCUGUUUCCGGAUGAACAUGUUGAGCUUCCAGGCUAUGGAGGUGACUUCUACGAGGACUACUACGGAUCGGUCUGAGUUAGUAGUAGUAUCACUAGUUCGCACUAGCUGUGUCGUCUAUUGUCCUGCGUGUCUCGUGGGAUAUGACCUAGUUUGUACUCUUUCCGGAGAUGUAGAGAAAUAAUGUAUAGGAGCUUGGGAUGCCUCCGAUGAGAUGUAAUCCUCUUUUCACCGUAUUAGUACUUGCUUGGUCUUGUACUAAACCUGUAUGGUGUGUAUGACGAUGGAAUAAAGAAGCAGUUUCUGUAUCUACCAUGUCAUACGGAUGAUCAUCUUGCAUUCUGAAUUAUUCCUUACAUUGUGUAUCCUAUGUCGGAAUUUUAUCAUUCUGACUAAAUCAUUGUCUUGUUUACCUAGGAUGGUCAACACGCGCGCUAACCCUGCUUCCCAAGAGCAGGCCGAAGGCAGUGAAGCCAGAAAUGAACAUCUGCCUCAACCUCCUUCACUAGCCGAGGUUAUGAUGGAAGCUGAGAGAAACAAGCGGGAGACAAACCGGUUGUUGGAGCGUAUUGAACAGAACACAGCACACCAUCAGAGGGCUAACGUGGUGUCACUCAGUGAUUUUAUCAAAUUGCAUCCACCCACGUUCCACCACUCCGUCGAACCUCUCGACGCUGAUGACUGGCUUCGCAGUAUCUCUCACAAGCUGCGUUCCGGCGCUGGUAGCGGAGGCUGACAAGGUCACCUUGGCCGCAUAUCAUCUUGAAGGCCCCGCCAGUCUAUGGUGGGAGAAUUAUGGAGCUAUGCGCCCAGCGGGCCAUGUCACUACUUGGGCUGAGUUCAGUGAGGCUUUCCGUGAACAUCACAUUCCGGAGGGUCUCAUGGACCGUAAGCGUGAAGAAUUUUGCAAUUUCACCCAAGGCCGACUUUCUGUGGAUGUCUAUAGCAGGGAGUUUGGUAAUCUUGCACGGUAUGCAACCGAGGAAGUUUCUACUGACGCCAAGAAGCAAGCAAGGUUCCGCAAGGGCCUUAGUCCUGAGCUUCGCCGCGACCUCCGUCUGCAUGAGUGCACAUCCUUUUCGAAACUUGUCAACAAAGCCAUCAGUGCUGAAACUGGUCAGACUGACUACGACGCAACACGCAAGCAUGGACGUGACAUGGGUUCCUCAUCCGGUGCUGGUCCUCAGAAGCGUCGCAUGUGGGUACCCAACACCGCCCUGCCACCCAGGUUCACACCGAGGCCAUCUUUCCAGGCGCCUCGCCCCGCUCAACAGUCUGCUCCAGCCAAGCCCUAUGGGGGUCCAACCAAUAAUGCUCCUCCACGUACCAGUUCCGUGACUUGUUUCAAGUGUGGGGAAUCUGGUCAUUAUAUGCGUGAGUGUCCCCAGACCAACCCCAAUCAAUCUGCUAAAGCUGUUGGCCGUGGCAAGCCGACAGGAAAAGUGUUUCAUGCUAAACCGGUCACCGCUUCACGUGGCCAUGUCAACUGUGUCUCUGCCGAAGAAGCUCAAGAAGAUCCCAACGUCGUUCUCGGUACGCUUCUUGUUAAUUGCCACCCGGCAUCUGUUCUUUUCGAUACAGGAGCCUCUCAUUCUUUUAUAUCUGAAAAUUAUGCUCGUUUGCAUAACGAUGCAUUCUGUGACUUGCCAUCCACUAUGGAAAUCUCUACCCCUGGGUCUAGAUGGCAGACCUCUAGGGUAAGUUAUAGGAAUGAAAUCCAAGUCGAUAGACUUGUCUUCCUUGCAUCUUUGAUAGCCCUUAAAUCUUCAGAUAUUAAUAUCAUUUUGGGUAUGGACUGGAUGUCAGCUCAUCAUGCCAAAAUUGAUUGCUUCUCUAGGACUGUUCAACUCACCCACCCUUCGGGCAAGAUAGUCAAUGUCUUGACUCGAAUAGCCAAGCGACAACUAUAUUCUCUUAACGCCAACCCUUUGCCAGACCUUGAGGACGUUCCGGUAGUCCGUGACUUUCCGGAUGUCUUUCCAGAGGAAUUGCCAGGUGUUCCACCUGACAGGGAUGUUGAGUUCGUAAUCGACCUCAUCCCCGGAACCGUUCCGAUUGCUAGAAGGCCUUAUAAGAUGGCACCCCUAGAACUAGCCGAGCUUAAGAAACAACUCGAUGAAUCCUUGAAAAAGGGUUUCAUCCGACCUAGUUCAUCUUCGUGGGCUUGCCCCGUCCUAUUCGUCAAGAAGAAAGAUGGUACGGACCGGAUGGUUGUAGAUUACCGACCUGUCAAUUUGGUCACAAUCAAAAACAAAUAUCCACUUCCCAGGAUCAACGACCUGUAUGAUCAGCUCGCUGGAUCCUCAGUCUUUUCUAAGAUGGAUUUGAGGUUGGGCUACCAUCAAAUCAAAAUCAGAAACGGGGACAUUCCUAAAACGGCCUUUGUUACUCGUUAUGGCCAAUACGAGUACACCGUCAUGUCCUUCGGAUUAACCAACGCUCCAGCCACCUUUUCUCGGUUAAUGAACUCAAUCUUCAUGGAGUAUUUGGAUAAAUUCGUCGUAGUUUAUCUCGAUGAUAUACUCAUCUACUCCAAGAACGAGGAAGAACAUGCCGAACAUCUAAGACUAGUGUUGCAGAAACUUCGUGAGCAUCGCCUUUAUGCCAAAUUUUCAAAAUGUGAAUUCUGGUUGCCAGAAGUGACCUAUCUGGGUCAUGUAAUAUCUGGUAAAGGUAUUGUUGUUAACCCUGAGCGAGUUCAAGCCGUCCUUGAUUGGACUCCACCCGAAUCGGUCAAGCAAGUUCGGAGUUUUCUAGGCUUAGCGAGCUAUUGCCGUCGCUUUGUCGAGAACUUCUCCAAAGUUGCUAAACCUCUAACCGAACUCCUCAAGAAAGAUAAGAAGUUCGAAUGGACUCCACAAUGUGAGCACAGCUUUCAGGAACUGAAAAGACGCCUGACCUCUGCUCCCGUGCUGGUACCGCCAGACUUCUCCAAGGACUUUAUUACCUACUGCGACGCCUCGCGACAAGGACUAGGUUGCAUUCUUAUGCAAGAUCGACACGUAAUUGCUUACGCUUCACGGCAAUUGCACCCACAUGAGGAGAAUUAUCCUACUCAUGAUUUAGAACUUGCAGCCGUAGUCUAUGCACUUAAGACCUGGCGACAUUACCUUCUCGGUAAUCGUUGCGAAAUAUUUACUGAUCACCAAAGUCUGAAGUACAUCUUCACCCAACUGGAUCUGAAUCUCAGGCAAAGACGUUGGGUUGAAUUGAUCACAGACUUCGACUUAGGAAUAACCUACACCCCAGGGAAAGCCAACGUCAUGGCUGAUGCGCUAAGUCGUAAAUCUUAUUGUAACAACCUGAUGUUACAACAAAGUCAACCGCUUCUGCAUGAGGAAUUUCGAAAGCUUAACCUUCACAUUGUACCUCAAGGUUUUCUCUCCACCUUGGUGGCAAAACCUACCCUUACGGAUCAAAUCAUCAAAGCACAGAAGGUAGAUCCGGGAAUCUCCCGCAUCAAGAGAAACAUUCAGAAAGGAAUUGCGAAUUGUUUCUCCGUUAAUGAUCAAGGAGUUGUAUACUUCGGGAAUCGACUAGUAGUUCCCAAAGUGCGCAACCUAAGGCGAUUAAUCCUUAAGGAGGCCCAUGAAUCUCCUCUCACCAUUCAUCCCGGUAGUACUAAGAUGUAUCAGGACCUACGCCAGAGGUUCUGGUGGACUAGGAUGAAGAGAGAAAGUGCUCAGUAUAUUGCAAAUUGCGACGUCUGUCGUCGUGUAAAAGCAGAGCAUCAACGACCUGCUGGCACCCUUCAACCCUUAGCUAUUCCUGAAUGGAAAUGGGAUAAAAUUGGUAUGGAUUUCAUUACCGGUUUUCCCAGAACCAAGAGAGGGAAUAAUGCUAUUUUCGUCGUGGUCGAUCGUCUUUCCAAAGUAGCUCAUUUCCUACCUGUUCGUGAGAGUAUAACCGCUAGUCAGCUGGCAGACUUAUACAUCUCCCGGAUAGUGUCUCUCCAUGGUGUUCCUUUGGAAAUCAAUUCGGAUCGAGGAAGUCUUUUCACCUCUCGAUUUUGGGAAAGUUUCCAAAAUGCUAUGGGAACUCGUCUCUCUUUUAGCACCGCUUUCCACCCUCAGUCAAGUGGUCAAGUGGAACGCGUCAAUCAGAUUCUAGAAGACAUGCUUCGAGCCUCCGUUAUCUCUUUCGGAAUGGACUGGGAGAAGUGCCUUCCAUUUGCCGAAUUCGCGUACAACAACAGCUAUCAAUCUAGCUUGGGUAAAGCCCCUUUUGAAGUUCUCUAUGGACGACGAUGUCGAACACCCCUUAACUGGUCAGAGACCGGGGAAAGACAAUUCUUUGGCCCGGAUAUGAUUCAGGAAGCAGAAGAACAAGUUCGUAUCGUUCGUGAAAAGUUGAAAACAGCCCAAUCUCGUCAAAAGAGUCAAUAUGACCGAAAACAUAAGGCUAUGACUUUCGAGGUUGACGAGAAGGCUUAUCUUCGGGUCACCCCUCUGAAGGGAACCCAUCGUUUCGGUAUCAAAGGCAAAUUGGCUCCUCGUUACAUUGGACCUUUUCGCAUUCUUGCCAAACGAGGAGAAGUUGCCUACCAAUUGGAACUACCUCCGCACCUCUCCAAAGUUCACGAUGUCUUCCACGUUUCUCAACUCAGGCGUUGCUUCUCGGAUCCUAUCCGUGAAGUGGACCACGAAACGCUUGAUCUCCAAGAUAAUCUUACAUAUCAAGAGUACCCCAUUCGUAUCCUCGAUCAAGCCGAACGUACCACGCGAUGUCAUAAUAUCAAGUUUCUCAAGGUUCAAUGGUCGCACCAUUCUGAAGAUGAAGCAACUUGGGAAAGGGAGGAUCGUCUUCGACUUGAAUACCCCGCCUUCUUCUCGGAGGAACCCAAAUCUCGGGACGAGAUUCUUUUGAGUGGGGGUGAGUUGUCACACCCUAGCUAGUCAUGCAUUAGAGUGUUGCAUCAUGUUUACUUUUUCAUCAGAAACUUGAAAUGGGGAUGACAGAACCCCCAGCCCCCUCUGAAACCAACUAGGGUUACUAAAAUAAUUUUUCAAUGAACCUGAAAUGCCCUUCUAAAAUGUCCAUCAUUUUAGCCUUGGGUCAGAACCUCUGACAAAAGUGGUGCACAUUUUUCUAGGCCAUCAUAGGGUCUUUGAAUUAAAUCAUAGAUAUUUGAAAUUGGGCAUUUAAAAUAAUAUAAAAUAUUUAAAUGCUCAAAUAUCUCCAAACUAAAAUGUUUCAUGUUGGAAAUAAUCCAACUAUGGACCAGGAGUAGUUUGGUGAAUUUUGGAGUUGCCUAGGUAUUUUAAUUAAUUCAACAAAGUUGCAGAUAUAUUAAAUAAAACAGAAAACAGAAAAGAAAGGGGAAAGACUUACCUGUGCGGCCCAGCCAGCUGGCCGGCCCAGCUAGCAACCGACCCAGCCCAACACUGUAGCUCCCCGUCGUCUUCCUCCCCACGCCCCGAAGCUGCUGCGUGCUCGCGCGCGCGCGGCCGCGCGGCCACCUCCUGCUUGCCGACGCCCUCCUGACCGCGUGGACGACGUCCGCAGCCCGUCCCGAUCCCCCCUGCUCUCGCUCACUCUCCCCCGUUUCUCCCUCGCUCUCUCUCGCUCUCGGCCGAAGCACACCGUCGCCGCCGUUCGCCGUAGCCACUGUCUCCGGCCACCCCUCGCUCCCCCGAGUAGCUCAGAAGCUCCGCCACAACUCCCUCUUCCUCCCCACCGCUCCACGAGUCCCCGGAAGCCCUGCAUCGCCGCCACGUCGCCGUUCCCCUCUUCGGGCUCCGACCACCGUCGCCGACGAAUUCGCCGUCUCCAGCGCGUCCCCGAGCCCGCUUCGACGCCCACCGCAACCGCGGUGAGCUACGCCACCGUUUCCCCCUCUUCUCCCCCUCGUUCCCUCACCGUAGCUUCAUCUCCACCACGGCCGAACCUCCGCCGUCGCCGAGCUCGCCGUCGACGCAGCUCCGGUGACCAUUUGGUCACCCCGGCGAGUCCAACGCGUUCACAGAACCCAGUAGAGCAUCCCUAGCGCCCCACUUUGCUCGACUUCGAGCUCCAGCACCACUCCCGUGCACGACCGAACCCCGGCGGCCGCAGCCGAGCUCACCGCCGUCAACUCCGGCCACCCCGACCCCAACGGACUCCACCAAGAGCCGCGGGUCGUCCUCAGCUUCACUCCGGUGAUCGCCGCGGUCCAUUUGGUGGCCGAAACGACCAAAACCACUAUCGCCGCCGCACUGUUGGUCGCCGCCGGCCAGAACUCCGGCGAGCUGACGUGGCCUAGUUGAUUAACCACUAAUCCACCACCUACUGACGCUGACAAGUGGGCCCCAGGGCUUAGUCAAAGCUAACCAGCCCGGGGUCAACGCGGGAUUAGCCCCUGUGACACUGACGUGUGGACCCCACACGUCAGGUUUGACCCGAGCCAGCCCUGUUGACCUGCUGAUGUCACUGUGAUGUCAGGCUGACGCAGUAAUUGAAUUUCUGGAUUUAAAUUAAAUCAGGAAAUUCCAGAAUAUUAUUUAAACUUCAAAAAUUCAUAACUUUUAUUCUGUAACUCCAAAUUGGACAAAUUAUAUAUGAAAAAUGAUCAGAAAAAUCCAAUCUAUCCAUCUGUACUAUUUUCAUGCAUGAUCAAAGAAGUUAAAUUGAUGUUUUAAUCAGAAUAAGAAAAGGCACUUUAAAAGGCCAUAUUUGAAUUUGGAAUUUGAAUCUUUGAUUCAAAUUUGCUCAAAACCCUACUGGCUUUAGUUGCAUUAGCCCAACACACUCAUAUUGCCAUGUUUCAUGCAUGCAUCAUAUUGUUGCACAUUGUUUGGUGAUGCCUGUGUAUCGUUAUCCUUUGCGACAGGAUCUGUCCCCGAGGAGUACCGUGAUUACCCUAACGAGGAAUCGUAUCCGUGCAACGAAUCAUCAGGCAAGCAACCAACCAUUUGAUCAUAUCGAUACAAUCCCAUGUUCUCGCUCCUGCUCUAUUUUACUGCAUUAAGACAACGCGAUUCAAACUGCUGUGUGCUACGGUAGUUGAACCCAUUUCCUCUGCAUGACCUGUCAUUGCCACAGUAACUAGAUGAAACCCACUAGCAUGUGUAGGAAUUGAUUGAGCCAUAUGUAUGUGUUGUUCCUACCUUGCUAUGCCUGCUAUGCUUAGAGUUGUGUCAGGUCUGGUUCAUCUGGGUGAUGGGCUAGAGUGAAAUGAUUAUGUCGGUAAUAAGAGUGGUGUGGUGAACACGAUUUGGUAAAGGUAUCGAUGAGAGGCCAUGUAGGAGUACAUGGUGGGUUGUUUCAUUGAAGCCGACCUUAAGCACUGAGAUCUGUAUGUGUGAUUUAAGAUACAGCUACUACCAUGCAUUGGGCCCUGAAAUAUGACCCCGCUCGACUUCUUAUUCACCCUAGCUCUCUGUCCAGGAGUUGCAAGUAGUUUCUGGUGUUUGUAGCCUACUGGAGGCCGUGGACAGCGCUGACCGUAGGGGUGGGCUGUGAUGCGGUAGGUACGUGGCACGGUGUACCGAAUACCCAUUAGGUAUCUCGGGAACCCUGUUCACAUCGUUCGGGGCCGUAUGGGAAACCUCGGCCGGACUCCCUGCGGAUGGAACCUGAAUAGGCGAUAAACCUGGACUAGAGGCUUAAGUGUUUAGGUAGGUCGUGGUCUACACCCACGUCGGCUUUCGCUUGAAGUCUGCCGAGCACAUGACGUGUGCAGACGCUAAGUGGUGGAAACAUGUAUGAAGAAGUACACCCCUGCAGGGUUAACAUGAUCUAUUCGAAUAGCCGCGUCCGCGGUAAAGGACUACUUGGUUGCCUAUACAGUUCAUAGACAAGUAAAUGGAAACUACUAAAAGCCUCAAGAUAAGUGUGAGUGCCGAGGAUGGCUCUUCCGUAGGAAGACGGAGGUGGAUCCUCGGUAGUGUAUUGAAGUGGUGAAUAGUGGACUCGUGUGCGCAAAACUGUUUCAAAUGGAGUAUCGUAGGAUAGUCUAGCCAAGAGUCAAAGCUGGCUUGCUGCAAUAACUCCACCAACCCCUCUUGAUACUAUGCAUGUAUGUAGGAUCUGAUGUAAGUCUUGCUGAGUACCUUUGUACUCAUGUUGCUAUAAUCUACAUUUUUACAGAAGACGCUGCAACCCCUUCUGAUGGGUUCUAUGUAGACGUUGACAUCAACGAGUAGGCUAAAGACCCAGGUGGUGACCCUGAGCUUGUGAAGGACCACGUAGUAUAGCUAGGCUUUCCAAGCCUCUUUUAUUUUACUAGUUGUCUGUACUCAGACAAGUUACUUCCGCUGUUGGCUUGUAUGAUUGUAUGACUUGUAUGUUGGGUCGUGAGACCCGUACCUUUGUGUGUAUGAUAUGUAUGGCUCCCUGAGCCUUAAAUAAAGUACUUGUGUCGUAGAGUCAUGUUGUGAUGCUUCGUUGUAUUUGCACAUAUCGAGCAUAUUGUGUGUAUGAUUGAAAUGCUUGGUAUGUGUGGGAUCUGACUAUCUAGUUGUUUAUCUUUAGUAGCCUCUCUUACCGGGAAAUGUCUCCUAGUGUUACCGCUGAGCCAUGGUAGCUUGCUACUGCUCUGGAACACUUAGGCUGGCCGGCAUGUGUCCUUCUUCAUUCCUGUGUCUGUCGCUUCGGGGAAAUGUCACGCUUUGAGUACCGGAGUCCUGUUAGCCCGCUACAGCCCGGUUUACCGGAGUCCUGCUAGCCCAGUGCUACAGCCCGGACCCACUUGCUGAUGACCGACACGUUCGAAGCUGGGUCAUGGAUGCCUGUCCCUGUAAGUCUGUGCCACUUUGGGUUUACGACUAGUCAUGUCAGCCCGGGCUCUUUAUCAUAUGGAUGCUAGCGACACUAUCAUAUACGUGAGCCAAAAGGCGCAAACGGUCCCGAGAAAAGGUAAGACGACACCCGUGGGGAUACCGUGCGUGAGGCCGCAAAGUGAUAUGAGGUGUUACCAGCUAGAUCGAUGUGACAUCGAGUCGGGGUCCUGACAAUGUCGGCCUGUUAACGACCCGGGAGGUAAGAGGACCGACAAUUAACUUUCGGCCUAGUAACGGCCCAUUAACUUAAUGGUCCCACUAAAGCUCGUACAUGUCUUUAGGCCAAAUUAGAUAAUUUGAGCCCAUUACGACGAGCAAUUAUGCACAGGACCAAAACCGAUCAAGCAAAGGUACGGCAUAUAGGGAAUAACGUUGCACAUCCAGCAUAUAUUAUAGGAAAUUACAUCCACUGGGCAAUCAAAGAUUGAUGCCAGUGCAAAUAAAUGAGCAGAACCUAACCAUCUACAACGUCACAAUCUGCAACCUCAGCAUAGAUGACGCCCAUAAGCAUGUGGGCAAGUUCUUGCUGCUUUGCUACACUGUCUAUGAAAACAUUGAUCAGUUAUUGUGUCGCACGACUCUGCACCUCUGAUUCAUCCACCAUUUCCAUCAUUGCUUCAGCCAUUAAUUGGUUCACAAACAUACAUUUAUUCUGUUGCAUUCGAGAGAGAGGAUACUGAACAGAUUCAGAUGGCGAUUUUUGCAGGCUUGUAUUAUUGAUAGCGGAGAGUGUCUCGACCACUGCAUCAUAACAUAAAUUAGAACGGGAACCAAACAGAUUAAUCAUGAGUUAUUGCCAUAUUACCUGGCCUAGAUUUACUGGAAAGAAACAAUGUGGUUGCCUUGUUGUUUUCAGAGUUUGUCUUCUUAUCUUUAGCAGCCUGCACAAAAUUAACACACUAGCAUUGCUAUCAUUGGCCAAGUUAGAUAAUAGAAAAGCAACAUUGAAACAACGAACCUUUGGGAAACUAGCCUACACCAAAUUAACACAAUAUGGCACAGCGAUCAUCAGCCAGGUAAGGUAAUACGAAAGCAACAUUGACACAAUGAAUAAAUGGGCAACCAGAGAAGCACUACAAUUCAGUAAUGUCCGUGAUAUGAGAUAGUACACUCAUGCAGCUCAGUAUGCAAAACUACCAGACAGUUUUCCUUACAAAAGUCAACAUUGGCGCCUUUAACAUUUUGCUACAACUAAUUUUAGAUCAGAUAAAGGUUAGAUUCACGCCGAUUAACAAAAUACAUGCUGAUGUAAAAAUAUAGUGAUAUACAACAGGUACUUACAUCAGCAUUGGAGCACAGAGAAUUCCCGCAAGAUAUUUUCCUCGAAUACGAUCCCAAUGGAGGAAGUCUUCUAUCGUUUAACCUUAUUUUCUAAAAGAGAGAUGGGUAAGAAACAUGCAGAAAAUAUGAUCAGAAUGCUACAAAAUUUCAUGAUGCGAUGAUACGCACACGCUUCUUAGAAUGGAGUUGACAUUCUUUUGCUGGACUGGAGCGGACUAGUUCUUUGGCCACUGGAAUCUGCUUAUUAUCAAUGGGAGUUGAGUUUCUCUGUGCUGGAGCAGUAUCUAUGAAAAAUGGAGUUGGUUUAUUAUCUCCUGGCGUUUGGAUCUUUUGAAAAGAUUUGGUUUGUAACUCUUCAGAUUCUAACAUAGCCGUCUUCCCCUUGCAUGCCUUAUAUAGAAGAAUGGUGAUUCAGUUAUAAAACAUGCUACAACAGAGAUGGAAUAUGUAUUGAAGAAUAGAAAGGCAUGACAUAUUGACAUGUAUUCCCUCCAUCCGGAAAUAAAUGGAUGGGCCUAGGUGUAUUUCAGUUCUAGAUACAUUCAGUUUUAUCCAUUUCUGCGACAUGUAAUCCGGACGGAGUGAGUAUGAUGUAAGAGCUAGGGAUACGACAGGACAACACAGUAAAAAAAACACUGAAAACCCACUGCAGAACCAAAGUAUUCAAACCCAUUGAUAUGAGAUAGUACACUCAUGCAGCUUAGGAUGCAAAACUACCAGGCAGUUUUCCUUACAAAAAUCAACAUUGUAGCCUUUAAUCAUACAUUUUGCUACAACUAAAUUUAGAUCAGAUAAAGGUUGGAUUCACGCUGAUUAACAAAGUACAUGCUGAUGUAAAAAUAUAGUGAUAUACAACAGGUCCUUACAUCUACAUUGGAGCACAGAGAAUUCCUGCAAGAAUCUUUCCUCAUAAACGAUACCAUUGCAGAAAUUCUUCUAUCUAUUAAGCUUAUUUUUUAAAAGAGAGAUGGGUAAGAAACAUGUAGAAAAUAUGAUUAGUGCGCUAUAAAAUUUAAUGAUGCAAGGAUACGCACACGCUUCUUAGAAUGGAGUUGACAUAUUUUUGCUGGACUGGAGCGGACUAGUUCUUUGGCCACUGGAAUCUGCUUAUUAUCAGUAGGAGUUGGGUUUCUCUGUGCUGGAGCAGUAUCUAUAAAAAUUAGAGUUGGUUUAUUAUCUCCUGGCGUUUGGAUCUUUUGCAAAGGCCUUGUUUGUAACCCUUCAAAUUCUAACAUAGUCGUCUUCCCCUUGCAUGCCUUGUAUAGAAGAAUGGUGCUUUAAUUAUAAAACAUGCGACAACAGAGAGACGAAUAGGUACUGAAGAAUAGAAAGACAUGACAUAUUGACAUGUAUUCCCUCCAUUCGGAAAAAAAUGGAUGGGUCUAGGUGUAUUUCAGUUCUAGAUACAUCCUUUUUAUCCAUUCGGCAACAUGUAAUCCAGAGGAGGGAGUAUGGUGAAAGAGCUAGGGAUACGACAUGACAACACAACAAAAAAAAGCACUAGUUGAAUGUAAAACUGUAUGCUAGUGGAAUACAUACAGAAAUAACUAAGGCAACAUACACGUGCAUGAUUGGGAAACUAAGAUGGCAUUGCAAUAGAGCACUAGAACAACACUUCAAUGUAAAAAAACAUGGUAUUGUAGACAGAUGAAGUACAUACUGAUGAAUAACAAUGCACAAGAUAUUCAGAAGCAUGAUGUCCAAAUUAAGCAGAUGGCAUUGCGAUAGAGUAGAAUGGCGGUACUUGAAUUUGAAAACAUGUUAUCAUGAAUGGAAUAGGUACUGAAAAACAAGAAGGCAUGACAUAUUUACACGCAUGAUCAACAUGCUAAGCACAUGGCAUUGCAACAGAGUAGAUACACUCCAGGACAUUAUAUGCAUGUUGUACCCAUAUCACAUGCCAAUUAGAGCAAGAACCUUGUGGGGUGAAGAGGAUUCAUCAUCUUUCUGCAAGUCUUCUGAAGAACUACCUUUACAUGUUCCAUCAUAUUGGGUAUCAUUGACAUCAAGUUUAUUGGCCUUUACAUUGCUCCGCGAGGUUCUUGUGGAUAUAUCAGUGUGUGCAAUUAUAUCUGACAUGCAUGGAAGACAACUAGUAGUUAGAUUUAUGUAAUGAGUGCCUGUAGGAGACGACAUAAAUAGUAGGACUGGGGUUAACUAGCAGCAACAUGUCUCAUAAACUAAAGGGAGAACACAGAUGAAAGCUACAGAAUAUGUAUCGUUUGUACUCGAGAUUAACUAGAUGGCACACAAAAGUAUUAAAGAACAACAUAGGUAAUACUAGACUGGUAUAAUACUACAAUCACCAGCCUGUGGGAUAGCAUUGGCUGAUGGAUGAUAACUAUGGAACAUCGUUACCUAAAGAACAGGUAUCUUAGCUGAACUAUGGAACAUUGUUAACUCCCAAACAAGACCCGUAAGAGAUCAUCAUGAAUAUACAGUGAAAUGUGAUGAUCUAUUUUCCAUGCUUAGAUGAAUAACAAAGCCAUAAAUGUUGCACAUAAGUAAGAUGAGGGUACAACCUAUCUGGCUGCCAUCCAUAGGAGUGAGCAUCAUGUGCUGACUUGUCGAUGGCCCUGCAGUUGUUGUGGUUGUCCAUGUCGGGCACGCGCAUUCGAUGCAGGGAACUGUUGAGUGGGGACUACAGCUUCCUUUUGGUGUAUGCUUCCCUUGUUGGAGCAGCUGCGGUGAGUCGGAAGAUGGUGUGUCUGAAGAUGUAGAUAACACAUAAUGUUAAGAACGACAUAUCUCUUUGAUAUGAAGAAAUACACUAAGAGAUCAACAACAAGGCACGAGAGUGGUCACACGUCUGUUGACUGAAGACUAAAUUGGGGUCACAUGAUUUUAUUUUAUUUUGGUACUGUCCGAUCUACGCCGGAUGGCUUGAUGGCCGUCUUGUGCCUCCCGGCUCACACUGUUCGGAAUCUUCCCCGAAGAGCCAGCAACAACAACAAAGCAGCCUACCUCCGCCUUCCGUGGCCCUGGCCAAAACCCCGCUCCCCGCCCACCGCACUGCCAUGGUUGCGCUGCCCCCGGGCCAAUCCACAAAGACUCCCCGUCAUCCAGAUCCGGCGGCGGCAGUACCUUCAACCCACACAACUCUAAAAGAUAUCCAUCCAAGCGCUGCUUCCGUGGAAAACUUGCGGCCCCGCACCCUUCCAUUAGACACCAGCCAACCGACAGCCUAGGAGCUCCGCCGCCUCGAGGGGCGCUGCUUCCCAUUGGGAAUCGAUUGGCCCAGAAUAAAAAUUCAGACAACUGACGCCUAAAUAAGGUGAUUUGAGAUGAGGGUGCGACCUAUCUAGCGGCAUGGUGAAGUAGGCAGGUCCAGCUGCCGAGUCGGUGAGGCCGGUGCGAUUGCGGUGGCGACCGGCGGCAGGGAAACAGCAAUGUCGCGACGGUCAACGGCUACGGGAAAGCAGCGCCAGGACUCUGGAUGAAUCCGAAGUUGGAGCCGCUCCGGCGUCGUGAACAACGAUGGGGGUGAAUCGGCUCUGGUACGGUUCACGCGGCCAUCAUCGAGGCAGCACCGGCAACACUGAGUAAGAGGCAUACGACCCAGUGCACGACGGCAAAUGGACAGCGUCUCCGGCAUUAGCGAGGAGGGCGGCUUUGAAAAUUGUGCGAUGGGGGGCACCAUGGAGGUGUGCUGUGGUUUCGUGGCUCGGGAGAAGGGAGCUUCCCGGGGAGAAGGUGAUUUGGCGCCCAUGAGGUAUGAAUGGGGGGGCGGGGGGGGGGAUUGGGAGGGGAGUGGAACCAUGUCUUACGGACGCAUUUGUCUGAAAUGUGAGGGGGAGUUACAGUUCUACCCUUGCCUUUAGGCUUCUCGGCUUGGGUCUGUGUACUGAGGGUCGGGGAUAGUAGAGUAACUUUGCUUCUCCCCAAAUAGUGGGCCGGAGCGAUUUCGGGCGAGGAGGGCGUGUUUUGAACUAUAGUGGGCGCGAGCGAUUUCGGGCGAGGAGAGCGUGUUUUGAAAUAAUGGGCGCGAGCUAUUUCGGGCGAGGAGAGCGUGUUUUGUCGACCAUGGUUUAUGAAUUAUUCGACACAUGUCAUUUCGGCCGAGGAUAAGGCGCGCUUGGAUGAAGUUACGAACCUACCCUUGAUGUACGACAGGCCAAUUGAUGUGUGUCCCACAUAGGACGGUAAUUUCGCGUCUCCCAUUUAUUUGCUUGGGAGAAUUCCACCGAGCAGAGAGGAUGUUUAACGGUUCAUUCAAAUUUUGGGAGAACGAGCAUCCACGUCUACCUUACCAAGUCGAUUCGAAUCAAAUUUUCAAAUAUUAGCUUGCCACUUCUUUUUUAGAUGGAGAGAUGAUGCUCGGGAGUAAUGUGUUUUUACAUGCUCGUUGCUAGCGAUUUACUAUAUGACAAAUAGUUGACCCACUAAAAAACGCGAAUCAAACCCAAAAUAAAAUAUCUCGAUUCAAUGAAAUAGCUCGUUCACUAGGUCAAAAUAGUGAACUAAAUCCAAAAUUGAACACCUCAAUCGAGUAGCAUGUUGUACAGUAUUAUGGUACUCCAUGAACAUGUUGAAAGUCAAAUUAAUGAACUUGUUUGAUAUACACAUAUAUCCGUUCAUGUGUGGAUUGCACACAACAUGUUCUCCAAUUUAAAUAUUUGAAUGCAAGUUUAUAUCGAAACAUGGUUUAUAUCAGUCUUUGAUGCAUAAAACGCGACCUCCCCCUCUCCCGGACUCCUGUUCUCUCUCUCUCUCCCACGCGCGCUGACAAUCUUCAAUUCUGUCGCACGCAUCCGACACAAAAACCUUGUUGGUCCCUCUCCCUUUCUCUCCAUCUCUCUCUCUCUCUGUAUGUGUGUGUGUGGGGGGGGGGUCUUUCUAGUUUGCAUGCAUAUAUACACCAUCUAUAGGUCUAUCUCGCACACUAUGUAUGAUACUCUAGCUAGUACAAGCAGAUAUCUUGGGUGCACUCAUCGUACGCACACAAAUUCCUUGGCUCUUUGCCCGUAACUCUCUCACGCACCACUCUGUCGUCUCAGAGCUCUCCCCCCCUCUCUCAAACUCUCCAUCCACCUGGGUUACACAUACACAUGCAUAUCUCACUCGCACUCAAUAGGCCCAUCUAAAACUCUAUCUCUCUCCCUCGUUCUCUCUCCAUCUCACACGCACACACACACACACAACCUCAUGCCUAGCUAGCCAAGUAUGAUGGUCUCUCACUCAAUUGUAGGCACAUGCAGUCCCCCUAUAUGUAUAUGACUAGCUACUCUUAGUCUCCAUCACAAACAUGUGCAUGGUCUAUCUCGAUUUCUCUUGGGGCAUCUUUCUAUCGUGCACGCACCUCCCUCGAUCUCCCACCCAUAUAGUCCCCUCACGAUCUCGAGGGGACCUAUCUAUCACAAACACACCCUCUCUCCCUCCCCAUGCGUCCAUGUCCUCCAUGUGUCCCUCUCGACCUUUGUUCCUUGUUGGCCAGACCUCUAUUGGACAUGUGCUACAGGGGUGUCUCUCUCCAUUGCAAACAAUCACACACUAGCUAUCUUCGUGUAUCUCCUCGCCUCAUGAUACGUCUCCGUCAUAUCUAUAAUUUUUUAUUGUUCCAUGCCAAUAUUAUUCAACUUUCAUAUACUUUUGGCAGCUUUUUAUACUAUUUUUUGGGACUAACAUAUUGAUCCAGUGCCUAGUGCCAGUUCCUGUCUGUUGCAUGUUUUAUGUUUCGCAGAAACCCCAUAUCAAACGGAGUCCAAACGGUAUUAAAACGGACGGAGAAUUAUUUUGGAAUAUUUGUGAUUUUUGGGAGGAAGAAUCAAUGUGAGACGAUGCCCGAGGUGGCCACGAGAUAGGGGCCCAUGCCCACUUAAAGUGGGCGCGCCCCCCACCCUCGUGGGCCACCCGUAAGGCGGUUGACGCUCUUCUUUUGCCACAAGAAAGCUAAUUUUAUGAGAAAAAUCUGGGCGAAAGAUUCACCCCAAUCGGAGUUACGAAUCUCCAGAUAUAAAGGAAACAGUGAAGGGGCAGAAUCCGAGAAUGCAGAAACAGAGAGAUAGAUCCAAUCUCGGAGGGGCUCUCGCCCCUCCCAUGCCAUGGGAGCCAAGGACCAAAGGGGAAACCCUUCUCCCAUCUAGGGAGAAGGUCAAGGAAGAAGAAGAAGAAGAAGAAGGGGGGCUCUCUGCCCCUUGCUUCCGGUGACGCCGGGGCGUCGCCGGGGGCCAUCAUCAUCACUGCGAUCUUCACCAACACCUCCGCCAUCUUCACCAACAUCUCCAUCACCUUCCCCCAUCUAUAUUCAGCGGUCCACUCUCCUGCAACUCACUGUACCCUCUACUUGAACAUGGUGCUUUAUGCUUCAUAUUAUUAUCCAAUGAUGUGUUGCCAUCCUAUGAUGUCUGGGUAGAUUUUCGUUGUCCUAUCGGUGAUUGAUGAAUUGCUAUGAUUGGUUUGAGUUGCGUGUUUUAUUAUUGGUGCUAUCCUAUGGUGCCCUCCGUGUCGCACAAGCGUGAGGGAUUCCCGCUGUAGGGUGUUGCAAUGCGUUCAUGAUUCGCUUAUAGUGGGUUGCAUGAGUGACUGAAACACAAACCCGAGUAAGGGGAUUGUUGCGUAUGGGAUAAAGGGGACUUGAUGCUUUAAUUCUAUGGUUGGGUUUUACCUUAAUGAAUCUUUAGUAGUUGUGGAUGCUUGCUAGAGUUCCAAUCAUAAGUGCAUAUGAUCCAAGAAGAGAAAGUAUGUUAGCUUAUGCCUCUCCCUCAAAUAGAAUUGCAAUAGUGAUUACCGGUCUAGUAACAUAGUCAAUGGCUUAGGGACAAUUUCACAACUCCUACCACCACUUUUCCACACUCGCUAUAUUUACUUUAUUGUUUAUUUAUCUAAACAUCCCCUACUUUUUAUUUACGUGUUCUUUAUUAUCUUGCAAACCUAUCCUAUCACACCUACAAAGUACUUCUAGAUUCAUACUUGUUCUAGGUAAAGCGAACACUAAGUGUGCAUAGAGUCGUAUCAGUGGCCUAUAGGACUCGAGAGAGUAUGUGUUCUACCUUUAGCUCCUCAUUGGGUUCGACACUCUUACUUAUUGAAAGAGGCUACAACUAUCCCGUAUACUUGCGGGUUAUCAAGACCUUUUUCUGGCUCCGUUGCCGGGGAGUCAUAGCGUGGGGUGAAUAUUCCUGUGUGUGCUUGUUUGCUUUAUCACUAAGUAAUUUUUAUUUGUUGUUCUAAGUUGUUCUCUAUCUUUAGUUAUGGAUAUGGAACACGAAAUACCAAAAAAAUUAGGUGUACUUGCUACUCAUGGAGAUGGGGUAACUCCUAAAACCCUCGAUUCUCAUUAUGUGAAAGAUAUUAUGUACUACUUUGAUAAUCCCGAGAAAACCCCAUUCAACUUUAUAAUGGGAGACACGUUGGAUCACGUGAAUACUUUAGGGAUUAUCGCUCGACACAAAAAGGGAAACUAUUAUGGGAUCAAUUUAUUAUGUUGCGUUGGUAUGCCCGGGAUCUAUGCUUGAGAUAUGAUAUUACUUGUUGCUCUAGGAUGUAGGCUCCACACCUUCCCUUUUCAUGCAAAUUUAAUGACAAUGAAACCUUAGAUUCUUAUGCUAAUGGUAUAUAUGAUUACUAUGAUGUGGAACAAAUAGAAGAAUUUGUUGCUUUUAAGGCUGCUUAUGAAAUUGAAUCUUUGUUUGAAAAGUAUGAAGCUUUUGAUGAUGAUGGUGUUUAUAGGCCUGAAAAUCUUGCUAUAAUUAGAUAUUGCUAUGAAAAUUAUGAAUACAAUUACUAUAUUAAUGCAUUUAUUAAGAAAGUCUCCGCUGUCCAAGAAGAGACUAAUAUUUUGCAGGAAGCUAUGGAAGAAGAAAUUGAUGAAACUGUGAGCUCAUUGGAUGAAAAAGAUGACGAGGAGAGCGAAGAACAAAAGGAGGAAGAGCGGAUUGAUCACCCGUGCCCACCUUCUAAUGAGAGUAACUCUUCAACUCAUACAUUGUUUAAUUCCCCUUCGUGCUUACCGAAGGAUGAUUGCUAUGAUCCCGUUGAUUCUCUUGAAAUAUCCCUUUUUGAUGAUGCUUGCUAUGCUUGUGGCCAAGAUGCCAAUAUGAAUUAUCCUUAUGGAGAUGAACUUGCUAUAGUUCCUUAUGUUAAACAUGAAAUUGUUGCUAUUGCACCCACGCAUGAUAGUCCUAUUAUCUUUUUGAAUUCUCCCGACUAAGCUAUAUCAGAGAAGUUUGUGCUUAUUAAGGAUUAUAUUGAUGGGUUGCGUUUUACUACUAUACAUGAUAUUUUUGGUAGAUAUAAUAUGCAUGUGCUUGCUGCUCCUACUUGCAAUUAUUAUGAGAGAGGAACUAUAUCUCCACCUCUCUAUGUUUCCAAUAUGAUAAGAUUGCGAGAAACUGUUUAUACUAUGCGUUGGCCUUUACUAUGUGUGCAUGAAUUGUUCUUUUAUGACAUGCCGAUGCAUAGGAAGAGAGUUAGACUUCGUUGUUGCAUGAUGUAUGUUACUUUGUGCUCACUACUAAAUUACAAAUCAUUGUUAAUUAAAAUUGGCUUUGAUAUAUCUUGGGAUUCGGGUGGAUUCAUUACUUGAGCACCAUAUGCCUAGCUUAAUGGCUUUAAAGAAAGCGCUGCCAGGGAGACAACCCGGAAGUUUUAGAGAGUCAUUUAUUUCUGGUGAGUUCUUUUAUAUAGUUUAAAAACAAAUAAAAUAAAUAGGGGAACCUAAAAACUUUUCAAAAAGGAAAGUGAAAGUGAGAGAGACAAGCAUUGUUGAAGUGGGAGAGCUCCUUGAACUUUGUUCAUGCUCACGGAAACUUUGUGAAUCUUGAUUACAGAAAUUUUUCAUCAAAAAUAAUUAUCCCCUUGUACAAUUACAAUGUAUUAUAAAAAUAAUGUGCAAGGUUUGCCUUUAGGAUGUUUACAAUGCUUGUUGGUUUGUACGGUGCAUGACAGAAACUUUGGCUGUAGUGCGCGAUUUUACAUUUUUAACUGGAACAUCAAACGGUUCUGAUUCUUUUUGCACUGUCUUUACAACUUGUUCAUUUUUCCUAAUUUUGGUAGAAGUUUUGGGGUACCAGAAGUAUGGUGGAUGGUCAGAUUGCUACAGACUAUUCUGUUUUUGACAGAUUCUGUUUUUGAUGCAUAGUUUGCUUGUUUUGAUGAAUCUCAAUUUAUAUCAGUGGAUUAAGCCAUGGAAAAGUUAUAUUACAGUAGACACAAUGCAAAAACAAAAUAUGAAUUGGUUUGAUACAAUACUUAGAGUGGUGAUUUGCUUUAUUAUACUAAUGGAUCUUACCGAGUUUUCUGUUGAAGUUUUGUGUGGAUGAAGUGUCUAAACAAGGAGGUCUCGAUAUGAGGAAAAGGACGAGAGGCAAGAGCUCAAGCUUGGGGAUGCCCGAGGCACCCCAAGUAAAUAUUCAAGGAGACUCAAGCGUCUAAGCUUGGGGAUGCCCCGGAAGGCAUCCCCUCUUUCUUCAACAAGUAUCGAUAUGUUUUCGUAUUCGUUUCGUUCAUGCGAUAUGUGCAAGUCUUGGAGCGUCUUUUGCAUUUAGUUUUCACUUUUCUUUUAUGCACCAUGCUGGUAUGAGAUAGUCCUUGGUUGAUUUAUAGAAUGCUCAUUGCGCUUCACUUAAAUCUUUUGAGUAUCACUUUAUAGAAUGCUUCAUGUGCUUCACUUAUAUCAUUUGAAGUUUGGAUUGCCUGUUUCUCUUCACUUAGAAAACCGCCAUUUGUAGAAUGCUCUUUUGCUUCACUUAUAAUUGUUAGAGCAUGGGCAUAUCUUUUGUAGACAGAAUUAAACUCUCUUGCUUCACUUAGAUCUAUUUAGAGAGAUGACAGGAAUUGGUCAUUCACAUGGUUAGUCAUAAAAUCCUACAUAAACUUGUAGAUCGCUGAAUAUGAUAUGUUUGAUUCCUUGCAAUAGUUUUGCGAUAUAAAGAUGGUGAUAUUAGAGUCAUGCUAGUGGGUGGUUGUGGAUUGUAGAGACACUUGUGUUGAGCUUUGCAAGUCACGUAGCAUGCACGUAUGGUAACCAUUAUGUGACAAAUUUGAAGCAUGGGGUGUUUCUUUGAUUGUCUUCCUUAUGAGUGGCGGUCGGGGACGAGCAAUGGUCUUUUCCUACCAAUCUAUCCCCCUAGGGGCAUGCGUAGUAGUACUUUGCUUUGAGGGCUAAUAAACUUUUGCAAUAAGUAUAUGAGUUCUUUAUGACUAAUGUGAGUCCAUGGAUUAUACGCACUUUUACCUUUCCACCAUUGCUAGCCUCUUUGGUACCGUGCAUUUCCUUUUCUCACCUCGAGAGUUGGUGCAAACUUCACCGGUGCAUCCAAACCCCGUGAUACGAUACGCUCUAUCACACAUAAGCCUCAUUAUAUCUUCCUCAAAACAGCCACCAUACCUACCUAUUAUGGCAUUUCCAUAGCCAUUUCGAGAUAUAUUGCCAUGCAACUUCCAUCAUCAUCAUAUACAUGACUUGAGCAUUUAUUAUCAUAUUGCUUUGCAUGAUCGUAAGAUAGCUAGCAUGAUGUUUUCAUGGCUUGUCCGUUUUUAAUGUCAUUGCUACGCUAGAUCAUUGCACAUCCCGGUACACCGCCGGAAGCAUUCAUAUAGAGUCAUAUCUUUGUUCUAGAAUCGAGUUGUAAUAUUGUGUUGUAAGUAAAUAAAAUUGUGAUGAUCAUCAUUAUAGAGCAUUGCCCCAUGAAAAAAAGAAAAAAAAGAAAAAAGGAAAAAAAAGGGGGCCAAAGAAGCCCACCAAAAAAGAAAAAAAAAGAAAAAAAGAAAGAAAAGAAAAGGGGCAAUGUUACUAUCCUUUUUCCACACUUGUGCUUCAGAGUAGCACCAUGUUCUUCAUAUAGAGAGUCUCCUAUGUUGUCACUUUCAUAUACUAGUGGGAAUUUUUCAUUAUAGAACUUGGCUUGUAUAUUCCAACGAUGGGCUUCCUCAAAUGCCCUAGAUCUUCAUGAGCAAGCAAGUUGGAUGCAGGAUGCACACCCACUUAGUUUCUUUUGUUGAGCUUUCAUACAUUUAUAGCUCUUAGUGCAUCCGUUGCAUGGCAAUCCCUACUCCUCACAUUGACAUCAAUUGAUGGGCAUCUCCAUAGCCCGUUGAUUAGCCGCGUCGAUAUGAGACUUUCUCCCUUUUUUGUCUUCUCCAUAUAAACCUCCACCAUCAUGUUCUAUUCCACCUAUAGUGAUAUAUCCAUGGCUUGCGCUCAUUAUUGCGUGAGGGUUGAAAAAGCUGAAGCGCGUUAAAAAGUAUGAACCAAUUGCUCGGCUUGUCAUCGGGGUUGUGCAUGAUGGGGGCAUUUUGUGUGACGAAAAUGAAGCAUGGCCAAACUAUAUGAUUUUGUAGGGAUAAGCUCUCUUUGGCCUUGUUGUUUUGAAAAGACGUGAUUGCUUUAUUGGUAUGCUCGAAGUAUUAUUGUUUUUUAUGUAAAAUUAUAGACUAUUGCUUUGAAUCACUCGUGUCUUAAUAUUCAUGCCAUGAUUAGACAUAUGAUCAAGAUUAUGCUAGGUAGCAUUCCACAUCAAAAAUUAUCUUUUCUAUCAUUUACCUACUCGAGGACGAGCAGGAAUUAAGCUUGGGGAUGCUGAUAUGUCUCCGUCGUAUCUAUAAUUUUUGAUUGUUCCAUGCCAACAUUAUUCAACUUUCAUAUACUUUUGGCAAAUUUUUAUACUACUUUUUGGGACUAACAUAUUGAUCCAGUGCCCAGUGCCAGUUCCUGUCUGUUGCAUGUUUUAUGUUUCGCAGAAACCCCAUAUCAAACGGAGUCCAAACGGGAUAAAAACGGACGAAGAAUUAUUUUGGAAUAUUUGUGAUUUUUGGGAGAAAGAAUCAAUGCGAGACGAUGCCCGAGGUGGCCAUGAGAUAGGGGCCCACGCCCACUUAAAGUGGGCGCGCCCCCCACCCUCGCGGGCCACACGUAAGGCAGUUGACGCUCUUCUUUUGCCGCAAGAAAGCUAAUUUUAUGAGAAAAAUCUGGGCGAAAGAUUCACCCCAAUCGGAGUUACGGAUCUCCAGAUAUAAAGGAAACGGUGAAGGGGCAGAAUCCGACAACGCAGAAACAGAGAGAUAGAACCAAUCUCGGAGGGGCUCUUGCCCCUCCCAUGCCAUGGGAGCCAAGGACCAGAGGGGAAACCCUUCUCCCAUCUAGGGAGAAGGUCGAGGAAGAAGGAGAAGAAGAAGGGGGGCUCUCUCCCCCUUUCUUCCGGUGGCGUCGGGACGCCACCGGGGGCCAUCAUCAUCACCGCGAUCUUCACCAACACCUCCGCCAUCUUCACCAACAUCUCCAUCACCUUCCCCCAUCUAUAUUCAGCGGUCCACUCUCCCACAACCCAUUGUACCCUCUACUUGAACAUGGUGCUUUAUGCUUCAUAUUAUUAUCCAAUGAUGUGUUGCCAUCGUAUGAUGUCUGAGUAGAUUUUCGUUGUCCUAUCGAUGAUUGAUGAAUUGCUAUGAAUUGUUUGAGUUGCAUGUUUUAUUAUUGGUGCUGUCCUAUGGUGCCCUCCGUGUCACGCAAGCGUGAGGGAUUCCCGCUAUAGGGUAUUGCAAUGCGUUCAUGAUUCGCUUAUAGUGGGUUGCGUGAGUGACUGAAACACAAACCUGAGUAAGGGGAUUGUUGCAUAUGGGAUAAAGGGGACUUGAUGCUUUAAUGCUAUGGUUUGGUUUUACCUUAAUGAAUCUUUAGUAGUUGCGGAUGCUUGCUAGAGUUCCAAUCAUACGUGCAUAUGAUCCAAGAAGAGAAAGUAUGUUAGCUUAUGCCUCUCCCUCAAAUAGAAUUGCAAUAGUGAUUAGCGGUCUAGUAACAUAGUCAAUUGCUUAGGGACAAUUUCACAACUCCUACCACCACUUGUCCACACUCGCUAUAUUUACUUUAUUGUUUAUUUAUCUAAACAGCCCCUACUUUUUAUUUACGUGUUCUUUAUUAUCUUGCAAACCUAUCCUAUCACACCUACGAAGUACUUCUAGUUUCAUACUUGUUCUAGCUAAAGCGAACACUAAGCAUGCGUAGAGUCGUAUCAGUGGCCGAUAGGACUUGAGAGAGUAUUUGUCCUACCUUUAGCUCCUCGUUGGGUUCGACACUCUUACUUAUCGAAAGAGGCUACAACUAUCCCGUAUACUUGCGGGUUAUCACCUCACUUUUCUAUCUCAGAGAUGCAUGCGUAAUAUGUUCGCAUAAGAAACGAAAAAACACACACUCUGUCUAAUUUAUUGUUUGUUGUCACUUUCUCUUUCACACACAUACUCUUUUUGCACACUUACUCAUUCUCCUUCACAUGCACUUGAUUUGUCUCGACUUAGGCACUCUCCUCGGUCCAUAGCAUAUAGAUUUAUUGAAAAGUCAAACAUCACAAAGUUUGACCAUGUACAUGGAGAAAAACAAUUACAUCUAGUAUGGCAAACAUAUACCAUUAGAUUCACCAUGAGAUGUAGUUUUGUAUGAUGUAUCUUUGGUAUUGUAGAUAUAAAUAACAUUUGCGUAAACCUGAUCAAAGUUUCCAAAGUUUGACUUCUAAAAACUUUACAUGCAGUGCAUUAUCGAGCGGAUGGAAUAUCUCUUUCCCCCGCUCAGCUAUCUGACGCACCACUCAGCCUUAUCGGGGCUCCUCAAUCUCUCUCGAACUUUAUUGGUCAGUUUGGUUCGUGACCUGGCCCUCAUGCCUUGAUGGCCAAUACUGCCUGGUGUGGACGUGAGAUGUAAAAUAUUUCUGCCUGGCCAGGCUUGUGUGGUGCUGAAGCGUUUGGUUAAUGCCUGGGCCAGGCAAAGCAUCAACGUCCCAUCAAUCAAUCCAUGCAACAAUUAUUUAAUGCUAAUAUCCAUCCAUGUUGCUGUUAGCCUCAUGGCCGCACGACGAAGCACGGCUAGGCGUUCAAAAUCGGUCGCCUGGGCCAGGCUACUUGCAGUGUCUGGAGUCCAGCCAGGUUAAUUAAAGUGCAAGGGAACCCAUGCCAGGCGGGCUUUCUUUUUCACAUGGUAGCAACCAAACAAGCAUGCAUGAAAUCCAUCUACUACCCCAGGCAAGGCAAAGGAUGCUCUUGACGCAAGCCAAACUGACCUUAUAUCUCCGUGGUUCACACAUACACAUGUCUCGCUCGCGCUAUACAUAUAGACCCAUCCAACACUCUCCGCCCUUGUUCUCUCUCCAUGUGACACGCACCCCCUAAGUACCAUAAUCCCUCACUCCAUCAUAGGCGCAAGCACUCCCCCCCUCCUAAGUAUGAUUAUCUCUUACUAGCCAUCAGGAACACACGUAUUGUCUACUUCCAUCCAUACGUCUAUCUCGAUAUCUCGCGAGGCAUCUUCUAUCACGCACACACCUUGUCACUCGAUCUCCCACCCAUGUAGUCCCAUCACGAUCUCCAGGGGAUCUCUCUAUGACAAACAUACACUCUCUCCUCCCCAUGUCUGCAUUUUCUCCGUACGUCUCUCUCGACCUCCCUCCCUUGUUUGUCAGACCCCUCUUGGCCACGUUCUAGGGGUCUUGCUCUCUUGGUUCCAAACAACCACACACUAUCUCCUCACCUUGCCUCCGUUGUCGAAGAUGCAUGUGUGAUAUGUUUGCAUAAGACACACAUGCUUUUUCUCUACUUUUAUCGUGUGUUGUCCAUGUCUGUUUCACACACACACACACACUUUUUUCACUCACUCUUUCUAUCUCUCUCUCUCUCUCUCUCUAGUUAGGGACUCUGUCACGUCCAUAAGCAUAUGGAUGUUUUGAAAAGUCAAACCUCGGAAAAGUUUGACUAGGUAUAUGUGGAUAAAAACAUUUACAUCUGGAACGAUCAUUAGAUUCAUCACAACAUGUACUUACUUCAUACUAUCAUUUAUGUUUGGUAUUGUAGAUAUAAGUAAUUUCUUUAUAAACUUGGUCAAAGUUUCAAAAGUUUGACUUAAAAACAAUGUUGGAACUACAUUAUCGAACGAAGGGAGUAGCUCUUUCUCUCUCUCUGCUAUCUCUCACGGGCCUCCCCUCUCACUCAAACUCUCUAUACCGACGGAUUAUACGCUCACUCUGUCAGCGUAUAGCUCCGUAUAUUGUUUAGUUGACCGGUCAACCAUUCCACAUGCUACCUUGUCAGCUCGUGUUCUGUAUCUUCGUGUGCUAGCCCAUGUGGCAGUGGGUGAAAAUAAGUAAACUAGAGGUCCAUCUGACACGCGGUGAAGUAAACAAAGUUGAAACCACUCGGGGUAGCACCCCGCUCGCUAGUAAAUUGAGGGCGCAUUGAGGACACACUUCUUGCGCGUGAAGGAUGCACUCGAGCACAACUCACCACUACGCGUCGGCAUGCACAGAAGGACGCACUCGCGCACACCCAGCACACAACACACACCAUCACACAUGUACACCACCGUUGCCGCCGGUUGAGAUGGAUGGUGAGGCAGCCAACAAGCGGAGGCGGCUUGAGCCAAAACCGCAUCCGACGAGCCUGGACUUCAUCAGCAGCCUCCCCGAUGACAUGCUUCUCGUCAUCAUCGGCCUCCUCCCCACCAAAUCUGCCGUGCAGACCGCCCUGCUCUCCCGGCGGUGGCGCCCCCUCUGGAGCUGCAUCCCUCUCAACCUCAUCGUUGACAGCUGCCUCUGCGACGGGGAUUGCAAACGCAUGGCCGCAGUCUCCAAGAUCCUUUCAUCGCACCCUGGGCCAGCCAAACGCCUUGACAUCCGCAUGUUCAGUACCAACUGCAAGGUCCAACCCAAGUUCGAUGAGUGGUUCUUAUCCCCCGCCCUAGAUCAGCUCGAGGAGCUCAGCUUUGAAGCUGGAUGAUGUCGCUCUCUGCCGCCGUCCGCGCUCCACCUCACGCCAACGCUGCACCGCGCCAGCUUCAGCUCCUGCUAUCUUCCCCAGAUUAAUGCCGCGCCCGCCCUUCUUCUCCCUCAACUCAAGCAGCUCGACCUCUUUGACAUUGUCAUCUCAAAGAAGGCUAUGGAGCACCUGCUUCGCACCUGCUCCGCAGCUGUACUGCGCUUGAGUACCUUCGUCUUGAGCAGAUCCACGAGUUCAUUAGCCUCCACAUCGCCUCGACGAAUCUCCGAUGGAUUUAUGUGUCUUGCUGGCCCCGCAACAAGACAUCAAUUGGGAAGAGAUCACUCCAGCUAUUCCACUUUAUGGUCAUUGAGAAUGCGCCUUUCCUUGAGAGAUUGCUUGUAUCGGAUCUAGAAGGUCCAACAAAAAUCAGGGCCAUUGACGCGCCGAAAUUGACAGCGUUGGUGUACUCAUCUGCCAAAUUCUCCGAACUCUUUAUUGGAUCCGUAAUUGUUCAGGUACAACACUCAUCUUCUUCUCCGUCUUCUUGAAAUUCACAUUUUUAAAUUUCUUCUUGAUGUAUUUACGACCGUGUUCCAGAAAAUGAUUCCCACAAGCUUGACCCAGUCCAUGCACAGAGUGAAGAUCUUGGCACUAAAAUCUAUCGGCCCCAAUCUGGAUCAAGUUGUUGGAUUCCUUACAUGCUUUCUGUGCACGGAGAAGCUACUCAUCGAGGUGAAACUUCUUUCCUAUAAGUAAACGGUAAUCACAACGUAGCUCCAUUUUUUUGUAAUUCUCCCAAAUUACGAUGACAAGUGUAGUGUUCAAAACUGCAUCUACGCACUGCACCGAAAGAAAUGUUUUUAGUAUUUUUUCUCACGUGAUCACCUGCAUCGUUUUUAUGCUGUACUACUAUAGUAGCCUAGGCUAGUCAUAGUGGAAAGUAACUUAGACUACUCCAGUAACUCUAUGGUUACCCUAAGAGCAAGUACUACCUUCGUCCUGGUUUACUCUUCCAAUUUUGUAGUAUCAAAAUUUGACCAUAUAUUUAACUGACAAAAUGUUAAUGCAUGUCCCUAAGAACUAUAUUGUUGGAUUCGUAUUUGAACAUAAUUUCAAAUGGUGUAAUAUUUAGUGACAUGCAUUGGCAUUUUCUUAGGUAAAUCUAAGGUCAAAAUUUUAUACUAAAUACGAGGUAGUAUUCCCUCCGUCCCAAAAUUCUUGUAUUACAUUUGUUUAGAUACGGAUGUAUCUAACACUAAAAUGUAACUAGAUACAUCCGUAUUUAGACGAAUUUAAGACAAGAAUUUUGGGACGGAGGGAGUACAAAAGUGGGCUUGUAGGCCAAAACACGUGCCAAAUUCAGUUGUGAUGCAUUUGGCAUUGAUGCCCCUCCAUUGCUCACCUGGUGCCCCAAUCUAGAUCACCUACUUUGCUCCGGUGCCAAAUUAACUCACGCAAUGAAAAAACACUGCGUGGGAGAGAGAGAGAGAGAGGACUGAGGCAAUAAAAAACACUUGUUUGGGAGAGUGAGAGGCUGGUGUAGUUGGUUUCAUUGAUUUGUUUAUACAUGUGGGUCUGUGUACACAGCGGUGCCAACUCUCUCACAUCGUGAGAGCGGUGCCAAAAUCUUUUGAUUUGACAUUGAUGCGUAUUAUGUGGCAUACUUUUGCGAAAUAUGGCAUCGGCCACAUAGUGGAAGGCAACAAAUGCCCAAGCUCUUCACGUGCUCCUAGUUAAAUGAGAGGAAACAGAGAGAGAGAGAGAGAGAGAGAGAGUGAAAAAAUAUCACUAGCGAGCCAACCCUAUCGUAUGAGCGAAUGAUAUUGGUACCUCUUGAUGACACGGCAAUCUUAUACAGCCAGCUGCUCUAAUAUGUUCUCUUCUUUUGCAGAUAAAAAAAGACCCGAAAGUGAAAAAUGUGCUGCACUAUAACAAUCUCAUCGAAUGCCUUGAUCUCCAUCUUACAGAAAUUGAUUUGAUCGACUACCGAGGCAGCACAUCUGAGAUUAAAUUCGCUAGGUUCUUUGUUCUGGAGGCAAGUGUGCUCAAGGUAAUGAGGUUUGGCGUUCUCUGGCGCAACAAUGAAUGGCGUGCUAAUCACAGCAAGUGUCUAAGCCUAAAUGACAAAGUCUCCACAGAAGUUGAAUUUGCUUUUGAAACAUCAAGUGGCCAGAGACUGGAAAACUUAUUUUCCCAUUAGUGACUUGUCAGGGCGGUGGAUUUUAGUUUGUACGAUAAUGCUGCAUCCACCUAAAGUAAUGAAAGUUCUUACGUAAACUUCCUAGUAAUUCCCUCUUCGUAGGUGCAACAUUACUCCUAACAUUUGUAAUAUCAGUUUGAAACUAAUAUUGCCGUGUCCUAUUCCUGCAUUUUCAAAAUCCUGCGAAUCAAACAGGUCCUGAGUUGGUGAUGAUGUUGUGCCUCCCAUCUUUCACCAAUAGCCGUCGGAUCUAGAUCUGACGCAUACAAACCAAGCUUCUCCAUUUUUGCAAAGAUAUGCCCGCACUUGUUCCCUAUUUACAAACAACUCCUUAUCUCUCACAAUCAGCCUUAUCUCCUCCCCACCACAUCUAGAAGGCCGUGGAAAAAUCUGGCGUGAUGGCCGCUACCGGCACUGUCCACCCCCAAUCUUGGUGUUCCGUGCAAUGCACGUGCAUCUAUGCAUUGGAAAUUAUGUCGAACAGGGCUAGUUGCAAGCAGGCUAGCUCUAUAACCAUGAUGAUAGUGACUGCAGACGGUGAGGCUGACUACGGUAUGCCAAACACGACGCCUAUACUCAGGUGUCAUCUCCGGCGCAGGGUCGUGUCACUUCACUGUGAGGAGCAGCGCGUAAUAAUUUGACCAAUGGGUAGUACAGUGCUAGUAGUCCUACUACAUUGGUAGUACUACUACUAGUACUAGUAGCACCACCGUCUGGAUUUAGGAGUACUACCACGUCCAUCUGGAUUUUAGUAUUUGACUAGCAAUAUCUAGUAAUGCAUGUCACAAAAAAUGUACUACUCCCUUUGUAAAUAAAUACAUGGUGUUUUAUUCCUAUCGGCGAGAGAACUUAAUGUCUUUUUGCUAACUAGAGUAAUAGGAUUACAUGCAAUGAACUAAACACUGCAUGUCAUGUUGGGUAGUCUCAAGUCAUUGAAGGCAUGCACGACCCACAUCUCUCAUUGGUUGAUAUGUCACGAAAUAAGAAACAAGGAGUGAGUUAAUGCACCGUGCCUAAGUGUUUUGGGAUUAUUUGGUUUUCGUAAGGUGACUUACACAACAUUUUUGUUUACAUGCAAUAACAUUUUAUUAGUUAAAUCAAAGGUCAAAACUUGGCGCAAAAUGCAAAGGGGACCAAUAAACCAGUAAACAUCAAACUUCUCUCGUUUGGCCCCAACUAGAGGUCCGGCGAGAUGACUAUGCUGCACCAGCACGGAGGGGGAUGUAGCUUCAUUGACUUACUGCAACUGCCUUUGGGUGAAUGACACGUGGGCCCAAGGGUUGGCUGGCCCACCUAUCAUACAGGCUAAGGCAGGUGCAGUAGAGGGCCGAGGAGUAGUACAAAGUACGAAAUCCUAUGCACCUAUGCAUGCUAACCAAGGGCAAGAGUGAUCACUCGGAUCGCAAGAUCAGUUGACUAGAAUCUAAGCUAGACCCACGGAGGCGAUGAGCGCGAGCAUCAACCGGCUGUGCCAGAUGGUCCACGACGCCGGCCUGCGGCCCGGCACCGAGGAACGCCUCCAGGUAUUACUUGAGGCCGCCAGGGCAAGGGGCCGCUUGGACGACAGCUUCGUCUCCUUGUUCGACGAGGUCCUCGUUGGUUUCCUCGACAAGUUCACCGUCGUCAAGAAGCUCACGGACGACUUUGACGUACGCCUCCAGCCGACGCGCCCAGGCUCUGCGAUGCCCGCCACCCUCAGUGGCCACUAUGGUGACAACCUCUUCGACGCACUGGUGGCCCUGCGACUGCCCACCGUCGCGCCGGAGAAUGUCCACCUCGAGGUCGUGCUCGCCGUGCAGCGCCUAGCGCAGCAAGACACCAUCGACAUAAUCACCCACGUCUAUGCACAAAUCGUCCACAAGGACUACUACAUGCAAGAGGAGGACGAUAGGACGCUGGCCUUCUUGGACCGUAGGGCAACCUUGGACGGCAUUGUUCAGAAGCACGUUGAGCUCACCGCCGCUGCUCCUCACACGUCGGUUGGUGACCCGGCGCACUAGGGCGUGAGGAUGUCGUUGAUUGAUCCGUAUGUAUUUUUAUCUUUCUGUCAAAUCCAUGUAGUAGUAUAUGGUACUACUAGUAAUUAUCUUACCUUUCGCAUCAACUUCAUAAUUUUCGUACGUACUCCAUGCAUGAACGGCGCCAGAACCAAACUUCUCAUUACUCUAGGCAAAAUCGUUAUUUUCUAUCUAUCGGUCGCGCCAUGGAGCAGAACCAAAUUUUACAAGUUACGAGUUCAAAAGGAAAAGCCUGCCGUGUUCGUGUCACACCCCCACACGGUUGGUCCGGCACGUCGCUCAAGGGGGAAUGCGUGCGGUGUUGCAUUUUCACUUACAAGUUGGACCCCAGUUGAGCAAACCGACUAUCAGCAAACCCCCACCCCGCCCACCGCGCGAUGGCUGAGAAAAUAGGAGGGAGAAGAGAUGGCUGUAGCAUGGACUCCAAGAAAAUUGGUGUCAGAUGGGACUCAUGUGGGUGGCGUGUGCCGUACUGCUAGAUGUGAAUGCUAGUUAUGGCCCAUGCCACCCCACUAUAUCGAGCCUAUAUCAAGGUACGUAGAACAAAUUUCCUGGAGUCCGUGCUCAACCCUCCUCUAUCUCUCUUCUCAGCUAGCCAGAGGACGCACGGAGCCCAUCGUCUUUUUGCUCACAUGCGGUCCCACAUGUCAGUGAAAAUGCAAGAUGACCCACUGAGCCUGCACAUCUUUCACCUUGAUGUGCUGGUGAUAAAAAACAAAUCCAAUAAAGAUCUUCGGUGGCCGCUUUUGGAGUUACUCAAGAGUAGUAAGAUUCUAUUUACAGUUUAACCCAAGAUGCACAUCACGUGGCUUCAACUACCACUCUAUUUUCUUGCAUGACACGUCCUGGAUGCUGGAUGUCCCAUGUGUCGACAAAAGGAGGAAGAACCCGACCAAAUCUUCGGUUGUGCUAUCGGAUUAGACUAGUUGUGCUAACUUAAAAAUUUUAUUGUGUACUCCCUCCGUUCCAAAAUACUUGACUUCCAUUUGUCCAAAAGUGGAUGUACCUAUAUACUAAAACAUGUCUAGAUACAUCUAUAUUUUGACAAAUAGAAGGCAUGUAUUAUGGAAUGGAGGGAGUAGAAUGGAUGCAAGUUUUGGUAUUGGGAAGAAGAGUACAUCGAUAUAUUGAUAGAGCGUAAUCUAGUAGAUGUUCUAGCACUUUUAGCUAGCAUAGAGGCUAGAGAUGAGACUAGUGCACUUGUUGAUACUCCUACUAGAAUAAAGGCUAGACAUGAGACUAGAUGCGAGGAAGCAACAUCUACUUAUUUACACUUGAAGAAGAAAGAAGCACGCAAGAUCGAGCCUCUACAGAUCAACAAUGAAUGCAUCGAGAAGGCACUAAUCCAACUUACAGGAGCAGUUAUGGAAGUUGGGUAUCUUCUAGAAGAGUAAAAUGUAUUCUUGUGGUUCUUAUUUUCUUUGGUCUUGCUUUUCUAGUCAAAAUUAUUGUUGGAGUUCAUGCAAAACGGAGGUACAUUUGGGGUCGUGUGUUGGAGUUGGCCUUACAAGUGGGACCGCAGUUGAGGAAACUGACUACCGGCAAAACCCCACCUCGCCCGUCGUGCGAUGGCUGAAAUUAGAGAAACGACGAGGUUGAAGAGAUUGCUCUAGCACGGACUCCGAGAAAUAAUAUGGUGUCAGAUGGAUGCACUACAAAAAAAUACACUUCCGUGAUGAUACGUGUUUGUCACAGUAGGUCGCGUUUUUUGUCAUGCAUGUACAUCCAUGACAAAUUUAUGACAGAAUCAAGAUAGUCAUACCUGUGCUGUCGUAGAAGUGUUCCAUGACAUUACCAAAAUUAUCAUCACGGAAGUGUCCACUUCCAUGAUGAUAAAUCGCGCGUCAUAGAAGUGCUUUCAUCAAGGAUGACCAACACGUGGCAUCCACCGUAACGGAAUGCCGUUAAGCUAUCGGGUCAGGUUUUGGAUCUGAUAACCCGUUAACAGCCCCGACCAAUGGGGAUUUUCCACGUGUAAAAUCAUCAUUGGCUGGAGGAAACACGUGUCGGCUCACCGUUGGGACAGAUGUCAUCCACUCAUUGGACGGAAGAUGCCUAUGGUACGUCGACACGUGGCACGGCCCAACAGAGGCCCAUUCCUGUGAAAAGGCCGGCCCAGUAAAAAUUAGUAGGCCAGCCCAUAUAAGGCCUACUUGUGUCAGGUCCAUUUAAGCCCAUGGCCCAUACGAGAUGAGCCAAUUUGGUCCGUCAACGGCCCAUUAAAGAUUUGACACCAUUGCAACCCAUCGUUGGUUUGAGCCCGUUAAUAGCCCGCUAUAUAUCUGGGCUCAAUAUCGGCCCGAUGAUAUUUCGGCCUGUUAACGGCCCGUUUAAUGGAUGGGCCAAUUUUCAGGAUGUACAUCUUUCGGCCUUUUAGCGACCCAUUUAAAUGUUGUGUAGUUUCUGGCCCGGUGUGUCUUUCAGCCUAUUGACGACCCAUAAAUCUGAUGGGCCAUUUGUUGUCGGACCUGAGUUUCGGCCUUUUAGCGGCCCAUUUAAGUGUUGGGCCAAUUUUCUGGCCCGGUGUCACUUUCAGCCUGUUGACGUCCCAUAAAUCAGUUGGGCCAUUUUUAGUCGGACCUGAGUUUUGGCCUUUUAGCGACCCAUUUAAGUGUUGGGCCAAUUCCCGGCCCUGUGUGACUUUCGGCCUGUUAACAGACCAUAAAUGAGUUGGGCCAUUUGUAGUCGGACCUUAGUUUUGGCCCUUUAACGGUCCAUGCCCUUCACGGUCCAAUAUCAGCCCGGUUUCUCUUUCGGUCUACUAAAGGCCCACAACACAGUUGGGCCAUUCACAAUUCGACCUGACUUUCAGCUCUUAGCGGCCCAUGGUCUUCAUGGUCUAGUACAAGCCCGCUGUCUCUUUCGGCCUGCUAAAGGCCUACAGUAUAGUUGGGCCAUAUAUAGCCCAAACUUAGUAAUGGCCUGUUAACGGCCCGUGAAAUAAACUGGGGCCACCUGUUGCCCGCUUCGAUGUCGGCCUGUUAACGACCCGGGAUGUAAGAGGGCCGACCAUUAAAUUUCGGCCUAGUAACGGCCCAUUAACUUAAUGGGCCCACUAAAGUUCGUACAUGUCUUUAGGCCAAAUUAGAUAAUUUGAGCCCAUUACAACGAGCAAUUAUGCACAGGACCAAAACCGAUCACGCAAAGGUACAGCAUACAGGGAAUAACGUUGCACAUCCAGCAUAUAUUACAGGAAAUUACAUCCACUGGGCAAUCAAAGAUUGAUGCCAGUGCAAAUAAAUGAGCAGAACCUAACCAUCUACAACAUCACAAGCUGCAACCUCAGCACAGAUUAUGCCCAUAAGCAUGUGGGCAAGUUCUUUCUGCUUUGCUACACUAUCUCCGAAAACAUUGAUCGGUUGUUGUGUCGCACGACUCUGCACCUCUGAUUCAUCCACCAUUUCCAUCAUUGCUUCAGCCAUUAAUUGGUUCACAAACAUACAUUUAUUCUGUUGCAUUCGAGACAGAGGAUACUGAACAGAUUCGGAUGGCGAUUUUGGCAGGCUUGUAUUAUUGAUAGUGGAGAGUGUCUCGACCACUGCAUCAUAACAUAAAUUACGACGGGAACCAAACAGAUUAAUCAUGAGUUAUUGCCAUAUUACCUGGCCUAGAUUUACUGGAAAGAAACAAUUGGGUUGCCUUGCUGUUUUUAGAGUUUGUCUUCUUAUCUUCAGCAGCCUGCACAAAAUUAACACACUAGCAUUGCUAUCAUUGGCCAAGUCAGAUAAUAGGAAAGCAACAUUGACACAACAAACGUUUGGGCAAGUAGCCUACACCAAAUUAACACAAUAUGGCACAGCUAUCAUCAGCCACGUAAGGUAGCACGAAAGCAACAUUGACACAAUGAAUGAAUGGGCAACCAGAGAAGCACUACAAUUCAGUAAUGUGCGUGAUAUGAGAUAGUACAUUCAUGCAGCUCAGUAUGCAAAACUACCAGGCAGUUUUCCUUACAAAAAUCAACAUUGGCGCCUUUAACAUUUUGCUACAACUAAUUUUAGAUUAGAUAAAGGUUAGAUUCACGCCGAUUAACAAAAUACAUGUUGAUGUAAAAAUAUAGUGAUAUACAACAGGUACUUACAUCAGCAUUGGAGCACAGAGAAUUCCCGCAAGAUAUUUUCCUCGAAUACGAUCCCAAUGGAGGAAGUCUUCUAUCGUUUAACCUUAUUUUCUAAAAGAGAGAUGGGUAAGAAACAUGUAGAAAAUAUGAUCAGAAUGCUAUAAAAUUUCAUGAUGCGAGGAUACGCACACACUUCUUAGAAUGGAGUUGACAUUCUUUUGCUGGACUGGAGCAGACUAGUUCUUUGGCCACUGGAAUCUGCUUAUUAUCAGUGGGAGUUGGGUUUCUCUAUGCCGGAGCAGUAUCUAUGAAAAAUGGAGUUGGUUUAUUAUCUCCUGGCGUUUGGAUCUUUUGCAAAGACCUGGUUUGUAACCCUUCAGAUUCUAACAGAGCCGUCUUCCCCUUGCAUGCCUUAUAUAGAAUAAUGGUGAUUCAGUUAUAAAACAUGCUACAACAGAGAUGGAAUAGGUAUUGAAGAAUAGAAAGGCAUGACAUAUUGACAUGUAUUCCCUCCAUCCGGAAAUAGAUGGACGGGUCUAGGCGUAUUUCAGUUCUAGAUACAUCCAGUUUUAUCCAUUUUUGCGACAUUUAAUCCGGACGGAGGGAGUAUGAUGUAAGAGCUAGGGAUACGACAGGACAACACAGUAAAAAAAACACUGAAAACCCCACUGCAGAACCAAAGUAUUCAAACCCACUGAUAUGAGAUAGUACACUCAUGCAGCUCAGGAUGCAGAACUAUCGGGCAGUUUUCCUUACAAAAAUCAACAUUGUGGCCUUUAAUCAUACAUUUUGCUACAACUAAAUUUAGAUCAGAUAAAGGUUGGAUUCACGCCGAUUAACAAAAUACAUGCUGAUAUAAAAAUAUAGUGAUAUACAACAGGUACUUACAUCUACAUUGGAGCACAGAGAAUUCCUGCAAGAAUCUUUCCUCACAAACGAUACCAUUGCAGAAAUUCUUCUACCUGUUAAGCUUAUUUUCUAAAAGAGAGAUGGGUAAGAAACAUGUAGAAAAUAUGAUCAGCAUGAUAUAAAAUUUCAUGAUGCAAGGAUACGCACACACUUCUUAGAAUUGAGUUGACAUAUUUUUGCUCGAUUGGAGCGGACUAGUUCUUUGGCCACUGGAAUCUGCUUAUUAUCAGUAGGAGUUGGGUUUCUCUGUGCUGGAGCAGUAUCUAUAAAAACUAGAGUUGGUUUAUUAUCUCCUAGCGUUUGGAUCUUUUGCAAAGGCCUUGUUUGUAACCCUUUAGAUUCUAACAUAGUCGUCUUCCCCUUGCAUGCCUUGUAUAGAAGAAUGGUGCUUUAAUUAUAAAACAUGCGACAGCAGAGAGAUGUAAUAGGUACUGAAGAAUAGAAAGGCAUGACAUAUUGACAUGUAUUCCCUCCAUCCAGAAAAAAAUGGAUGGGUCUAGGCGUAUUUCAGUUCUAGAUACAUCCUUUUUUAUCCAUUUCGGCAACAUGUAAUCUGGACGGAGGGAGUAUGGUGUAAGAGCUAGGGAUACGACAGGACAACACAACAAAAAAAACUAGUUGAAUGUAAAACUAUAUGCUAGUGGAAUACGUACAGAAAUAACCAAGGCAACAUACACAUGUAUGAUUGGGAAAAUAAGAUGGCAUUGCAACAGAGCACUAGAACAACACUUCAAUGUAAAAAAAUAUGGUAUGGCAGACAGAUGAAGUACAUACUGAUGAAUAACAAUGCAUAAGAUAUUCAGAAGCAUGAUGUCCAAAUUAAGCAAAUGGCAUUGCGAUAGAGUAGAAUGACAGUACUUGAAUUUGAAAACAUGUUAUCAUGAAUGGAAUAGGUACUGAAAAACAGGAAGGCAUGACAUAUUUACAUGCAUGAUUAGCAUGCUAAGCACAUGGCAUUGCAAUAGAGUAGAUACACUCCAGGACAUUAUAUGCAUGUUGUACCCAUAUCAUAGGCCAAGUUAGAGCAAGGACCUUGUGGGGUGAAGAGGAUUCAUCAUCUUUCUGCAAGUCUUCUGAAGAACUGCCUUUACAUGUUCCAUCAUAUUGGGUAUCAUUGACAUCAAGUUUAUUGGCCUUUACAUUGCUCCGUGAGGUUCUUGUGGAUAUAUCAGUGUGUGCAAUUAUAUCUGACAUGCAUGGAAGACAACUAGUAGUUAGAUUUAUGUAAAUGAGUGCCUGUAGGAGACGACAUAAAUAGUAGGACUGGGUUUAACUAGCAGCAACAGGUCUCAUAAACUAAAGGGAGAACACAGAUGAAAGCUACAGAAUAUGUAUCGUUUGUACUCAAGAUUAACUAGAUGGCACACAAAAGUAUUAAAGAACAACAUAGGUAAUACUAGAAGUGGUAUAAUACUAUAAUCACCAGCCUGUGGGAUAGCAUUGGCUGAUGGAUGAUAACUAUGGAACAACGUUACCUAAAGAACAAGUAUCUUAGCUGAACUAUGGAACAACAUGAACUCCUGAACAAGACCCAUAAGAGAUCAGCAUGAAUAUACAGUGAAAUGUGAUGAUCUAUUUUCCGUGCUUAGAUGAAUAACAAAGCCAUAAAUGUUGCACACAGGUAAGAUGUGGGUACAACCUAUCUGGCUGCCAUCCAUAGGAGUGAGCAUCAUGUGCUGACUUGUCGAUGGCCCUGCAGUUGUUGUGGUUGUCCAUGUCGGGCACGCGCAUUUGAUGCAGGGAACUAUUGAGUGGGGACUGUAGCUCCCUUCUAGUGUAUGCUUCCCUUGUUGGAGCAGCUGCGGUGAGUCGGAAGACGGUGUGUCUGAAGAUGCAGAUAACGCAUAAAGUUAAGAACGACAUAUCUCUUUGAUACGAAGAAAUACACUAAGAGAUCAACAGCAAGGUACAAGAGUGGUCACACAUCUGUUGACUGAAGACUAAAUUGGGGUCACACGAUUUUAUUUUAUUAUGGUACUGUCCGAUCUACGCCGGAUGGCUUGAUGGCCGUCUUGUGUCUCCCGGCUGACACUGUUCGGAAUCUUCCCCGAAGAGCCAGUGACCAACGGCAGAGCAGCCUGCCUACGCCGUCCGUGGCCCCAUCCAAAACCCCGCUCCCCGCCCCACCGCACCGCCGUGGUUGCGCCGCCCCCGGGCCAAUCCACAAAGACUCCUCGUCAUCCAGAUCCAGCGGCGGUAGUACCUUCAACCCACGCAACUCUAAAAGAUAUCCAUCUAAGCGCUGCUUCCGCGGCGAACUUGCGGCCCCGCACCCUUACGUUAGACACCAGCCAACCAGCAGCCUAGGAGCUCCGCCGCCUCGAGGGGUGCUGCUUCCCAUUGGGAAUCGAUUGGCCCAGAAUAAAAAUUCAGACAACUGACGCCUAAAUAAAGUGAUUUCAGAUGAGGGUGCGACCUAUCUGGCGGCAUGGUGAAGUAGGCAGGUCUAGUUGCCGAGUCGGUGAGGCCGGCGCGGUUGCGGUGGUGACCGGAGGCAGGGAAAGUGCAAUGUCGCGACGAUCGAUGGCUACGCGGAAGCAGCGCCAGGACUCUGGACGGAUCCGAAGUUGGAGCCGCUCCGGCGCCGUGAACAACGGCGGGGGUGAAUCGGCUCUAGUAUGGUUCACGCGACCAUCAUCGAGGCAGCACCAGCAGCACGGAGUAAGAGGCACACGACCCAGUGCAUGACGUCAAUUGAACAGCGUCUCCGGCAUUAGGGAGGAGGGCGGCUGUGAAAUUGGUGCGGUGGGGGGCGCCAUGGAGGUGGGGCNNNNNNNNNNNNNNNNNNNNNNNNNNNNNNNNNNNNNNNNNNNNNNNNNNNNNNNNNNNNNNNNNNNNNNNNNNNNNNNNNNNNNNNNNNNNNNNNNNNNNNNNNNNNNNNNNNNNNNNNNNNNNNNNNNNNNNNNNNNNNNNNNNNNNNNNNNNNNNNNNNNNNNNNNNNNNNNNNNNNNNNNNNNNNNNNNNNNNNNNNNNNNNNNNNNNNNNNNNNNNNNNNNNNNNNNNNNNNNNNNNNNNNNNNNNNNNNNNNNNNNNNNNNNNNNNNNNNNNNNNNNNNNNNNNNNNNNNNNNNNNNNNNNNNNNNNNNNNNNNNNNNNNNNNNNNNNNNNNNNNNNNNNNNNNNNNNNNNNNNNNNNNNNNNNNNNNNNNNNNNNNNNNNNNNNNNNNNNNNNNNACCAUGUCUUACGGACGCAUCUGUCUUAAAUGUGAGGGGGAGUUACAGCUCUACCCUUGCCUAUAGGCUUCUUGGCUUGGGUCUGUGUACUGAGGGUCGGGGAUAGUAGAGUAACUUUGCUUCUCCCCAAAUAGUGGGCGGGAUCGAUUUCAGGCGAGGAGGGCGUGUUUUGAACUAUAGUGGGUGCGAGCGAAUUCGGGCGAGGAGAGCGUGUUUUGAAAUAGUGGGCGCGAGCUAUUGCAGGCGAGGAGAGCGUGUUUUGCCGACCAUGGUUUAUGAAUUAUUCGGCACAUGUCGUUUCGGCCAAGGAGAAGGCGCGCUUGGAUGAAGUUAGGAACCUACCCUCGAUGUACAACGGGCAAUUGAUGCGUGUCCCACAUAGGACAGUAAUAUCGCGUCUCCCAUUUAUUUGCUCGGGCGAAUUCCACCGAGCAGAGAGGAUGUUUAAUGGUUCGUUCAAAUUUUGGGAGAACGAGCAUCCACGUCUACCUUACCAAGUCGAUUCGAAUCAAAUUUUGAAAUAUUAGCUUGCCACUUCUUUUUUAGAUGGAGAGAUGAUGCUCGGGAGUAAUGUGUUUUUACAUGCUCGUUGCUAGCGAUUUACUAUAUGACAAAUAGUUGAUCCACUAAAAAACGCGAAUCAAACCCAAAAUGAAAUAUCUCGAUUCAAUGAACUAGCUCGUUCAGUAGGUCAAAAUAGUGAACUAAAUCCAAAAUUGAACACCUCAAUCGAGUAGCAUGUUGUACAGUAUUAUAGUACUCCAUGAACAUGUUGAAAGUCAAAUUAAUGAACUUGUUUGAUAUACGCAUAUAUCUGUUCAUGUGUGGAUUGCAGACAACAUGGUCUCCAAUUUAAAUAUUUGAAUGCAAGUUUAUAUCAGUCUUUGAUGCAUAAAACGCGACCUCCCCCUCUCCCGGACUCCUGUUCUCUCUCUCUCUCUCACUCUCUCGCCGACAAUCUUCAAUUCUGUCGCACGCAUCCGACACAAAAACCUUGUUGGUCCCUCUCCCUUUCUCUCUCUCCCCCCUCUCUCUCUCUCUCUGUGUGUGUGUGUGUGUGUGUGAAAGUACAACUAUCCCUAGGUGGUUUUGGUAAUUCAUAACAACAUAUAGCUCAUUGAGCUAAUGCUAUUCCAAGACUAAUAUUUCAGGAAAGCUCAAUGAAUGGCAUGGCAUGGAUGAUGAAAGUGGAUCCCUCAAAAUACUAAGGACAAAGGAUUGGCUCAAGCUCAUUAGCUCAAGACUCUUCAUUUUAUAUUUUAGUGAUCCAAGAUCACAUUGAGCCUAUAGGAAAAGCCAAUACUAUCAAGGAGGGAUGAGGUGUUGCUUAAUGAGCCUCUUGCUUCAUGUGCUUAGUGAUAUGCUCCAAAACCCUCAUCUACUUUCUCACAUCCACAAAUGACCUAAACCCAAAGCCAAAAUCAGUCACACCGAUUCUUCCUAUCCGGGGACACCGAAUUCAAAUGUCAUAGCCACUGCCACAAACCCUAGGCAAAUCGGUUUUACCGAUAGGGAUCUCGGUCUCACCGAGAUGGGAUUGUAAUCUCUCUGUUUCCCUUUGUAACGUUUCAUUCAAACCAAAGUGAGCAAUCGGUCCCACCAAGAUUGCAAUGUAAACUCUCUGUUUCCCUUUUGUAACAUUUCGGUCUCACCGAAAAGAGCAAAUCGGUCCCACCGAGUUUACCUGACCAACUCUCUAGAAAGCUUAUUACCAAAAUCGGUCUCACCGAGUUUGUGUAAUCGGUCUUACCGAGAUUAAGUUAUGCCCUAACCAUAACCGAAUCGUUCUCACUGAGUUGCAUGUCAAUCCCACCGAAAAUCACUAACGGUCACUAGGUUUACUAAAUUGGUCCGACCGAGUCAGUUGAAUCGGUCCCACCGAGUUUGGUAAAUUGUGUGUAAUGGUUAGAUUUUGUGUGGAGGCUAUAUAUACCCCUCCACCUCCUCUUCAUUCAUGGAGAGAGCCAUCAGACUAAACCUACACUUCCAACUUACCAUUUCUGAGAAAGAACCACCUACUCAUGUGUUGAGGCCAAGAUAUUCCAUUCCUACCAUAUGAAUCUUGAUCUCUAGCCUUCCCCAAGUUUCUUUCCACUCAAUUAUUCUUUCCACCAGAUCCAAAUCCUAUGAGAGAGAGUUGAGUGUUGGGGAGACUAUCAUUUGAAGCACAAGAGCAAGGAGUUCAUCAUCAACACACCAUUUGUUACUUCUUGGAGAGUAGUGUCUCCUAGAUUGGCUAGGUGUCACUUGGGAGCCUUCGACAAGAUUGUGGAGUUGAACCAAGGAGUUUGUAAGGGCAAGGAGAUCGCCUACUUCAUGAAGAUCUACCCUAGUGAGGCAAGUCCUUCAUGGGCGACGACCAUGGUGGGAUAGAAAAGGUUGCUUCUUCAUGGACCCUUCUUGGAUGGAGCCCUCCGUGGACUCGCGCAACCGUUACCCUUCGUGGGUUGAAGUCUCCAUCAACAUGGAUGUACGAUAGCACCACCUAUCGGAACCACGCCAAAAACAUCCGUGUCUCCAACUGUGUUUGAAUCCUCCAAACCCUUCCCUUUACUUUAUUGCAAGUUGCAUGCUUUAAUUUCCGCUGCCUAUAUACUCUUUGCAUGCUUGCUUGAAUAGUGUGAUGAUUGCUUGACUUGUCCUAAGAUAGCUAAAAUCUGCCAAACUCUAAAAUUGGGAAAAGCUUAAGUUUUUAAUUGGUCAAGUAGUCUAAUCACCCCCUCUAGACAUACUUCAAGGUCCUACAAGUGGUAUCAGUGCUUUGGUCUCCAUUUGCUUUGAUUUCCAUAGCUUUUGGUGGUCAUAGCCUUGGUUUCACAACCUAUGAGAGUAUGGCGUCUAGCGAGGGAAAUUAUCACCGUAGAGGUCCUUACUUUCAUGGUACUAAUUUUGCUAGUUGGAAGCAUAAGAUGAAAAUGCAUAUUCUCGGACAUAACCCCGCCGUCUGGGCUAUUAUUUGUAUUGGCUUGCAAGGUGAAUUCUUUGAUGGGAGAGAGCCGAACCGUGAAGCUAAUGCGGAAGAAUUGAAGAUGUUGCAAUACAACGCUCAAGCUUGUGAUAUCAUCUUCAACGGUCUGUGCCCCGAAGAAUUCAACAAAAUUAGCCGUCUUGAGAAUGCAAAGGAAAUUUGGGACACUUUGAUUGAUAUGCACGAAGGUACCGAAUCUGUCAAGGAAUCCAAGUUGGAUGUGCUCCAAAGUCAGCUUGACAAGUUCAAAAUGAAGGAUGGUGAAGGUGUCGCUGAAAUGUACUCUAGGCUUGCUCUUAUUACAAAUGAGAUUGCCGGCUUAGGGAGUGAAGAGAUGACCGACAUAUUCAUCAUCAAGAAGAUCCUAAGAGCAUUGGAUAGAAAGUAUGAUACCAUGUGCACAUUGAUCCAAAUGAUGCCAAACUACAAAGAUCUCAAGCCAACGGAAGUCAUUGGAAGGAUUGUUGCUCAUGAGAUGUCACUCAAGGAUAAGGAGGAACUUCACAACAAGUCAAGUGGUGCUUACAAAGCCUCAAGUGAAGCCCCCACACCAUCAAGUGAGAAACAAACCUUCAAUGAAGAAUUGAGCUUAAUGGUGAAGAACUUCAACAAAUUCUACAAGAGUAGAAGCAAAGAAAGAAGCUCCAAGUCAAGGUCUUACCAUGACAAAAGAUCUUCUAGUCGAGAGCGCAAUUGCUACAAUUGUGGGAGGCCUGGACACUAUUCCAAUGAGUGUACGGCACCCUACAAAAGAAGAGAAGAUUCUCCAAAAAGAAGAAGUAGAAGAGAAGAAUCACCACCAAGAGAGAGGAGGAGUAGAGAUGAUCGUUAUGAACGAAGAUCCUCACGGAGAAGCAAAGAUUCAGAAAGGAAGGACAAGUCAUCAAGGAGAUACACAAAACGAAGACAUCAAGCUCAUGUUGGUGAAUGGGUUUCCAGCUCUGACUCCGACAAACACUCCUAGAGAAACUAUCACUCCGACUCCGAAUAUACUCAAGAUGAAGGUGUUGCCGGUCUAGCACUUGUGUCAACCAACUCCUACGACAUAUUUGAUUCACCAAAUGAAGGAAUUGGAAGAUGCUUCAUGGCCAACGGUCCAAAGGUAACACAUCCUGAGUAUGUUGAUUUCAAUAGUGAUGAAGAUGACUUGCUUGUGGAUGAUGAUUUACUUGUUGACAACUCUAGUGAUGAAUACUAUGAUGAAACGUCAAUUAAUCAUGCUAAACAAGAUAAAACGAAUGACAAUGAUAAGGAGAAGAUUGAGCUUCUAACUAAAGAACUAAACACUCUUAAGUUAGCUCAUGAAACUAUCUUCGAAAAUCGUCGAGAACUUUUAAGGGCUCAUGAGAAGUUACGCUUUGAAAAGCUCAAUCUUGAGCAAGAGCAUGAGUUCUUAAAAGCAAUCAAUGAUGAUCUCCGUAAGAAAAGUUCUUCUUACAUUGCCAAGCGUUUACUCCUAUCUACUUACAUGCCUCAAGUCAAGUCUAGUAACAAGUACAAGAAAGAUACUUCCUCUAGUAGUAACAAUAACAAUGUCAAAUCCAAUAUUGUUGCUUCUAGUAGUUCUCUUGAUUCCACUAAUGAUUCUCUUAGCCAAGUUACACUUGAGCAAGAAAAUAGCUUAUUGAAGGGAAUUAUAGAGAAAGGUGUUUACAAGAGCCUUGCCGGGAGUAAGCAAUUCGAGGAAAUUGUACACAAGCAAGGAAGGCACCGGAAGAAUCAAGGUGUUGGUUUUGAAUGAAAGUUCAAUGCCAAUGGAGUUGAGUGGGAAGAAUAUCAAUACCCCAAGACGAAGUUUGUUCCUCAACAAGUGAAGUAUGAUCCUACUUCCUUUAAGGGAACACAAGCUCAAGAUGAUCUUCCACCACAAGACCAUAAAGGCAAGGACAAGCUUCAAGAAGAGAUUGAUGCAUUUGAAGAAGCACCUAAGGUCUCGGUCAAGUGGAUUCCCAAGACUACGUCAAGUUCUACUUCAUCAAGUACAACUACAACUCCAAGGAUUCCCAUCAAGAUGAUGUGGAUCCCGAAGAAGAAGAACUAGAGAGUUCUUGAGGGUGACUCCGCCAACAUUCUUCACUCAUAUUAUUAUGGCAAGGACAAGUGCAAUCAACCUCCACAUCUUGCACUAGUUCAAGGAGUCACAAACCCUCAUGUUGGUAAGGCAAGGAACAAGGUAACCUAAUGUUUUCAUGGACAUCAUCUUGUGUGUGCAUCACUCUAUGUCUAUGGAUAUUCUUGUUUGUUCCUUGUGGGACUAACCCAUGUAGGUAUGUUGAAAGUGCAACUCACUCCAAUGGAUUGCUCCAAAUGAUCUACAUCAACAUUGAGCAUCCACAUCUUCAACACCUACAUGAAGUCAUCAUCGACAAAACCCAAGGUUAGUUCAUCCCUCUAAAAGGGGAUCUCACAUCUAGGGGGAGCUUAACUCUAAGACUUGAGUCAAAGCAACUGUAAUGGUGUGAACACAUCAAUGCAUUAUGUAAAAGUGGUAACCCCACUUGGGCUUAAAUGAUGAGUAUGACCUAUGAUCAAAUGUUUAUCAUUUGACUCCUAAGUCAAUAUACUCAUAUAUAGAUGACCUAGUCAUCGCCAAUUGUUUGAUAGAUGCUAGAAUUGGUUGUGCAUGCUUUGCUACAUAUUUCUUUUGCCAUCUUAUUGUGUGAGCAUGUUGGUGCAUAUUUUACUCAUUUAAGGACAUCCACUUGUUGUUUUGAUUGUUUGGUUCUUCCUUCUUUUGGCCAAGUGGAUGGACAAGAAUGCCUAAGAACUUUCUCUAGCUAUCUAUGCUUUUCUCGUCUCAAACUCUAUUCAUGCUACAUCACAAAAUUUGAUCAAGUCAGAUUCGAACCACUCUGUGUGAGGAGCACUCGGAGUCCCCGAUUCGUCAUAGACUUAAACUUCCAAAACUUCUUUGUGAUUCUCGGUCUACCGAUUCCUCCAUUUCGGUCCAACCGAGAUCACUAAGACAAUCUAGGUUUUCAAUCUCGGUGCAACCGAUUUGAACUUUUUGGUCACACCGAGUUGCUGUAACUGAACAUAGUUAUGCAUCUCGGUGCCACCGAGUUGUUCCACUCGGUCACACCGACAGGGUCGGGCUAUAUAUAGUCACGGGCAAAAUUUGAAAAUUUCUCCGAAACCCUUCGCCCAUGCAAUAGCUCGCUCUGCCUCCAAGGUCUCCGGAUCGUCUCCUCGUCGCCAGCAGCCUCCUGUCGCUGGUCUCUGCCACCGUCAACGGAAUUCAACCCCGCCGUUGCUGCCGUAGCGAGUUCAUCGCCAAGCUAGGGUAUGGAUUGAUCACUGUGCUAUCCUUGUCCGAUUCCUAGCACAUUGUGUUCUUAUUGAUUCUUGCCACGAUUGAAACACUCCGAUCCAAUCCGUAGAUUAGAUGAGAUUUGAAAAUUUAGGGUUAGUUUCCGCCGAAACCAUCUUGGACCCACCGAGUUGAAAAACUCGGUCCCAUCGAUUUGGCUUAUGCCAUUGCGCUAGUAACUCUCGGUCUGACCGAGAAUUGCUAAUCGGUGCGACCGAUUUUAGGACUUUGUGAAACCCUAGCAGUCUUGGUGCCACCGAACUGUGAUUCGGUCCAACCGAGUUCAUCAGUUUAGGUUCCAAAACUGCUUCGGUAUCACCGAGUUUGAAAAUCGGUUGAUCCGAAAUGCUUUCUGUGGAAAACUAAAACUGAAUUUUUUGAAUCAUUCUUUUGCAAAAAUCUCUGCAUUUUGUGAUGCUCAUCCACUCCAUCUCAUCUAUAACUCUUUAUAGGGUCAGCAGUCAGAGUUUGCAGCAUGUCAGACCAGAGUGACAGUCAGAAUAGGUCAGAAGGGCAGAUGCAAAUGAGUGAGGGCACUAGUCCCUCCAGCACUUCAGAUGAAGGCAUCAGGAGCACUCCUAGCAACCUGCCUAAGGCUGCUACCAGGCAAAGGAAGAAGAGAACUUUAGACUAUGAAGAUGAGGAUUAUAGAGCUGAAGAGGAUGAAGCUACUUCCAAGAAGGUAGUGCACAAGAAGGUGCUUAGUUCAACUGCAGUAAAGCCAGGCAUGAAGAUCAAAAGGCCUGCAGGGAGACAACCAAUGUCCAAAGCCAAGCAUCAACUCAACUGCCUGAGAUGCCUGAAGAGCCAGCUGCUGAAGGAAAGAAAAGGAAGGAAAGGGUCAAGAAGACCAUGGCCAGAGUUGUUGGGCAACCUUCCAUGAUGGAAGAAGAAGAGCUUGCUGCACCAGCACCAAAGGCACCAAAGCUUAUGGGAGAUGCUAUUAGAUCAGGGGCUGCAACAUCUAAGCCCAAGGAAGCACCCAAAGCUGCCCCCAAGGCCAAGUCUGCACCAAAGAGGAAUACCAGGAGUAUUCCAGCUGCUGAGAAGAACAAGGCCCCAAUGCCUGAGGUUGUUGAGGAGGAAGAUGAAGAAGGACAAGUUUUGAGGAAGCUCAAGCCCAAGAUACCAGACCAUAAUGAUGCCCAUCCUGUAGCUGAGGACAUGACCAUCAGAAAAGCUUCAGGGUUGAGGCUAUGGAGGAUGACAGAUCCAUAUGCCACAAGGAGAAGAACUGAUGUUGAUUACAGGUUCCAUACAAAGGAACAUCAGGCUUCUAUGAGACAAUCUUGUUGGACAAAAAGCCCAUUGUGUGUGAUAUGAGGUGGGUCGACUAGACCUACAUGAAGGAAAAUGAAGAACACUAUCCAGGAGUACAAGACAGUUUUGUUGCUUGUGGAGUUGCAGAUUUUGUUGGGCAGAAGCUCACCAAUUGGAACGAUGAACUCAUUAUGCAAUUCUACUCCACAGCACACUUCUAUCCAGAUGGAAGGAUAGUUUGGAUGUCUAAAGGUACAAGGUACCAGUCAACUGUUGAGGAGUGGGCAAAACUGAUAAAUGCCCCAAAGGAAAAUGAUGAUGACCUGGAUGUAUAUGCCAAGAAGAAAAUGGGACAUAAUACCAUGGCUCAUAUGUACUCCCUCCGUCCGGAAAUACUUGUCAUCAAAAUGGAUAAAAGGGGAUGCAUCUAGAUGUAUUUUAGUUCUAGAUACAUCUCUUUUUAUCCAUUUUGAUGACAAGUAUUUUCGGACGGAGGGAGUACAAGGAGAUCCCAGACAAAGCCCUAGAGACUUUCUCUUUUGGAUCAGUCCACUUUCUUAUGUCAGGGCUGCCUACAAUCAACUGGAUCCUAAGGCACACUCUAUUGCCUAAGUCUGGUGACCACAACAUGAUUAGAGGGCAUGCAAUCAACAUGUUGCAUUUGUUUGAUGUGCCUCAGAAAUUCAAGGUCAUGAGCCUUAUAGUAGAAACUAUUAAGAGGACUGCAGCAGAUCAUAAGAGGAGUUGUGGAUAUGCCCCUCAGAUUCAGGAGUUGAUUAACUCAAAGAUGGGCACAUGCAAAUAUCUAUUGGAUAGGGAACAUUUUCCUCUCUAUCCAGACUUUGAGGACAAUGAGGUUGUCAUGAAUGAAGAUGAACCAUCAUCAGUUCAAGAUCAAGAGAAGAAGGAGAAGGCAAGGAAGGAGAAGGCUGCCAAGAUGCCAACUCAAGAGGAGGCAUCUGAGUAUUUCUUGAAGAACAAGUAGGAGCAGCUUGGUUAUUUGAUAGCAUCAACACUGAGGAUUGAGAAGGGGUUGGCCACCUUAACUCAGAAUCAGGAGAGCUUGGAAAGAAUCAUGGAACAAAAAUUCUAUGAUCUUGAUGUCAAGGUAACUGAGAUUCAGUCAGUUGUGGAGCAGCUGCAGGAUGACAUGCAGGAGAGGAAGGGCAAGACUACCACUAAUGUAUUUGCCAGAGUGCCUAGAGUUCAGAGGUCAGCUGCAGUGCCAGUGACAGACACUAGAGCAACAUCAUCUGCACCAGCCACAGCUCCUACAGCUCCAGUGCAACCAGCUCCAGCACCAACUCCUCCAGCUCUGUCUACAUCAACUGAAGCCUUCAUCCUUGGAGUUAUCCGGACACCACCAACUGAAGAUCAAGCCUGAGAGUCGAUCUAACACUAUGCAUUUUCUAUGAACUUUUUGGUAACUUGUUGCCAAAGGGGGAGAAAAAUGUAUAGAUCAUAGGCUUCGAGAGAGAGAGAGUGUUGCUUUUGUUCUCUCUUGCUUUGGUGGUUUUAAACUUGUUUGUUUUUUGAUUGCUUGAGAUACUAUGCUAUUCUUGUGAGACAUUGAUGAUCAUGUGUUUGAUCAUAAGCUACACUUAUGCAUGUUUGAUCAUAUUAUCCUAUCUAUCCUAUGUGAUCAUUCACUUUGCUUGGUGAUGAGUGCAUGUAUUUAAUCUUUAUCAUUUUGAGCGCUCCACCAAGAUGUAUGUGACAUGGAAGAGUAACCCAUGAGCCUAAUUCCUUGUGCAUUUGCAGUCCAAAGCAAAUCUUAAACUAUGCACAAAUUUAGGGGGAGCUCUUGCUUAUCACAUACUUCUCAAAGCGACGAUGUUUUUCAAUCUUAUUAUCAUUUGUCGAAGCUUUGAUCUAUAUGUUGUCAUCAAUUACCAAAAAGGGGGAGAUUGAAAGUGCAACUAUCCUUAGGUGGUUUUGGUAAUUCAUAACAGCAUAUAGCUCAUUGAGCUAAUGCUAUUCCAAGACUAAUAUUUCAGGAAAGCUCAAUGAAUGGCAUGGCAUGGAUGAUGAAAGUGGAUCCCUCAAAAUACUAAGGACAAAGGAUUGGCUCAAGCUCAUUAGCUCAAGACUCUUCAUUUUAUAUUUUAGUGAUCCAAGAUCAUAUUGAGUCUAUAGGAAAAGCCAAUACUAUCAAGGAGGGAUGAGGUGUUGCUUAAUGAGCCUCUUGCUUCAUGUGCUUAGUGAUAUGCUCCCAACCCCUCAGCUACUUUCUCACAUCCACAAAUGACCUAAACCCAAAGCCAAAAUCGGUCACACCGAUUCUUCCUAUCCGGCGCCACCUAGUUCAAAUGUCAUAGCCACUGCCACAAACCCUAGGCAAAUCGGUUCUACCGAUAGGGAUCUCAGUCUCACCGAGAUGGGAUUGUAAUCUCUCUGUUUCCCUUCGUAACGUUUCGGUCAAACCGAAGUGAGCGAUCGGUCCCACCAAGAUUGCAAUGUAAACUCUCUGUUUCCCUUUUGUAACAUUUCGGUCUCACCAAAAAGAGCAAAUCGGUCCCACCGAGUUUACCUGACCAACUCUCUGGAAAGCUUAUUACCAAAAUCGGUCUCACCGAGUUUGUGUAAUCGGUCUUACCGAGAUUACGUUAUGCCCUAACCCUAACCGAAUCAGUCUCACCGAGUUGCAUGUCAGUCCCACCGAAAAUCACUAACGGUCACUAGGUUUACUAAAUCGGUCCGACCGAGUCUGUUGAAUCGGUCCCACCGAGUGUGGUAAAUUGUGUGUAACGGUUAGAUUUUAUGUGGAGGCUAUAUAUACCCCUCCACCUCCUCUUCAUUCGUGGAGAGAGCCAUCAGAAUAAACCUACACUUCCAACUUACCAUUUCUGAGAAAGAACCACCUACUCAUGUGUUGAGGCCAAGAUAUUCCAUUCCUACCAUAUGAAUCUUGAUCUCUAGCCUUCCCCAAGUUGCUUUCCACUCAAAUCUUCUUUCCACCAGAUCCAAAUCCUAUGAGAGAGAGUUGAGUGUUGGGGAGACUAUCAUUUGAAGCACAAGAGCAAGGAGUUCAUCAUCAAUGCACCAUUUGUUACUUCUUGGAGAGUGGUGUCUCCUAGAUUGGCUAGGUGUCACUUGGGAGCCUCCGACAAGAUUGUGGACUUGAACCAAGGAGUUUGUAAGGGCAAGGAGAUCGCCUACUUCGUGAAGAUCUACCGCUAGUGAGGCAAGUCCUUCGUGGGCGAUGGCCAUGGUGGGAUAGACAAGGUUGCUUCUUCGUGGACCCUUCUUGGGUGGAGCCCUCCGUGGACUCGCGCAACCAUUACCCUUUGUGGGUUGAAGUCUCCAUCAAUGUGGAUGUACGAUAGCACCACCUAUCGGAACCACGCCAAAAACAUCCAUGUCUCCAACUGCUUUUGAAUCCUCCAAACCCUUCCCUUUACUUUCUUGCAAGUUGCAUGCUUUAAUUUCCGCUACCUAUAUACUCUUUGCAUGCUUGCUUGAAUAGUGUGAUGAUUGCUUGACUUGUCCUAAGAUAGCUAAAAUCUGCCAAACUCUAAAAUUGGGAAAAGGUUAAGUUUUUAAUUGGUCAAGUAGUCUAAUCACGCCCCCUCUAGACAUACUUCAAGGUCCUACAGUGUGUGUGUGUGUGGGGGGGGGGGUCUUUCUAGUCCGCAUUCAUAUAUACACCAUCUAUAGGUCUCUCUCGCACACUAUGUAUGAUACUCUAGCUAGUCCAAGCUAGAUAUCUUGGGUGCACUCAUCGUACGCACACAAAUUCCUUGGCUCUUUGCCCGUAACUCUAUCACGCACCACUAUGUCGUCUCGAAGCUCUUCCCCCCUCUCUCAAACUCUCCAUCCACCUGGGUCACACAUACACAUGCAUAUCUCACUCGCACUCAAUAGGCCCAUCUAAAACUCUAUCUCUCUCCAUCGUUCUCUCUCCAUAUCACAUGCACACACACACACACACAAUCUCAUGCCCAGCUAGCCAAGUAUGAUGGUCUCUCACUUAAUUGUAGGCACACGCAGUCCCCCGUAUAUGUAUAUGACUAGCUAAUCUUAGUCUCCAUCACAAACAUGUGCAUGGUCUAUCUCGAUUUCUCUCGGGGCAUCUUUCUAUCGCGCACGCACUCCCUCGAUCUCCCACCCAUAUAGUCCCCUCACGAUCUCGAGGGGAUCUCUCUAUCACAAACACACCCUCUCUCCCUCCCCAUGCGUCCAUGCCAUCCAUGUGUCCCUCUCGACCUUUUUUCCUUGUUGGCCAGACCUCUAUUGGACAUGUGCUACAGGGGUGUCUCUCUCCGUUGCAAACAAUCACACACUAGCUAUCUUCGUGUAUCUCCUCGCCUCGCUUUUCCAUCUCGGAGAUGCAUGCGUGAUAUGUUCGCAUAAGAAACGAAAAAACACACACUCUCUCUAAUUUAUUGUUUGUUGUCACUUUCUCUUUCACACACAUACUCUUUUUGCACACUUACUCAUUCUCCUUCACACGCACUUGAUCUGUCUCGACUGAGGCACUCACCUCCGUCCAUAGCACAUAGAUUUAUUGAAAAGUCAAACAUCACAAAGUUUGACCAUGUACGUGGAGAAAAAGAGUUACAUCUAGUACGGCAAACAUAUACCAUUAGAUUCACCAUGAGAUGUAGUUUUGUAUGAUGUAUAUUUGGUAUUGUAGAUAUAAAUAACAUUUGCGUAAACCGGAUCAAAGUUUCCAAAGUUUGACUUCUAAAAAAUUUACAUGCACUGCAUUAUUGAGUGGAUGGAAUAUCUCUUUCCCCCUCUCAGCUAUCUGACGCACCACUCAGCAUUAUCGGGGCUCCUCAAUCUCUCUCAAAGUUUAUUGGUCAGUUUGGUUCGUGACCUGACCCUCAUGCCUUGAUGGUCGGUACUGCCUGGUGUGGAUGUGAGAUGUAAAAUAUUUCUGCCUGGCUAGGCUUGUGUGGUGCUGAAGCGUUUGGUUCAUGCCUGGGCCAGGCAAAGCAUCAACGUCCCAUCAAUCAAUCCAUGCAUCAAUUAUUUAAUGCUAAUAUCCAUCCAUGUUGCUGUUAGCCUCAUGGACGCAUGACCAGGCACGGCCAGGCGUUCGAAAUCGGUCGCUUGGGCCAGGCUACUUGCAGUGUCUGGAGUUCAGCCAGGCUAAUUAAAGUGCAAGGGAACCCAGCCCAGGCGGGCUUUCUUUUUCACAGGGUAGCAACCAAACAAGCGUGCAUGAAAUCCAGUCACAACCCCAGGCCACGCAAAAGAUGCUCACGACGCAAGCCAAACGGGCCUUAUAUCUCCGUGGUUCACACAUACACAUGUCUCGCUCGCGCUAUACAUAUAGACCCAUCGAACACUCUCCGCCCUUGUUCUCUCUCCAUGUGACACGCACCCCCCUAAGUACCAUAAUGCCUCACUCCAUCAUAGGCUCUGUUUGGAUCCAUGGGUUAGAGUUAGUUAGAGUUAGUUUGGGUUAGUUUGGAGUCAACUAACCCAAAAAGAUACAAACAGGAGGGUUAGUUUAGGUUAGAUGCAUCUAACCCAUCCAAAAAAACUAACCCAUCCAAAAGGUGCUUAUUUGGGUUAGUUCUUCUCGGGACCACUAAUAAACACUUUUUUCUCCCGCUCUCCCUGCAGCAGAUCCCUCCCCACUUUCUCGAAGCUUCUCGUCCUCUCCCUCCCUCCCUCUCGCACCGCCCAUGAAGGUGCCUCGCCGUAUUCGCGCUCCAUCUAACCCUGCCAUCCAAACACCUCUUUACUUAGAGCUAGUUCAGGGUUUGAAUCUAACUCUAACCUCUAACUGAGUUAGAGUAUCCAAACAGGGCCAUAGGCGCAAGCACUCCCCCCUCCUAAGUAUGAUUAUCUCUUACUAGCCAUCAGGAACACACGUAUUGUCUCCUUCCACCCAUACGUCUAUCUCGAUAUCUCUCGGGGCAUCUUCUAUAGCGCACACACACCUUGUCACUCGAUCUCCCACCCAUGUAGUCCCAUAACGAUAUCCAGGGGAUCUCUCUAUGACAAACAUACACUCUCUCCUCCCCAUGUCUGCAUUUUCUCCGUACGUCUCUCUCGACCUCUCUCCCUUGUUUGUCAGACCCCUCUUGGCCACGUGCUAGGGGUCUUCCUCUCUCGGUUCCAAACAACCACACACUAUCUCCUCACCUUGCCUCCAUUGUCGAAGAUGCAUGUGUGAUAUGUUUGCAUAAGACACGCACGAUUUUUCUCCACUUUUAUCGUGUGUUGUCCAUGUCUCUUUCACACACGCACACACACUUUUUUCACUCUCUCUCUCUCUCUCUCUCUCUCUCUCUCUCGUCAGGGACUCUGUCACGUCCAUAAGCAUAUGGAUGUUUUGAAAAGUCAAACCUCAAAAAAGUUUGACUAGGUAUAUGUGGAGAAAAACAUUUACAUCUGGAAUGAUCAUUAGAUUCAUCACAACAUGUACUUACUUCAUACUAUCAUUUAUCUUUGGUAUUGCCGAUAUAAGUAAUUUCUUUAUAAACUUGGUCAAAGUUUCAAAAGUUUGACUUUAAAAAAUGUUGUAACUACAUUAUCGAACGGAGGGAGUAGCUCUUUCUCUCUCUCUCUGCUAUCUCUCAUGGGCCUCCCCUCUCACUCGAACUCUCUAUACCGACGGAUUAUACGCUCACUGUGUCAGCGUAUAGCUCUGUAUAUUGUUUAGUUGACCAGUCAACCAAUCCACAUGCUGUGUUGUCAGCUCAUGUUCUGUAUCUUGGUGUGCUGGCCCUUGUGGCAGUGGGUGAAAAUAAGUAAACUAGAGGCCCAUCUGACACGUGGUGAAGGAAACAAAGUUGAAACCACUCGGGGUAGCACCCUACACGCUAGUAAAUUGAGGGCGCAUUGAGGACAAACUUCUUGUGCGCGAAGGACGCACUCGCGCACAAUUCACCACUACGCGGUGGCAUGCACAGAAGGACGCACUUGCGCAUACCCAACACACAACACACACCAGCACACGUGUACACCAGCGUCGCCGCCGGUUGAGAUGGAUGGCGAGGCAGCCAACAAGCGGAGGCCGCUUGAGCCAAAACCGCAUCCGGCGAGCCUGGACUUCAUCAGAACCCUCCCCGAUGACAUGCUGCUCGUCAUCAUCGGCCUCCUCCCCACCAAAUCUGCCGUGCGUACCGCCCUGCUCUCCCGGCGGUGGCGCCCCCUCUGGCGCUGCGUCCCCCUCAACCUCACCGUCGACAGAUGCCUGUGCGAUGGGGAUUGCAAACGCAUGGCCGCAGUCUCCAAGAUCCUUUCAUCGCACCCUGGGCCAGCCAGACGCCUUGACAUCCGCAUGUUCAGUACCAACUGCAAGGUCCAACCCAAGUUUGACGAGUGGUUCUUAUCCCCCGCCCUAGAUCACCUCGAGGAGCUCAGCUUAGAAGCUGGACGAUGUGGCUCUCUGCCGCCGUCCGCGCUCCGCCUCACGCCAACGCUGCGCCGCGCCAGCUUCAGCUCCUGCUAUCUUCCCCAGAUUAAUGUUGCGCCCGCCCUUCUUCUCCCUCAACUCAAGCAGCUCGACCUCUUCGAUGUUGUCAUCUCGAAGAAGGCUAUGGAAAACCUGCUCCGUAGCUGUACUGCGCUCGAGUACCUUCGUCUUGAGCAGAUCCACAGGUUCAUUAGCCUCCACAUCGCCUCGAUGAAUCUCCGAUGGAUUUAUGUGUCUUGCUGGCCCCACAACAAGAGAACAAUUGGGAAGAGAUCACUCCAGCUGUUCAAUGUUAUGGUCAUUGAGAAUGUGCCUUUCCUUGAGAGAUUGCUUGUAUCGGAUCUAGAAGGUCCAACAAAAAUCAGGGUCAUUAACGCGCCGAAAUUGACAGCGUUGGUGUACUCGUCUGCCAAAUUCUCCGAACUCUUUAUUGGAUCCGUAAUCGUUAAGGUACAACACUCAUCUUCUUCUCCGUAUUCUUGAAAUUCACAUUUUUAAAUUUCUUCUUGAUGUAUUUACGAUCGUCUUCCAGAAAAUGAUUCCCACAAGCUUGACCCAGUCCAUGCGCACAGUGAAGAUCUUAGCACUAAAAUCUAUCGGCCCCAAUCUGGAUCAAGUUGUUGGAUUCCUUACAUGCUUUCCAUGCACGGAGAAGCUACACAUCGAGGUGAAACUUCUUUCCUAUUAGUAAACGGUAAUCACAACGUAGCUCAAUUUUUUUCGUAAUUUUCCCAAAUUACGAUGACAAGUGUAGUGUUUAAAACUGCAUCUACGCACUGCACCGAAAGAAAUGUUUUUAGUAUUUUUUCUCACGUGAUCACCUGCAUCAUUUUUAUGCUGUACUACUAUAGUACCCUAGGCUAGUCAUAGUGUAAAGUAACUUAGACUACUCCAGUAACUCUAUGGUUACCCUAAGAGCAAGUACUACCUCUGUCCUGGUUUACUCUUCCAAUUUUGUAGUAUCAAAAUUUGACCAUAGAUUUAACUGACAAAAAGUUAAUGCAUGUCACUAAGAACUAUAUCGUUGGAUUCGUAUUUGAACAUAAUUUCAAAUGGUGUAAUUUUUAGUGACAUGCAUUGGCAUUUUCUUAGGUAAAUCUAUGGUCAAUAUUUUAUAUAAAUACGAGGUAUUAUUCCCUCCGUCCCAAAAUUCUUGUCUUACAUUUGUUUAGAUACGGAUGUAUCUAACACUAAAAUGUAACUAGAUACAUCCGUAUUUAGACAAAUUUAAGACAAGAAUUUUGGGACGGAGGGAGUACAAAAGUGGGCUAUGUAGGCCAAAACAUGUGCCAAAUUCACUUGUGAUGCAUUCGGCAUCGAUGCCCCUCCACUGUUCACCUGGUGCCCCAAUCUGGAGCACCUACUUUGCUCCGGUGCCAAAUUAACUCACGCAAUGAAAAAAACACCGCGUGGGAGAGAGAGAGGACUAAGGCAAUAAAAAAACACUUGUUUGGGAGAGUGAGAGGCUGGUGUAGUUGGUUUGAUUGAUUUGUUUAUACAUGUGGGUCUGUGUGCACAGCGGUGCCAACUCUCUCACAUCGUGAGAGUGGUGCCAAAAUCUUUUGAUUUGACAUCGAUGCGUAUUAUGUGGCGUACUUUUGCGAAAUAUGGCAUCGGCCACAUAGUGGAAGGCAACAAAUGCCCAAGCUCUUCAGUGCUCCUAGUUAAAUGAGAGGAAACAGAAACAAAGAGAGAGAGAGAGAGGGAGAGAGAGAGAGAGAGUGAAAAAAUAUCACUAGCCAGCCAACCCUAUCGUAUGAGCGAAUGAUAUUGGUACCUCUUGAUGACACAACAAUCGUAUGUAGCCAGUUGCUCUAAUAUGUUCUCUUCUUUUGCAGAUAAAAAAAGACCCGAAAGUGAAAAAUGUGCUGCACUAUAACUAUCUCAUCGAAUGCCUUGAUCUCCAUCUUACAAAAAUUAAUUUGAUCGACUACCGAGGCAGCACAUCUGAGAUUAAAUUGGCCAGGUUCUUUGUUCUGGAGGCAAGUGUGCUCAAGGUAAUGAGGUUUGGCGUUCUCUGGCACAACAAUGAAUGGCGUGCUGAUCACCGCAAGCGUCUAAGCCUAAAUGACAAAGUCUCCGCAGAAGCUGAAUUUGUUUUUGAAACAUCAAGUGGCCAGAGACUCGAAAACUUAUUUGCCCAUUAGUGACUUGUCAGGGCAGUGGAUUUUAGUUUGUACGAUAGCGCUGCAUCCACCUAAAGUAACGAAAGUUCUUACGUGAACUUCCUAGUAAUUCCCUCUUCCUAGGUGCAACAUUACUCCUAACAUUUGUCAUAUCAGUUUGAAACUUGUAAUAUCUCCGUGUCCUAUUCCUGCGUUUUCAAAAUCCUGCGAAUCAAAUAGGUCCUGAGUUGGUGAUGAUGUUGUGCCUCCCAUCUUUCACCAGUAGCCGUCGGAUCUAGAUCUGACGCAUACAAACCAAGCUUCUCCAUUUUUGCAAAAAGAUGCCCGCACUUGUUCCCUAUUUACAAACAACUCCUUGUCUCUCACAAUCAGCCUUAUCUCCUCCCCACCACAUCUAGAAGGCCGUGGAAAAAUCUGGCGUGAUGGCCGCUGCCGCAGCAGUCCACCCCCAAUCUUGGUGUUCCGUGCAAUGCACGGGCAUCUACGCACGAGAAAUUAUGUCGAAUAGGGCUAGUUGUAAGCAGGCUAGCUCUACAGCCAUGAUGAUAGUGACUGCAGACGGUGAGGCUGACUAUGGUAUGCCGAACACGGCGCCUAUACUCAGGUGUCAUCUCCGGCGCAUGGUCUUGUCACUUCACUAUGAGGAGCAGCAUGUAAUAAUUUGACCAACGGGUAGUACAGUGCUAGUACUCCUAGGAGUACUACAUUGGUAGUACUACUACUAGUACUAGUAGCACCACCAUCUGGAUUUAGGAGUACUACCACGUCCAUCUGGAUUUUAGUAUUUGACUAGCAAUAUCUAGUAAUGCAUGUCACAAAAAAUGUACUACUCCCUCUGUAAAUAAAUACAUGGUGUUUUAUUCCUAUCGGCGAGAGAACUUAAUGUUUUCUUGCUAACUAGAGUCUUAAUAGGAUUACAUGCAAUGAACUAAACACUGCAUGGCAUGUUUGGUAGUCUCAAGUCAUUGAAAGCAUGCACGGCCCACAUGUCUCAUUGGUUGAUAUGUCAUGAAAUAAGAAACAAGGAGGGAGUUAAUGCCCCGUGCCUAAGUGUUUUGGGAUUAUUUGGUUUUCGUAAUGUGACUUACACAACAUUUUUGUUUACAUGCAUUAACAUUUUAUUAGUUAAAUCAAAGGUCAAAACUUGGCGCAAAAUGCAAAGGGGACCAAUAAACCAGUAAACAUCAAACUUCUCUCGUUUGGCCCCAACUAGAGGUCCGGUGAGAUGACUAUACUGCACCGGCACGGAGGGGGGUGCAACUUCAUUGACUUACAGCAACUGCCUUUGGGUGAAUGACACAUGGGCCUAGGGGGUGGCUGGCCCACCUAUCAUACAGCCAAAGGCAGGUGCAGUAGAGGGCCGAGGAGUAGUAUGAAAUCCUACGCACCUACGCACGCUAACCAAGGGCAAGAGUGAUCACUCAAAUCGCAAGAUCAGUUGACUAGUAGAAGCUAAGCUAGACCCAUGGAGGCGAUGAGCGCGAGCAUCAGCCGGCUGUGCCAGAUGGUCCACGACGCCGGCCUGCGGCCCGGCAACGAGGAACGUCUCCAGGUAGUAUUGCUUGAGGCCGGCAGGGCGAGGGGCCGUUUGGAUGACAGCUUCGUCUCCUUGUUCGAUGAGGUCCUCGUCGGUUUCCUCGACAAGUUCACCGUCGUCAAGAAGCUCGCGGACGACUUUGAUGUAAGCCUUCAGCCGACGUGCCCUGGCUCUGCGAUGCCCGCCACCCUCAACGGCCACUAUGGUGACAACCUCUUCGACGCACUGGUGGCCCUGCGACUGCCCGCCGUCGCGCCGGAGAAUAUCCACCUUGAGGUCGCGCUCGCCACGCAGCGCCUGGUGCAGCAAGACACCAUGGACAUAAUCACCCAUGUCUACGCGCAUGCAAGAGGAGGACAAUAGGAUGCUGGCCAUCUUGGACCGCAAGGCAACCUUGGACGCACUAUUCAGAAGCACGUUGAGCUCGCCGCCAAUGCCGCUUCUCCUCACACAUCGGUUGGUGACCCGGCGCACUAGGGCGUGAGGAUGUCGUUGAUGGAUCCGUAUGUAUUUUUAUCUUUCCGUCAAAUCCAUGUAGUAGUAUAUGAUACUACAGUAAUUAUCUUACCUUUCGCAUCAACUUCAUAAUUUUCGUACGUACACCAUGCAUGAACGGCGCCGGAACCAAACUUCUCAUUACUCUAGGCAAAAUCAUUAUUUUCUAUCUAUUGAUCGCGCCAUGGAGCAGAACCAAAUUUUACAAGUUACGAGUUCAAAAGGAAAAGCCUGCCGUGUUCGCGUCGCACCCCCACACGGUUGGUCCGACAUGCCGCUCAAGGGGGAAUGCGUGCGGUGUUGCAUUUUCACUUACAAGUGGGACCGUAGUUGAGCAAACCGACUAUCGGCAAACCCCCACCCCGCCCACCGCGCGAUGGCUGAGAAAACAGGAGGGAGAAGAGAUGGCUGUAGCACGGACUCCAAGAAAAUUGGUGUUAGAUGGGACUCGUGUGGGUGGCGUGUGCCGUAGUGCUAGACGUGAAUGCUAGUUAUGGCCCAUGCCACCCCACUAUAUCGAGCCUAUAUCGAGGUACAGUACGUAGAACAAAUUUCCUGCAGUCCGUGCUCAACACUCCUCUAUCUCUCUUCUCAGCCAGCCAGUGGACGCGUGGAGACCAUCGUCUGUUUGCUCACAUGCGGUCCCACAUGUCAGUGAAAACGCAAGCGGACCCACUGAACCUGCACAUCUUUCACCUCGACGUGCUGGUGAUGAAAAACAAAUCCAAGAAAGAUCUUCGGUGGCCGCUUUUGAAGUUACUCAAGAGUAGUAAGAUUCUAUUUAUAGUUUAACUCAAGAUGCACAUCUCGUGGCUUCAACUUAUCAACUACCACUCUAUUUUCUUUCAUGACACGACCUGGAUGCUGGAUGUCCCACGUGUCGGCAAAAGGGGGAAGAACCCGACCAAAUCUUCGGUUGUGCUCUCGGAUUAGACUAGUUGUGCUAACUUAAAUUUUUUAUUGUGUACUCCCUCCGUUCCAAAAUACUUGACUUCCAUUUAUCCAAAAAUGGAUGUGCCUAUAUACUAAAACAUGUCUAGAUACAUAUAUAUUUUGACAAAUAGAAGGCAUGUAUUGUGCAACGGAGGGAGUAGAAUGGAUGCAAGUUUUUGUAUUGGGAAGAAGAGUACAUCCAUAUAUAGAUAGAGGCAAUUUAUUAGAUGCUCUAUCACUUUUAGCUAGCACAGAGGCUAUAGAUGAGAUUGAUGCACUUGUUGAUACUCCUACUUGGUAUGCGUGUUGCUGCUUAGACGCAGAGAAAAACAGACCGGAGGGAGUACUAGAAUAGAGGCUAGACAUGAGACUAGAUGCAAGGAAGCAACGUCUACUUCUUUACACUCGAAGAAGAAAGAAGCACGCAAGAUCGAGCCUCCGCAGAUCAACAAUGAAUGCAUCAAGAAGGCACUAAUCCAACUUACAGGAGUAGUAAAAUGUAUUCUUGUGGUUCUUGUUUUCUUUGGUCUUUCUUUUCUAGUCAAAAUUAUCGUUGGAGUUCGUGCAAAACGGAGGUCCGUUUGGGGUCGUGUGUUGCAGUCGGCCUUACAAGUGGGACCGCAGUUAAGGAAACCGACUAUCGGCAAACCCCCACCUCGCUCGCCGCGCGAUGGCUGAGUUAGAGAAACGAUGAGGUUGAAGAGAUUGCUCUAGCAGGGACUCCAAGAAAUAUGAUGUCAGAUGGAAGUCAUGUUGGUGGCGUGUGCCGUACUCCUGGACGUGAAUGCUUGUUCUGGCCCAUGCCACCCUACUACUACUACCACUUAGUACUAUAUAGUACUACUAGUAUCGAGGAUUCUAGGUGCUGGUUACGUAGUACAGUAUGGCUACAGUAAAAACACCCGCACGACGCGCAAAGCAUGUGAAGCUAGUACAAAUAGUGUACUACUAUUGUUGAUUGGCCCCAUCCGAUAACCUGUUGCAAUGCAGGUACAAUUAUGUAUUUGGAAAAUAUAUUUUUUGCCUCGUCGCACCACUCACUCACAGAAGCAACUCAAAAGCCAUUCAUAAAUUUAGUAAGUUUAUCAUAGGCAUAUCAUUUUAUUACAUACAACAGGUCAUCAACCCACAUCGACAACGAGGAUACAUUAUAAAUACUAAAGUUUUCACCACACAACAAAUAACAAGCAAUGAAAUGAACUUCAACUCAACCAUUCCUCGGUGUUGGAAAUGCUUGCUUUGAACCACAAGUGAUUCUCUGGGAUGGGCCAUCCAUUGUCGAUCUGGAGACCAACGCAGGACUGAUCAUCCAGGCUGAAGCGGCCUACUAUAUCAGUACCAGGGUAGGGAACCACCCAAAUGUCCGAGGUAUAGACACAAUUGCUUCUCAUAAAUGGUAGUAACAUUGUGUCAACAGCAGUUGGAUCGCCUUUCACCAUCAUUGGAUAGUUUUGUCCAAGGAAGAGCGAGUUUUCUCCAAGACUAUCAAUUAUGUACCAGGGAGAAGGAGUUGGUGCUAGCACACUAGUAUCCAUCCCGAAUACCAUGCAAUGGGUGUUGGAAUAGGUCCGAAGAGUGCGACCAUGGGAGACUACACCUGCUUCCUUAGCAGUAACAUCAUCAGUGGGCUGUAUACACACGAGAAGAGGUGACCCAUCGGAAUUAGUUGCCAGGCGCCAAAUAGUAUAUGGGUGCUGCUCGUCCUCAUGCUCGUGAUCAUCACCAUCAUCAUCUCCCCCUUGAUUAUAAAAAUCUUCAAGUAUAGGUGGUGGAAUGUUCACAGGACCUUGGAAACACAAGAAGAAGGUUAAUUAGUAAGGCUGGCCAUAGUGGGGGUAACAUACUACCUCUGUCCUGGUUUAUAGGUCCCUUUUAUAGUUUGUGCCAAAUUUUGACUAAAGAUUUAACUAACAAAAUGUUAGUGCAUGUCAAGAAAAAUUAUCUCAUUGGAUUCGUAUUUGAACAUAGUUUUGAAAAAUAUAAUGUUUGGUGACUUGCGUGAACAUUUUCUUAGUCUAAUCUAUGGUCAAAAUUUGGCACAAAAUACAAUGGAGACCAGUAAACCCGGACAGAGGUAGUAAGUAGUAUCAUGCACUUGGGACUCGCAAACAUGCUUAUGUGGCAGGCAAUUAAGGAAGAGAGAGAUGGUUAUAGUAACAUAGGUAGAUACCGUAACAUAAUAAAUGUGAUGCUACUAUGUGUCAUGCAUGGCAAUAAAUGAGACCACCUAUGAUACUAAUCUAAGAUACUAUGCACUAUAGAGGUAGUAACAUAAACUAGUAACAUAUGCAUGUUACUAGUCUAAGUUACUCCCCACUAUGACCAGCCUUGCUAACCCGCAUGCAUGUGGAUGAAACAAUUAUAAUUACGGUGGGAGACAAACGUACCGAAACAACGAGGAUGCCAUGCAAAAACAGUGCCACGAGUGGUGGCAGCAAACACAAGGCCCUCGUAUUGAAUUGCAUCACAGUACUCAUCCGUGUACAGAAACUGAUUUUUGAGAAAUAUCCAUCCAGUCAAACCACUGAUGACAGCAACAAGCUUGUCGAAGAUAGCAACAACUUCAUAGUUGUUGUAAUUCCAAGAGCGGUUGGGGACUCGAGAAAUUGCUAUCUUCUGUAGAAGACAAUCACCAUGAUUGUAUUUGAACGUGCGUACAAUACCGGCGUGCUCAACCUCUGGGCAGUCUGCUGAGAUUUUUGGAAGUGGAACCCGGUCACGAGUGUACACAUUCACAAGUUCCCACUCGCAGUUCGACCCAAUGUAAACAACCCAAUCUCCAUUUGCGCCUGCCCAAGCCUUGCCCUCAAGCGAUGGCAUCUUAACAUCAUACGUAUCAUUAUCAAGCGGCAUCAACUUGCACAGGGCGAGGCCUCGGCGUGACGGCGCCAGUCAUCAGGGUCACGGCGAAGAAGGUAGGGAGAUCAAACCACUCCUUGACUCUUGGGUUCCUUGUAAUGAUGUUAUUAGUUGAGUCGAGAAUGGGCUUGAACGAACCUGCCAUGCUAGCCGAGGUGAUGACGUCGCACCGAUCAAUGAGUUCCUCCACCACAUCAUCUUUCAGAUCGGGGCAAGAAUAACGGGGUCGUUUCCAUCCUGUUCCCUCCAUGGAGAAGACGAUCGAACAAUGGCAGAAGAAAGGGUGAAGGGCUGAAGGAAAAUGGAGGAGGGAGAGGAAGAGCGUGCGACAGCAGUUCCCAAUCGAUAGGAAAUGCGAAGAGUUGGUGGACGGUUGCCAGUUUGCCACGGUUCACGAAGGGGCGCCUCGGCCUACACGUCGGUUCGGAAAUACUCCUACUGCUCGCUGUCGUCUCACUGAUAUGUGGAACGGGACCACAUGUCAACGAGACAUGGUGUGUAACUUCUCGUGCAAAAUGCGAUCUGGCCGCGUUGGCCCGAGGUGCCGCAUUAGUUAUCGGCCUUUAUUUUUUUAAUGGCGCGUCGUUCAGUUUUGAAGCACGACUAACUGGUACUAUACGUAGAGAAAAUAUAAACUACUCUACCACUACUCCACCUCCAAUACUAGUAGUAUAAAGAAGAUAUAUAGGCUGGAGCUUCAGCGCUUUCUUGCCAAGGGCUGCCUACUUGCUUCUCACACUACCACCCUCUCUCCAGAUCUAAAAAGACGGGCCCUCUCUCCCUCCUCACCGGUGGUCACAGAUCCGCCGGGGAAGAAAAGGACGUGCAGCGGUGACGCACUCGUCGUCGACGAGCGAGGUCACGCACUGACGACAAGGCCGUCCUCUCAGGCCUAGCGCCUGCGCGGGAUCGCUGCUGUAGUGUGUGCGGAGGACGACGACCACGAGCGAAGCCACUUCCCGCCGACCCUCAAGUAUGCUACCUCUUUUCGAACCAUACCCUUGUUCUAUUGCCCCAUCUGGCACGUCGUUGCAUGUGGAUCUUUUUCCACUCCACCAUCUUCCCAAUUUGCUAUCCUCUGCUCUGCUGGCCACGCAGACGAAAACCAUAAUUUGCACUAUUAAAGGAAAUCCUACUUCAUGCAGACUAAUGCAUGUCUGGGUUGAAUAAGGAAAGGAAGGAAGACUGUACUGUCCAAGAGAGUAGGCAUCGAACCCGCAUCUAGGUUGAAAAGGGGAAAAUCAGUAGCUAAGGAACAAGUCUCGUGUCUCUUGGUUGAAGAAGGGUAGAAAGGCAUGACAACGCAAUAGAGAAUGAACAUGUCGAUCAGUUUGUUGUCCUCACAUAGGAAAAAGGUGGCUAAAGAGAACAAAGUUGGGACGUAAUCCACAUAUGCUGCCUGGAUAUUUGUUGCUCUGGGCAACCAUACCUCCCUCACCACUCUGCGUCCAUGGAGGUACAUCAUAUUUGUCUCUAAUGCCUAUCUACUACAUACCCGACAUCAUGAUGUAAUGUUAAGUCAUUUCCUUUUGUACAAUGUAACUAAAUUGUCAAGGCGGUGAUGGCAUUUUAUUUUAGUAGAACUGCACAAAAUUUGCUUAAAAGAAGAGGAAAGGUCAGGAAUGGCUUAGUUUUUCAGAAAAAAACUAUGUAUGCCUUCCUGACAUCAGCUGCUGUUGCUUUAUUUAUUCCUUCAAACAGGUGGUUAGAAACAGUCUUGCUACCUUUUCCCAUUAAGAAAUUAGAAUGCUUAUAUUUGUAAGUAUAUGCUUCAACUAGUGCCACUUUUAUAGUAAUCACACUUUCAAUAUCUAUGCAAAUAGGGAUGCUCGAUUUUAGUGGAGCUGCACAAAAAGUCCAACUAGUUCAACAUUAGGAGCAUGUUUUUUUCCAAACCUAUAUCCAAUUGGUGGCACUAUGAGUUGUUCAUUACGAAGGUACAUGGUUUGCUACUAUCUUGCUACUCUUUUUGUACUGUCAUUAGAUAGUAAUACUAGUGGUUUGCAUGUGAAUUUAUUGGCAGGGUGGACCUACAUUGGAGGUGCAGGACAGGAUUCAAUGAUUGGAUGCUCAAUUUCGGUUGUAUCGAUUUCACCUCUUCCAUCACUGCGAACAUGGUGUGGUAUAUGUUUACUAGUUGCUUGAUAUUUGUGUAGACAGAGAUGUCUGCCCGUUGCUAUUUGGGAAACAAACAAAGUGUGCGCAAUUUUGGUUGAACUGCACAAGAGAAUAAUAUAGUCACUGCUUGCAGUGCGAUUUGAAAAUAGACACAUAGAUUGGAUAGUUACUUCAUGGACUGUAGAAAAGUAGUACUGUACUAUUUACUGGCCAACAAUUGGUGCUUCAUUGCUUUGGUCUGAUUAUACAAUGGGCAUCAUUUUCCCUAAGUUAAAGUUUGUAUUCCAAAAAUAGUCUCGCGGUGUGAUCGAGAGAAGACCAAAUCAUAUUGCAGUGGAUGUUCCUCCAUCAUGUGUGGUUCAUUAUCAUGGUUCCAGCUGUUGGUGAAACCACUUACGUUUGCAAGAGGAAUUGUAGACUUCACAAACAAAUUUGUCUUUCAUUCUAUACUGAAUGUUGGCCAAGAGAAGCAUCCAUGUUAGUAGGAAGAACAGAUAUUUUUUCUACAUCUUUGCUUUUGGAGCUACAUAUUUGUAUAUGAUCUGUGAAUCAUUGAGAUGCAUUAACAUGUUGAUCUUAUGUAUGGGAAUCGUACUAGUUAGUUUUAGUUGCGACGCAAGAUCCAAACUGGCUGAUCUUUGCUUUUGGAGCUACAUAUUUGUAUAUGAUCUGUGAAUCAUUGAGAUGCAUUAACAAUUACUUAUUUCUGUUCACUCAGUGUUUACAAGUUACUAAUCGGUCACUAGCUAGCCUACUAAUGUGCUCCUGGCAGUUUUAUUUGCGACGCAAGAUCCGAAGUGGCAGUUUUUUGAAUAAAAAUGCCUACCUCUGAAGAAACUGACAAGCUACACUAUCCUACCUACUCGAUCCUACACGAAUAAAUAGUGGAUCACGCACGUACUACCAUGCUUCAUGCUAGUGCGACUUCUUCAUGUCAUGAUGAUGCAGAGCAUCCUUCGGUCAUCCCCAUGGACCUUCCAUCGUCUCACCAGGCACCAAGAGGACCCAUGACUAGAGCACGAGCCAGAGCUCUCGAGACCGAGGUGACUUCUCUCCUUUGUGAUAUCUCCUUUCCGGUUUGCAGGGCUCAAUUCAAGAAACGACCUACUCAAUUCUACACGAAUAAAUAGUGGAUCACGCACGUACUAGUACCUCAUUUCCGGUUUGCAGGGCUUAAUUCAAACCUCUCACCAACCAAGGUACUCCCUCCGUCCGGGUUUAUUAGUCCUGUGAGCAAAGCAACAAGACCAAGGCAUGGCAAUAAUUAACGGCAUGCAGAAGUUUAAGCCUAAUUAAUUCCAGCGAUUUAAGUGACUGCAUGCGUGCCCUCGGCUGCGACUCGUUGCAUGCUACUCCGCGUACUGGCUGCGAGCAAUUCUGAGUGCCUACAUGCAGCCGGCCGUAAUUAAGGCAGCUAACUGAUGCAAAAAAAGAUGAGCUUUAAUUGUUGCGGGCUUUUUAAAUUCAUGGAAUCAUUAUUGACAAGGAGGGAGAUGAUUCGAGUGCACUCGUUUGACCGCCAUGCCGGCGUGCGACCCAGACGGGACGGGAUGGCACAGUCAUAAUUUCAGUUUCUCUAGUUUUCGACGGCAAGUUGGCACGCUAAGCCAUUAUGCAUUGAAUUCCGAUGACCGUCGCGCUACCUUCCGCCUAUAAGUAUUGUUUCUCGGCCUUCUCCGGUGGCACCAUGACCCAACUCGCCAUAGCCUCAUAAGCCCCCACCGGCCCGACGUCGCUCGCCACGUCCGCCAUGCACCCGCCCGUCCGCGGUAGGCGACGCCGGAGGCGGUCACCACCGGAACUAGUGUUCGGUUUUUCACCGGAAGGCAGAUGGAGGGAGGAGGCAUUCUAUCUGUCUUUUGAUGGCAAUGCGGAGAUCGAGGAGUUGUUGGAGCACAACUGCCUGGCGGAGGAGAAGUAGUUGUUGGAGCGCAACCGCCUGGCGGAGGAGCUGUGUAUCGCUGAUUUGCGCCGCCAUCGGGACAUGGAGCAAUAGCGCACCGACGCUCUGAGUCGCGAGCAGAGCGCCCGCAACUAGGCCGACUACAUGGAGGCCAGCGCCCGGAAAAUAGCCCUGGAGGCUGUCGGGCACGCACGCGUUCGUGAUGCCAAUUUUUACUACCAGCUUGUCAAGUGGGUUUCCCGCUUGGAAGCCGAAGCUUCGGUGGACCACGCCGACAUGGAAAGGGCCAACGCGCGUGAGCAACGCGCCCUAUCGCACCUCUUGGAAGUCCGAGGCGAGGCGCAGGACGCCGGUGCCGGCGUUUAGCGUGUACCACAGAUGGCGGCCGGCAUCGUCUAGUUAGCUAAGAGUAAGUUAGUACUUGUACGCUACUAGAGCAUUAGUGGCAGUAGAUAGUUAACUUGGCUAUGAUGGUGGUCAACGUGGAAGUUCAGUACUCUAUAUGUGGAUCAGACCUGUUACUUUGCUCAGAAUGUUGAACUUUCUGUUUGAACGUAUGGAAUGGGCUGUUAUUUUUUAAAUGGGUUGUAUUUGUCCUCCACGGGUUUAGAGGCUGACUUGUGGGCCUAUCAAGUUGAUGCGUACACAACCAGGAGAUGAUUGUACGUGGAGAGGAUGACAACAGGGACCCGCCAAGGUCAUGGCAGUAUGCAAGAAAGUGCCUCCUUAUUUCAAGCCAAUAAAAAAUGGCUCUUCCUAGUGGACUUAUGACAUCUGGGUCCCAUGCCAUUGUCAACGUAGUCAAUAAAUGAGAGAAUUGCGCCACGAGCGGCUGACACCAGGGACCCAGCAACUCGCCCAGUUAUUUUUGUUUUGGGUUAAUUUGAUAAAUGCCACUCCAAAUCGGGUGUUUCCGAGAAAUGCCACUGCAAUUUCCAAACUUUGAAAAAUGCCAUUUCAUGCCAUUUCUAGUGGCAUUUUUCAAAGUCUAGAGUGGCGUUUUUCAAUGUUUGCAAACUGCAGUGGCGUUUUUCAAAGUUUGCAAAAAUUGCAGUGGCAUUUUUCAAAGUUUGGAAAUUGCACUGGCAUUUUUACGAAUCGCCAUAAUUGGAGUGGCAUUUAUCUAUUUUUUUUUGAGAUGGGAGCAGGGUGUCAACUGGGCUGUGCGGGACACUCUGGCCUGUCUAGACAGCCUUUUCUUUUUAUGUUUACCACAGACCAGCCCAGUAGUUUUUUUUCUUUCUGAAAAUGGCUAGCACAGUUUUUUUGUGAUUUGUCAAGUAAGUCGCUUUAUCAGGCCUGUUGGGUUGUAAAUCUUUCAAGACGAGGAGAGCUUCAUUCGGCUGGCCAAGAAAAUGGCCUAUCAGUAAUGAGAAAUGGGUUGUACAUUUUUAAAACACAUCAACCGGCAAUUAGUUUCAAAUAUCUUUUUUUCAUUUCGAGAUUUUAAAUUGCAUUGAUUUUUAUGCAUGGACAAUUUAUUGGAUUUUAUAUUGAUAUACAUUUAUUUUUAAAAGUCUGAAUGUGACUCGAUAUUUCGGGAUUAAAAACAGUUCAUACCGUGCCGACAUAUGCAAAAUUUCGUAUAAUUUUUUAACCAUGGCCACAAUAUGGGUUGUAAUGCUAAGAAAAAUAAUAUGGGCACCAAAAAAACCCGUAAGAAUUAGCAGAAGGGCUGUAAAUUAUUUGAAAUAAUGGCACAUGGCAUGUAUGCUGUUUUCCACUGAUUUGAGGCUUUCCUAAAAAAAAGGUUGACGCACAAGCAGUGACUGUUGGAUGUCCAUCCAACGGCCGUCGUGCUUCUUCAAUCUCUGCUCUUCCUGCUCCAGUCGCUCAAACAAGCGCCGGCGGGACUGCCUGCUCCCUCCUCCCCGCGGCCGGCUGUGAUGCCAUGCAGGCCUUACUGCCCCACCGUACUCCCAUCGCUGGCCUAGCCAUCCCUCUACUCACCCACACCUGAUGUUAUUCUCUGGCGACGGCAGACGAACCAGUAAACCCUCGUACAGUCGUACUCCCCUCCGUGUGGGAAACAACUGUCGAGUCUUCCCUGGCUCCGUGUCGUUCCCAUCCUAGGCCUCGCCGUUGUCCACUGCCCUGGUGCUCUAGGCGUGGCGUGGUCAACAUGGUCAACAACCGACAUGCAUCUGAAGUGGACUGUACGUAGAGAGGCUGACAUCUGGGUCCACGGCCGCACGCAAGGAAAUGCCUCCUUAUUACGCGUAAAAUAAUGAUUCCUCCACCUGACAUCUGGGACCCACCGAAAGGGCCUCUGUAUUUCGUGAAAAAAACAUUACCGCCGCUGACAGCUCGGACCUACCAGCUAUAUCUUCGCACGCAAGGAAGUGCCUCCUUAUUACGCACAAAAAAAUGAAUACUCCCCCUGCUAGCUGGGACCUAGUAUAGUGGGCCUACUAAGUUGACAGGGACGGAGGGCUUUGUCAACUUAGUCAAUAUGCACGAUUCUAGCUCGACUGACCGUACGAUGUCCAUCCAACGACCGUAGUGCUUCUUCAACCUUCUGUCUUCUUGCUCCAUCCGCCCAAAGCAGUGCCGGUCGUGCCGCCUGCUCCUGCCUCCCGUGGCCGACUGUGCUGCCACGGAGGCCUCAUCGCCCUCAUACUACUCCCACGGAUGGCCAGGCCAUCCCUCCACUCCACUCACCCACACCCCAUGUUAUUCUGCGACGACGGCAGCGCAGCUGAACCAGUGAACCCUCGUACUCCUCUCCGUGUGGGCAUCCACUACGCGUCUUCCGCGGCUCCGCGUCGUCCCCUUCCUCGUCCACCGCCAUGGUGCACUCGGCGUGGCGUGGUCAAUGUGGUCAACGAUCGAAUUCCAUCAGAAGAAUACUGUACGUGGAGAGGCUGGCAGCUGGGUCCACGGCAGCCGCAAGGAAGUGCCUCCUUAUUACACGAAAAUAAUUAUUCCUCCACCUGACAGCAGGGACCCACCGGACUGGCCACCAGUAUUUUGCGAAAAAAAACGUUUCCCCCCUGACUGCUAGGACCCACCGGACGGGCCACCGUAUUUAGCGGAAAAAACAUUUCCCCCUGACUGCUGGGACCCACCGGACGGACCAUCGUAUUUCACGAAAAAAACGUUCCCCCCGCUGUCAGCUCGGACCCACCGGAAGUGCCUCCUUAUUAUGCACAAAAAAACGAAUACUCCCCCUGCUAGCUGGGACCCACUAUGGUGGGAGGCUGACUUGUGGGCCUACUAAGUUGACUGGGACGAGGGCCUUUGUCAACUUUUGUCAAUAUGAAUGAUUCUAGCUCCAGUGACCAUACGAUGUCCAUCCAACGGCCGUAGUGCUUCUUCAACCUCUAGUCUUCUUGCUCCAGCCGCCCAAAGCAGCGCCGGUCGUGCCGCAUGCUCCUACCUCCCGUGGCCGGCUGUGAUGCCGCGGAGGCCUCACCGCCUCCUACUACUCCGGCCAGGCCAUCCCUCUACUCACCCACACCCCUGUUAUUCUGCGGCGACAGCAGCCUCACACUGCAGCCGGACCAGUGGACCCUCGUACUCCUCUCCACAUGGGCAUCCACUACCGCGUCUUCCCCGGCUCCGCGUCAUCCCCUUCCUAGGCCUCGCCGUUGUCCACCGCCCUGGUGCUCUCGGCGCAGCAUGGUCAACAUGGUCAAGGAACGACUUCCAUCAGACAUGGAUUGUACGUGGAGAGGCUGACAGUUGGGUCCACGGCCGCAGCAAGGAAGUGCCUCCUUAUUACGCGGAAAAUAAUGAUACCUCCACCUGACAGCAGGGACCCACCGGACAGGACACUGUAUUUCGCGAAAAAAUGUUUCCCCCUGACUGUUGGGACCCACCAACUACAUCUUCGCAUGAAAGGAAGUGCGUCCGGAAAAUAAACGAUUCGCCCCCCUGACUGUUGGGACCCACCAGCUACAUCUUCACAUGCAAGGAAGUGCCUGACAGUCGGGACCCACCUGGUCCAAGCGCACGUAGCAUUGUCAUUCUGGUCGCGAACGUGUAUGUAAAUACUGGUGGAUGUAGAGGCGCGUACGUGUCGUAGUAGAGGCGUGCACAUGUCGUACUAGAGGCGCGUACGUGUCGUAGUAGAGGCAUGCAUGUAGCAUGUACACGUACGUACAACGACCAGUGUGCAAGAAAGAAAAUACGGCCACGUAUGUGUACAUACGGGCGGGGUCUCGAACACCUACUCGCGCAUACGUACGGCCAGGGCUCGUGUACAUGGCUGGGUCGGAACGGAGAAACAGCAUCGUCGUCGUGUUCAUGGGGAGCCAACCGGCUGGGUCGGAACGGAAUGCGUCGUCGUGUUCAUCGAGAGGGCUUGGACGAAACAGGCGAUGGAAACGAGGCCUAGCGUACCGCAGAAUGGAGGAAACGGCCUUGUGUUCGACCAGCCACAUUCGAAACAGGAUCCUGCUCAUUGGGAGGGGUCUGGCGUACCACAAAACGGAGGAAACGGACUUCCUACGGUCGAAAUGGGGGUCCUGUUGAUCGGGAGGGGUGUGGUGUACCGCAAAACGGACGAAACGGACUUGUGUUGGAGCGCUACAGUUGAAACGGGCAUCCUGUUCAUCGGGAGAGGUGUGGCGUACCGCAAAACGGGACUCCACGGGAUACUGUUCAUCUCCAUCGUCGACCUCCUCCAGCCUCCACGGGCUACUGUCGACCUCCUCCAGCCUCCACGGGCUCCUGUUCAUCCAGCCUCCACGUGCUCCUCUUCAUCCAGCCUCCACCGCGCACUACUCCACGGGCUACUGUUCAACCACCCCUCCACGGGCACCCCUCCACCGUCUAUUGUUCAUCCAGCCCUCCACGGGGUCGUCCUGUUCAUCCAGCCCCAACCGGCUCGAUCGAUCGGGGUCCUGUUCAUUGAUACGUCUCCAACGUAUCUAUAAUUUUUGAUUGUUCCAUGCUAUUAUAUUACCCCUUUUGGAUGUUUAUGGGCUUUAUUUUACACAUUUAUAUCAUUUUUGGGACUAACCUACUAACCGGAGGCCCAGCCCAUAUUGUUGUUUUUUGCCUAUUUCAGUAUUUCGAAGAAAAGGAAUAUCAAACGGAGUCCAAACGGAAUAAAACCUUCGGGAGCGUGAUUUUUGGAUCGAACGUGAUCCAGAGAGCUUGGAGUGCAAGUUAAGAAGCUACCGAGGAAGCCACGAGAUAGGAGCCCCCCCCCUAUAGGCUCCGCCCCUUGUCUCGUGGGCCCCUCGGGCGUCCACCGACGUACUUCUUCCUCCUAUAUAUACCUACGUACCCCGAAAACAUCCAGGAACACCACGAAACAUAAUUUCCACCGCCGCAACCUUCUGUAUCUCCGAGAUCUCAUCUUGGAGCCUUCGCCGGCACUCUGCCGGAGGGGGAAUCAACCACAGAGGGCUUCUACAUCAACAUCCUUGCCCCUUUGAUGAGUUGUGAGUAGUUUACCACAGACCUACGGGUCCAUAGUUAUUAGCUAGAUGGCUUAUUCUCUCUUUUUGGAUCUCAAUACAAUGUUCUCCCCCUCUCUUGUGGAGAUCUAUUCAAUGUAAACUCUUUUAGCGGUGUGUUUGUCGAGAUCCGAUGAAUUGUGGGUUUAUGAUCAAGUUUAUCUAUGAAUAAUAUUUGAAUCUUCUCUGAAUUCUUUUAUGUAUGAUUGAGUUAUCUUUGCAAGUCUCUUCGAAUUAUUGGUUUAGUUUGGCCUACUAGAUUGAUCUUUCUUGCCAUGGGAGAAGUGCUUAGCUUUGGGUUCAAUCUUGCGGUGUUCUUACCCAGUGACAGAAAGGGUUGCAAGACACGUAUUGUAUUGUUGCCAUCGAGGAUAACAAGAUGGGGUUUAUAUCGUAUUGCAUGAGUUUAUCCCUCUACAUCAUGUCAUCUUGCUUAAUGCGUUACUCUGUUCUUAUGAACUUAAUACUCUAGAUGCAGGCAGGAGUCGGUCGAUGUGUGGAGUAAUAGUAGUAGAUGCAGGCAGGAGUCGGUCUACUUGUUAUGGACGUGAUGCCUAUAUACAUGAUAAUGCCUAGAUAAUCUCAUAACUACGCACUUUUCAAUCAAUUGCUCGACAGUAAUUUGUUCGCCCACCGUAAUACUUAUGCUAUCUUGAGAGAAGCCUCUAGUGAAACCUAUGCCCCCCGGAUCUAUCUCUUAUCAUAUUUGCUUUCAAUCUACUUUUAUUUGCAUCUUUACUUUUUGCAUCUAUAUUAUAAAAAACCAAAAAUAUAUUUAUCUUAUCAUACUAUCUCUAUCAGAUCUCACUUUUGCAAGUGGCCGUGAAGGGAUUGACAACCCCUUUAUUGCGUAGGUUGCGAGUUCUCAGUUUGUUUGUGUAGGUGCGUGGGACUUUUGAGGAGCCUCCUACUGGAUUGAUACCUUGGUUCUCAAAACUGAGGGAAAUACUUACGCUACACUUGUUGCAUCACCCUCUCCUCUUCGAGGAAAACCAACGCAAGCUCAAGACGUAGCAAUAAGGAUUUCUGGCGCCGUUGCCGGGGAGUUCUUCGCUCAAGUCAAGAUAUACCAAGUAUCCAUCACAAACCCAUCUCCCUCGCAUUUACAUUAUUUGCCAUUUGCCUCUCGUUUUCCUCUCCCCCACUUCACCCUUGCCGUUUUAUUCGCCCUCUCUUUCCCAAUCUCCUCCUCUCUUUUUCGCUCGCUUUCUUCCGCCUUGCUUUUGUUUGUUUCUAUGACUGAAAUUGGGGAGAUUAUCAUCGAUAUGGACAAUAAUGAUAACACAGAAAAUCCCGAGGCUCCGGCCGAUGAACCCCCUAUUUUGCAUACUAAAAAGUUUCGAAUCGGUAGUGGUAACAUCAUUGGCAAAGGUGUUAUUCAAGAUUUCUUUACUUGUGCCCGUGCUUUAGCUUCCAUGGGUUGUUCUAUUCUUCAUAGAACUAGUAGUCUUGCGGAUGCUAUCGCUAUGCUUGUAGUUGAACUUGAAUGACAAUUUAUGCAUAUGCAUCCUUGCAUACAAAGAAUUUUCCUAGAAUUCUCUAAUAUUGAGCAUUCUUCUGUUAAGCGUGCUGUUACUAUCUUUUUGGCUCAUGAGUUUAGAUUUAUCAUAAGAGAGGCCAAAGAAUUCUUUGCGCACUAUAGGGUGGACGUCGGUCGUCCUCCCAUAGAGGCGAUCCUCUAUGAUCAAGAGGAAUUUAGAGGUUUUCAAUCUUCUGACUAUGUCGCUUUUAAUGAAAACCUUAGAAAAAAGGUUCCUACCAAUGUCUUGAUUGAUUGCAUUAACGAACUUAAUAAUGUUUUUGCUCUUCGAAACAAUGGGCUAGGAUACUCUCUUGAGUAUAGGCUCACAAGAUUUUGCCAAAAGAAUGCUUUUAGUGAUGAAAUAGUUGUGCACUAUGAAGGGCCGAAGGAGGAACCCGUUCCUCCUGUGAUUGAUCUUGGGGACCUUUGUCCCACUAAAUUUAGCCCUUUUGAUUACUUUUGCUUGCCUCAGAGAAAAUUUGCUGCUGAACAUAGAGAAUAUGAGAUGAGCUUUCAAGAUCUAUCUUAUUAUUAUGGCACUCGUUAGAUCUAUCUUUGCUUUUAUGCUUAGCUAGGGGCGUUAAACGAUAGCGCUAGUUGGGAGGCAACUCAAUUUUCUUUAUGUUUUUUUGUUUUUGCUCCUGUUUAGUAAUAAAUCUUGCAUCUACUCUCUGUUUAGAUGUGUUUUUAUCUUUUAAUUAGUGUUUGUGCCAAGUAGAACCUAUAGGAUAACCUACGAUGGUAGUUGAUUUGAUUCUGCUGAAAAACACAAACUUUGCACUCACGAGAAAAAUUCAAUAAAUCACAGAAACGUGAUUUUGCAUCGAUUCUUUUUGCUGAUGAUAAAUAAACAAAUUUCCCAGUACGUACUAUUUUGGUAGGAUUUUUAGAGUUCCAGAAGUUUGCGUUAGUUACAGAUUGCUACAGACUGUUCUGUUUUUGACAAAUUCUGUUUUUCGUGUGUUGUUUGCUUAUUUUAAUGCAUCUAUGGCUAGUAAAUUAGUUUAUAAACCAUAAGGAAGUUGGAAUACAGUAGGUUUAACACCAAAAUAAAUAAAGAAUGAGUUCAUUGCAGUACCUUAUGUGGUGGUUUUGUUUUCUUUCACUAACGGAGCUUAUAAGAUUUCCUGUUGAGUUUUGUGUUGUGAAGUUUUCAAGUUUUGGGUAAAGCUUUUAUGGACUAUGGAAUAAGGAGUGGCAAGAGCCUAAGCUUGGGGAUUCCCAAGGCACCCCAAGAUAUUCAAGUAUAGCCAAAAGCCUAAUCUUGGGGAUGCCCCGGGAAGGCAUCCCCUCUUUCGUCUUUGUUCAUUGGUAACUUUACUUGGAGCUAUAUUUUUAUUCACCACAUGAUAUGUGUUUUGCUUGGAGCGUCGUGUACUAUAUUAGUCUUUGCUUUUUAGUUUACCACAAUCAUCCUUGUUGUACACACCUUUUUGGAGAAGCCUAUUUUAUUAGAAUUUGCUAGAAUACUCUAUGUGCUUCACUUAUAUCUUUUGAGCUUGAUAGUUUUUGCUCUAAUACUUCACUUAUAUCUUUUAGAGCAUGGUGGUGGCUUGAUUUUAUAGAAAUUGCUAGUCUCUCAUGCUUCACUUAUAUUAUUUUGAGAGUCUUUUAGAACAGCAUGGUAUUUUCUUUGGUUACAAAUUUGGUCCUAGAAUGAUGAGCAUCCAAGUUGGGUAUAAUAAAAACUAUCAUAGAAAUUGAAUUGGAUGCUAUGAUCAAUUUGUUGCUUGAUAAUUGUUUUGAGAUAUAAAGGUAGUAAUGUUAGGGUCAUGCUAGUGGAUAAUUAUGAAAUUGAGAAAUACUUUUGUUGAAGUUGGCAAGUGCCGUAGCAUGCACGUAUGGUAAAAGUUGUGUGACAAAUUUGUUGCAUGAGGUGCUCUUUUGAGUGUCUUCCUUAUGAGUGGCAGUUGGGGACGAGCGAUGGAAUUUUUUCCUACCAAUCUAUCCCUCUUGGGGCAUGCGUAGUAGUACUUUGCUUCGAGGGCUAAGUAGACUUUUGCAAUAAGUAUAUGAGUUCUUUAUGACUAAUGUGAGUCCAUGGAUAUACGCACACUCAUCCUUCCACUUUGCUAGCUUUUCUUAUUACUGCGCAACUCUCGUCGGUAUUAAACCCAUUAUUUACCUUCCUCAAAACAGCCACCAUACCUACCUAUUAUGGCAUUUCCAUAGCCAUUCCGAGAUAUAUUGCCAAGCAACUUUCCACUGUUUAGUUUAUUAUGACACGUUUCAUCAUUGUCAUAUUCCUCUUUGCAUGAUCAUGUAGUUGACAUCGUAUUUGUGGCAAAGCCACCUUCAUAAUCUUCAUACAUCUUGCUCUUGAUUCAUUGCAUACCUCGGUACACCGCCGGAGGCAUUCACAUAGAGUCAUAUCUUGUUCUAGCUUUGAGUUGUAGUUUUUGAGUUGUAAAUCCAUAAAAGUGUGAUGAUCUUCAUUAUUAGAGCAUUGUCCUAGUGAGGAAAGGAUGAUGAAGACUAUGAUUCCCCCACAAGUCGGGAUGAGGCUUCGAACUUUAUAAAAAUAAAAGAGGCCAAAGAAGCCCACCAAAAAGAAAAAAAAGAAAAAAAGAAAAAAAAAGAAAAAAGGAAGAAGAAAAAAAGAGAAAUAAAAAGAGAGAAAAAGAGAGAAGGGACAAUUGCUACUAUAUCUUUUUCCACAGUUGUGCUUCAAAAUAGCACCAUGAUCUUCAUGAUAGAGAGUCUCAUAUGUUGUCACUUUCAUAUACUAGUGGGAAUUUUUUCAUUAUAGAACUUGGCUUGUAUAUUCCAAUGAUGGGCUUCCUCAAAGUGCCCUAGGUCUUCGUGAGCAAGCAAGUUGGAUGCACACCCACUUAGUUUCUUUUGUUGAGCUUUCAUAUAUUUAUAGCUCUAGUGCAUCCGUUGCAUGGCAAUCCCUACUCACUCACAUUGAUAUCUAUUGAUGGGCAUCUCCAUAACCCGUUGAUACGCCUAGUUGAUGUGAGACUAUCUUCUCCCACUUUUUGUUCUUACAACCACCACCAUUUACCACCAUAGUGCUAUGUCCAUGGCUUGCGCUCAUGUAUUGCGUAAGAGUUGAAAAAGCUGAAGCGCGUUAAAAAGUAUGAACCAAUUGCUCGGCUCUUCAUCGGGGUUGUACAUGAUGGGAGUCUUUUGUGUAAUGAAAAUGAAGCAUGGCCUAACUAUAUGAUUUUGUAGGGAUAAGCUUUCUUAUGCUAUGCUAUUUUGAUAGGACAUGAUUAUUUGUUAGUAUGCUUUGAAGCAUUAUUAUUUUUAUGUUUUAUAAGCUUUUAUCUUCAAUCAUUUGGAUCUGAACAUUCAUGCCACAUUAAAUAAAAUUACAUUGAGAAUUAUGCUAGGUAGCAUUCCACAUCAAAAAUUUCUUUUUUAUCAUUUACCUACUCGAGGACGAGUAGGAAUGAAGCUUGGGGAUGCUUGAUACGGCUCCAAGGUAUCUAUGAUUUUUGAUUGUUCCAUGCUAUUAUAUUACCCCUUUUGGAUGUUUAUGGGCUUUAUUUUACACAUUUAUAUCAUUUUUGGGACUAACCUACUAACCGGAGGCCCAGCCCAUAUUGUUGUUUUUUUGCCUAUUUCGGUAUUUCGAAGAAAAGGAAUAUCAAACGGAGUCCAAAUGGAAUGAAACCUUCGGGAGCGUGAUUUUUGGAACGAACGUGAUCCGGAGAGCUUGGAGUGUAAGUCAAGAAGCUGUCGAGGAAGCCAUGAGAUAGGAGCCCCCCCCCUGUAGGGCACGCCCCCUGUCUCGUGGGCCCCUCGGGCGUCCACCGACGUACUUCUUGCUCCUAUAUAUACCUAUGUACCCCGAAAACAUCCAGGAGCACCACGAAACACAAUUUCCACCACCGCAACUUUCUGUAUCCGCGAGAUCUCAUCUUGGAGCCUUCGCCGGCACUCUGCCGGAGGGGGACUCGACCAUGGAGGGCUUCUACAUCAACAUCCUUGCCCCUCCGAUGAGUUGUGAGUAGUUUACCACAGACCUACGGGUCCAUAGUUAUUAGCUAGAUGGCUUCUUCUCUCUUUUUGGAUCUCAAUACAAUAUUCUCCCCCUAUCUUGUGGAGAUCUAUUCGAUGUAAACUCUUUUUGCGGUGUGUUUGUCAAGAUUCGAUGAAUUGUGGGUUUAUGAUCAAGUUUAUCUAUGAAUAAUAUUUGAAUCUUCUCUGAAUUCUUUUAUGUAUGAUUGAGUUAUCUUUGCAAGUCUCUUUGAAUUAUCGGUUUGGUUUGGCCUACUAGAUUGAUCUUUCUUGCCAUGGGAGAAGUGCUUAGCUUUGCGUUCAAUCUUGCAGUGUUCUUACCCAGUGACAGAAAGGGUUGCAAGACACGUAUUGUAUUGUUGCCAUCGAGGAUAACAAGAUGGGGUUUAUAUCAUAUUGCAUGAGUUUAUCCCUCUACAUCAUGUCAUCUUGCUUAAUGCGUUACUCUGUUCUUAUGAACUUAAUACUCUAGAUGCAGGCAGGAGUCAGUCGAUGAGUGGAGUAAUAGUAGUAGAUGCAGGCAGGAGUCGGUCUACUUGUUAUGGACGUGAUGCCUAUAUACAUGAUCAUGCCUAGAUAAUCUCAUAACUAUGCGCUUUUCUAUCAAUUGCUCGACAGUAAUUUGUUCACCCACCGUAAUACUUAUGCUAUCUUGAGAGAAGCCUCUAGUGAAACCUAUGGCCCCCAGAUCUAUCUCUUAUCAUAUUUUCUUUCAAUCUACUUUUAUUUGCAUCUUUACUUUUUGCAUCUAUAUUAUAAAAAACCAAAAAUAUAUUUAUCUUAUCAUACUAUCUCUAUCAGAUCUCACUUUCGCAAGUGGCCGUGAAGGGAUUCACAACCCCUUUAUUGCGUUGGUUACGAGUUCUCAGUUUGUUUGUGUAGGUGCGUGGGACUUUUGAGGAGCCUCCUACUGGAUUGAUACCUUGGUUCUCAAAACCAAGGGAAAUACUUACGCUACACUUNNNNNNNNNNNNNNNNNNNNNNNNNNNNNNNNNNNNNNNNNNNNNNNNNNNNNNNNNNNNNNNNNNNNNNNNNNNNNNNNNNNNNNNNNNNNNNNNNNNNNNNNNNNNNNNNNNNNNNNNNNNNNNNNNNNNNNNNNNNNNNNNNNNNNNNNNNNNNNNNNNNNNNNNNNNNNNNNNNNNNNNNNNNNNNNNNNNNNNNNNNNNNNNNNNNNNNNNNNNNNNNNNNNNNNNNNNNNNNNNNNNNNNNNNNNNNNNNNNNNNNNNNNNNNNNNNNNNNNNNNNNNNNNNNNNNNNNNNNNNNNNNNNNNNNNNNNNNNNNNNNNNNNNNNNNNNNNNNNNNNNNNNNNNNNNNNNNNNNNNNNNNNNNNNNNNNNNNNNNNNNNNNNNNNNNNNNNNNNNNCUAACGCUCACUGUUCAUCCCAGAGGCAGCAUCGAUCGGCUUCAGUUAGCAGCAGUAGCAAAGGAAUCGCUCGAUCGGGUUCAGUUAACAGCCAUCGAUUGAUCGCUCGGGUUCAGUAACGUGUAGCCUGCAGCGCAAUCGCUCGGGUUGAGUUAGAGCCCAACGCCUCGCUCGGGUUCAGUUAGAGCCAACGCCUCGCACACACGCGCGUACGUGUACGAGAGAAACGCGCAUCGCUCGACCCCCGACCAUCCACCGUAACCGGGAACUCCCCGAAAUUUUCCUCGCCCUCGCUUCUACCACGGUUUUUUCUGUCAUGGAAGACCCAAAGAAUGUCAUGCAGCUGCUUCUCCGGCCCGCCCAGGACGAAAAGCCCAUUUUUUGUCAUGAUUUUUUGUCAUAGAAGUAGGAGCCCACCACAUCUAUGAUGAUACCGGGUUUUGUCACAAUUAUCGUCAUAGAAGUGUCAUAUGUAUGACAGGAAAAAAAUCCGUUCAGCCCAAAAUGUCACGGAUGUGUCCUUUUUUGUAGUGAAAGUAGGAGAUUGAAGAUAGGGGAUGCAAUGGAUAGGAUCAACAAAUGGCUCACAAAUCCAUCCACAAACUCCCCUUCACAUAGAGGGGAGAUAGGACUUUGGGAGAGGUGGUAAGAUGCUCAAAAUGGUGUUAGGAAAGUGUAUGAACACCCCCCCCCCCCCCAAACCGGUGGGAGGAAGGAGCCCUUAAAUAGCCAAAACCCAAAACUAGCUAUUGUGACUCAACGGGCAGUUCCUGGACACCCUGUGCACAUGGGGAUUUAGACCCCGUGCCCAUGGUACAAGCCCGUGUGCACGGGGCCUCGUGCCCACAAGGGUCAAAAACCCCGUGUCCACGGGGUACCCAGAACAACAUGUAGCACCCCACUAAAACAGUGAUAACUUUGGCAUACAGACUCCAAAUUCGAUGAUCUUGGGUUCGUUUUGAAGCAAGGGAAAAGCCCAAGGUCCUCACAUAGAGAACCACCCAAGAUCAACAAGAAAGAAUGAUGCAAUUAAUGCAAAGGUUUGAGCUCUCUACAUGCGACGUGAUCAAGCUACUUGCCCGAAAGUCCCUCUUGAUAGUACGGCUAUCAAACCUAUAAUCCGGUCUCCCUCCAAGCACCAUGAGACCGGCAAAACUAGGAAAACCUAGCUAAGGUAUACCUUUGCCUUGCACAUUCAACUUGAGCUUGGUGAUGACUUUGACGCUUGCCUCAAGUUGGAAUCUUUUUCUUGUCCACAAUCACUUGGUGAACAUACUCGAAAUGCUUCCUCAUAUUGCAAUGAGGGAAGCCUUAACUUAAGCCCAUCUUCACAUGCACAUUAUCAUGAUGUGGACCGCAAGCUUCAAAGCAUAUAACCUUCGGCUUCUCAUCUUGCACUUGGACGCCUUGAACCCGAUGACCAUCACCACUUGAUGUCAUCGACACAUAGGCUACUUGAAAUCUCUCUUUUGAUGCAAGCCCAUGAGAAACACCUAACCCACAUAGACAUAGAAAGAACAUAGCAUGGGUUAGGUAGCAAAGCACAAUUCACAAUUACUUACCAUACCACUAGAUCACUUGAUCCCACGUAGUACAAAGAUUGCACUUUGAGAGUUGACCAUCUAAAUAAUCUUUGAGCUUCAUCUUGGUCACCCAACAUCUUUACUUCAAGUCCCAUCUUGGUUUCUUGAAAGCCACAAUGAACUCUUAAUUUCCCUUCAUCGCUUCAAGAAAGAGACCACCAAAUACUCUUUCAUGACCAUAUGAAGCUCCACUAUGAAUAUCAUAUUGGUCAUCAUUUGCUCUUCUAAAAACUCCGUCAUAAUCUAUUGAGAGGCACAAUGAAUUCUCCACUCUAGUUGCUUGCUUCAAGAGUUAAUCAACCAAAAACCCAACACAUGAGCUUACCAUGAUCUUGUCUUGAAACCAUAACUUGAAUUCUUCUAUUUGUUUAUAUUCUCAAGCUCUUGAUCCUUAAAAGCCCACAUAUGUCAAUCUUUGAGAUCCUCUAAUGAACUCCACCAUGAAUAUAUUUGGUUAGACAUUAAAAUCAAUCUUGAUGGCUUCAACAUAAAUCCCCCAAAGACCAACUUGAAGCCUCACUGAAUAUGGGAUCUCGAGUGCCAAAACCUAGGCCCCGUGUGCACGUGGGUCAGGGACCCCGUGCGCAUGGGGUAUCCAAAGAGUUGACACUCGACCGUGCGCAUGGGGUAUCCAGAGAGGAAUACCAUGAGGACUUCUUCGAAUGUUUUGAUGGCAUUCUUCUCACAUAAAUCCAACAUGCUUCAUGCAUCACUAUGGAACAUUUCUUCAUUAGGAUUCAAUGCACUCGAUGCUCCAUAGGAAUUUGUUAAUUAAUACCAAAGCUUAGAGCAAACAUAGAUUCAUAUAUAUGGACUUUAUCCUUGAUUCCAUCUAAUAUCCUUGAUGCACCAUCUAUGGACAAUUCCUUCACAUGUAUCUCAAUGAAAACAUUAGACCAUAGAGAUUGUCAUUAAUUACCAAAACCACACUUAGGGGCUACAUGCCAUUUCAACCGGGUAUUCAUCGGAUCACCGGGAGGGGUUCCAGGAGGCCCCCGGAGGUCUAUGGGCCUAAUGGGCCAAGGGGAGGCACACACCAGCCCACAAGGGGGCAGGCGCGCCCUCUCCCUGGUCGUCCGCCCUUGAGAAGGAAAGGGUGGAGGGCUAUCCCCUCCUGCCUUCCCCUCCUCAUGGGAGAAAGGAAAGGGGGGGGCACCGCCCCCUCUUGCCUUCUCCCUGACGCCAUACAAGGAGGGGGGCGCUAGAGGGCAGGAGCCCAAGGGGGUCGGUCGGCCAUCCUUGGGGCGCCUCCUCGCUGUGUCCCCUCCCCCCACUAUAUAUAUAUAUAUAUAUAUAUAUAUAUAUAUAUAUAUAUAUAUAUAUGAGGGAGGGGGCACCACAAAACCCACAACAACUCUUAGCCGUGUGCGGCACCCCUCUCCACAGUUUAGUCCUCCAUCCAGUUUCUCCGCAGUGCUUGAUACGUCUUCAACGUAUCUGUAAUUUUUUAUUGUUCCAUGCUAUUCUAUUAUCUGUUUUGUAUGUUUUAUAUGCAUUAAUAUGCUCUUUUAUAUUAUUUUUGGGACUAACCUAUUAACCUAGAGCCCAGUGCCAGUUCCUGUUUUUUCCCUGUUUUAGAGUUUCAUACAAAAGGAAUACCAAACGGAGUCCAAAUGAAAUAAAACUUUCGUGAUGAUUUUUCUUGGACCAAAAGACAACCAGGAGAAUUGGAGAUGUAAGUUAUAGGAGCCACGAGGCGGCCACAAGUACGGAGGGCGCGCCCAGGGGGUAGGGCGUGCCUCCCACCCUUGUGGGCCCCUUGUGCACCUCCUGGCCUAAUUCUUUUGCCUAUAUAUUCCCAUAUAUACCAAACCAACAGAAGCAUCCACAGAAACACUUUUCCGCCGCCGCAACCUUUUGUACCCAUGGAAUCCCAUCUAGGGGCCUUUUCCGGCGUCCUGCUGGAGGGGGAUUUGACCAUGGAGGGCUUCUACAUCAACACUAUUGCCCUUCCGAUGAAGCGUGGGUAGUUUACCACAGACCUACGGGUCCAUAGCUAGUAGCUAGAUGGCUUCUUCUCUCUCUUUGAUUCUCAGUACCAUGUUCUCCUCGAUGUUCUUGGAGAUCUAUUCGAUGCAAUACUUUUUUGCGGUGUGUUUGCCGAGAUCCGAUGAAUUGUGGAUUUAUGAUCAGCUUAUCUAUGAAUAUUAUUUGAAUCUUCUCUGAAUUCUUAUAUGCAUGAUUUGAUAUCUUUGCAAGUCUCUUCGAAUUAUCCGUUUGGUUUGGCCAAUUAGAUUGGUUCUUCGUGCAAUGGGAGAAGUGCUUAGCUUUGGGUUCAAUCUUGCGGUGUCCUUUCCCACUGACAUUAGGGGCAGCAAGGCACGUAUUGUAUUGUUUCCAUCAAGGAUAAAAAGAUGGGGUUUUCAUCAUAUUGCUUGAGUUAAUUCCUCUACAUCAUGUCAUAUUACUUAAUGUGUUACUCCAUUCUUUAUGAACUUUAAUACUCUAGAUGCAUGAUGGAUAGCGGGCGAUGUGUGGAGUAAUAGUAGUAGAUGCAGGCAGGAGUCGGUCUACUUGACAUGGACGUGAUGCCUGCAUUCAUGAUCAUUGCCUUAGAUAUCGUCAUAACUUUGCGAUUUUCUAUCAAUUUCUCGGCAGUAAUUUGUUCACCCACUAUAUUAUUUUCUAUCUUGAGAGAAGCCUCUAGUGAAACCUAUGGCCCCCAGGUCUAUUUUCCAUCAUAUUAGUUUCCGAUCUACUAUACUUGCAAUCUUUACUUUCCAAUCUAUAAACCAAAAAUACCAAAAACAUUUACUUCAUCGUUUAUCUAUCUCUAUCAGAUCCAACUUUUGCAAGUAACCGUGAAGGUAUUGAAAACCCCUUUAUCGCGUUGGGUGCAAGUUUGUUUGAUUGUUUGUGCAGGUAUAAAGUGAUUUGUGUGUUGUCUCCUACUCGAUUGAUACCUUGGUUCUCAAACUGAGGGAAAUACUUAUCUCUACUUUGCUGCAUCAUCCUUUCCUCUUCAAGGGAAAAACCAACGCAAGCUCAAGAAGUAGCAGGAAGAAUUUCGGGCGCUGUUGCCGGGGAAUUCUACACCAAGUCAAGACAUGCCAAGUACCCAUCACAAACUCUCAUCUCUUGCAUUACAUUAUUCGCCAUUCGCCUCUCGUUUUCCUCUCCCCCACUUCUAAAAUGAUUUUCGAAAACAUUUGCCUUUUCUUUACCCCUCUUUCGCCCAUCUUCUUUGCUUGCUUUUUGGUGUGAUCGUUUGUUGGUUUGGUUUGUUGCCAUCAUGUUUGAAUCUGGGGAGGUUAUCGUUGAAAAUCUUGAGGAGAAAUUUGAAUCUUGUUCUUUGGGUAAUGAAACUGCAAAUCCUCUCCUAAUUACAAAGCAAAAACUUUUCAUGUGGGUGACGGUAAUAUUAUUGGAAAAAGUGUUAUUCAAGAGUUCUUUGUUUGUACAUGAUCUAUGCCUAUUAAUAAAAGAUCUAUUCCUCUCGAUACAAAUUGUUAUGCGGAUGCCUUUUUUAUGCUUAUUGAGAAACUAGAAAGAAAAUUUGUGCACCUCCACCCCGCUUUGCAAAAAGUGUUUUACGAACUUCCUAACAUUAAUCAUCCUAUAGCUAAAAAGAUUGCAACUAUCAUUCUUAUGCGUGAAUUUGAUUUUAUACUACAAGAAGCUAGGGAUACUUUUUCUUUCUAUAAAAAGGAUGUUGAACACCCUCCAAUUGAGGAUAUCCUCCAUGACAAAGAAACUAUGCGUAGUUUGGAAUCUAGGGAUUAUAAGUCUUAUAGUGAAAACCUUAGGAGGAGAGUUCCCUAUGCAUAAAUCUCUCAAUCUUUGUACCUUGAGGCCUAUGAGGAAUUUGAUUGGAUUACGAGGGAUAUUCAUGUAGGAUUCAAUAGAGAUUGGUUGAAUAAAAUGAUGAAGGAACCCGUUAGAAACGAGAUACAUGUUCUUUAUGAUGAUAUUUAUGGUGAUGAUCCCGAUUACGGGUUUAUGAAUGUCAAAAUAACCAAUCAAAGUCCUUUUCAUGAUUUGAGUUCAUCUAAUAGAAGGGAAAUAAAGGAAAGGAUAGAUUUCUUAAGACGAGUUUUGGAGGAUUUGAUGAGAAAAGAAAUGCAUACCAAAGAUGACAAUACCUAGAUCUAUUCGUGUUUUAUGCCUAGCUAAGGGUGUUAAACAAUAGCGCUUCUUAGGAGGCAACGCAAUUUUAUUUUUGUUCUUUGCUUUUUGUUCCUGUUUUGCUUUGAAUAAUUCAUCUAGCCUCUGGUUAGAUGUGGUUUUGUGUUUUAAUUAGUGUUUGUGCCAAGUAAGACCUUUGGGAUAGCUUACGGUGAUAGCUGUUUUGAUCCUGCUGAAAAACAGAAACUUUUGCGCCCAGUAAAUAAUUUCCUGGAUUUUAUUGAAACAUGCUUUUGAUCUGAUUCUUUUUUCUCUAGAUUGGUACACAAAUUGCCCAGGUUUUCCUAAAUUUUCAGAAUUUUUGGAGUUACAGAAGUAUUCGAGAGUUACAGAUUGCUAUAGACUAUUCUGUUUUUGACAGAUUCUGUUUUCUAUGGGUUGUUUGCUUAUUUUGAUGAAUCUAUGGGCAGUAUAGGGGGUAUGAACCAUGUAAAAGUUGUAUUACAGUAGAUAUUACACCAAUAUAAAUAAAUAAUGAGUUUUCAACAGUACCAUAAAGUGGUGAUUUAUUUUCUUAUACUAACCGAGCUUAUGAGAUUUUCUGUUGAGUUUUGUGUUGUGAAGUUUUCAAGUUUUGGGUAAGGAUUUGAUGGACUAUGGAAUAAGGAGUGGCAAGAGCCUAAGAUUGGGGAUUCACAAGGCACCCCAAGGUAAUAUUAAAGGACAACCAAGAGCCUAAGCUUGGGGAUGCCCCGGAAGGCAUCCCCUCUUUCGUCUUCGUUUAUCGGCAACUUUACUUGAGGCUAUAUUUUUUCACCACAUGAUAUGUGUUUUGCUUGGAGCGUCUUGUAUGAUUUGAGUCUUUGAUUUUUAGUUUGCCACAAUCAUCCUUGUUUUACACACCUUUUGAGAGGGACACACAUGAAUCGUGAUUUAUUAUAAUACUCUAUGUGAUUCACUUAUAUCUUUUGAGCUAGGCAAUAUUGCUCUGGUGCUUCACUUAUAUGUUUUUAGAACACGGCGGUGGUUUUGUUUUAUAGAAAUUGUUGAACUCUCAUGAUUCACUUAUAUUAUUUUGGGAGUCUUUAAACAACAUGGUAAUUUGCUUUGGUUAUAAAUUUAGUCCUAAUAUGAUAGGCAUCCAAGAAGGAUAUAAUAAAAACUUUCAUAUAAAGUGCAUUGAAUACUAUGAGAAGUUUGAUUCUUUAUGAUUGUUUUGAGAUAUGAAGAUGGUGAUAUUAGAGUCAUGCUAGUGAGUAAUUGUUAAUUUGAGAAAUAGUUGUGUUGAGGUUUGUGAUUCAUGUAGCAUGCACGUGGUGAAUCGUUAUGUGAUGAAGUCGGAGCAUGAUUUAUUUUCUGAUUGUCUUCCUUAUGAGUGGCGAUCGGGGACGAGCGAUGGUCUUUUCUUACCAAUCUAUCCCCCUAGGAGCAUGUGCGUAGUACUUUUUUUGAUAACUAAUAGACUUCUGCAAUAAGUAUGUGAGUUCUUUAUGACUAAAGUUGAGUCCAUGGAUUAUACGCACUCUCACCCUUCCACCAUUGCUAGCCUCUCUUGUGCCGCGCAACUUUUGCCGGUGCCAUACACCCACCAUAUACCUUCCUCAAAACAGCCACCAUACCUACCUAUUAUGGUAUUUCCAUAGCCAUUCCGAGAUAUAUUGCCAUGCAACUUUCCACCAUUCCCUUAUUAUGACACGCUUCAUCAUUGUCAUAUUGCUUUGCAUGAUCAUGUAGUUGACAUCGUAUUUAUGGCAAAGCCACCUUUCAUAAUUCUUUCAUACAUGUCACUCUUGAUUCAUUACACAUCCUGGUACACCGCCGGAGGAAUUCAUAUAGAGUAAUAUUUUGUUCUAAGUAUCGAGUUGUAAUUCUUGAGUUGUAAGUAAAUAAAAGUGUGAUGGUCAUCAUUAUUAGAGCAUUGUCCCAGUGAGGAAAUGAUGAUGGAGACUAUGAUUCCCCCACAAGUCGGGAUGAGACUCCGGACGAAAAAAAAUAGGCGAAAAAAAGAGAAAGACCCAAACAAAAAAGAAUGAGAGAAAAAGAGAGAAGGGGCAAUGUUACUAUCCUUUUUACACACUUGUGAUUCAAAGUAGCACCAUGAUCUUCAUGAUAGAGAGUCUCCUAUGAUAUCACUUUCAUAUACUAGUGGGAAUUUUUCAUUAUAUAACUUGGCUUGUAUAUUCCAACGACGGGCUUCCACAAAUUGCCAUAGGUCUUCAUGAGCAAGCGAGUUGGAUGCACACCCACUUAGUUUUCUUUUGGGCUUUCAUAAACUUAUAGCUCUAGUGCAUCCGUUGCAUGGCAAUCCCUGCUCACUCACAUUGAUAUCUAUUGAUGGGCAUCUCCAUAGCCCGUUGAUACGCCUAGUUGAUGUGAGACUACCUCCACCUUUUUGUCUUCUCCACAACCAUUGUAUUCUAUUCCACCUAUAGUGCCAUGUCCAUGGCUCAACUCAUGUAUUGCGUGAAAGUUGAAAAAGAUUGAGAACAUCAAAAGUAUGAAACAAUUUCUUGGCUUGUCAUCAGGGUUGUGCAUGAUUUAAAUAUUUUGUGUGGUGAAGAUGAAGCAUAGCCCGACUAUAUGAUUUUGUAGGGAUAAGCUUUCUUUGCCAUGUUAUUUUGAGAAGACAUAAUUGCUUUAUUAGUAUGCUUGAAGUAUUAUUGUUUUUAUGUCAAUAUUAAACUUUUGUUUUGAAUUUUACAGAUAUGAACAUUCAUGCCACAAUAAAGAAAAUUACAAGGACAAAUAUGUUAGGUAGCAUUCCACAUCAAAAACUCUAUUUUUAUGAUUUACCUACUCGAGGGCGAGCAGGAAUUAAGCUUGGGGAUGCUUGAUACGUCUCCAACAUAUCUAUAAUUUUUUAUUGUUCCAUGCUAUUAUAUUAUCUGUUUUGGAUGUUUUUAUGCAUUAAUAUGUUAUUCUAUAUUAUUUUUGGGACUAUCCUAUUAACCUAGAGCCUAGUGUCCGUUCCUAUUUUUUCCCUGUUUUUGAGUUUCGUAGAAAAGGAAUACCAAACAGAGUCCAAACGGAAUAAAACUUUCGCAAUGAGGACAACCAGGAGACUUGGAGAUGAACUUGGAGGAGCCACGAGGUGGCCACAAGGACGAAGGGCGCGCCCCACUCUUGUGGGCCCCUCAUGCACCUCCUGACCUAAUUCUUUCACCUAUAUAUUACCAUAUAUCCCCAAACCAAUAGAAGCAUCCACGAAAACACUUUUCCGCCGCCGCAACCUUCUGUACCCGUGGGAUUCCAUCUAGGGGAUUUUUCCGUUGUCCUGCCGGAGGGGGAUUCGACCACGGAGGGCUUCUACAUCAACACCAUUGCCCUUCGGAUGAAGUGUGAGUAGUUUAUAGCUAGUAGCUAGAUGGCUUCUUCUCUAUCUUUGAUUCUCAAUACCAUGUUCUCCUCGAUGUUCUUGGAGAUCUAUUCGAUGUAAUACUUUUUUGCAGUGUGUUUGCCAAGAUCCGAUGAAUUGCAGAUUUAUGAUCAGCUUAUCUAUGAAUAUUAUUUGAAUCUUCUCUGAAUUCUUAUAUGCAUGAUUUGAUAUUUUUGCAAGUCUCUUCGAAUUAUCGGUUUGGUUUGGCCAACUAGAUUGGUUCUUCUUGCAAUGGGAGAAGUGCUUAGCUUUGGGUUCAAUAUUGCGGUGUCCUUUCCCAGCGACAGUAGGGGUAGCAAGGCACGUAUUGUAUUGUUUCCAUCAAGGAUAAAAAUAUGGGGUUUUCAUCAUAUUGCUUGAGUUAAUUCCUCUACAUCGUGUCAUCUUACUUAAUGUGUUACUUCGUUCUUUAUGAACUUAAUACUCUUGAUGCAUGCUGGAUAGCGGUCGAUGUGUGGAGUAAUAGUAGUAGAUGCAGGCAGGAGUCGGUCUACUUGACACGGACGUGAUGCCUAUAUUCAUGAUCAUUGCCUUAGAUAUCGUCAUAACUUUGCGCUUUUCUAUCAAUUGCUCGACAGUAAUUUGUUCACCCACCGUAUUAUUUUCUAUCUUGAAAGAAGCCUCUAGUGAAACCUAUGGCCCGCGAGUCUAUUUUCCAUCAUAUUAGUUUCCCAUCUAAUAUUCUUGCAAUAUUUUACUUUAUGAUCUAUAAAAAAAAUACCAAAAAUAUUUACUUUAUUGUUUAUCUAUCUCUAUCAGAUCUCACUUUUGCAAGUAAGAGUGAAGGGAUUGACAACCCCUUUAUCGCGUUGGGUGCAAGUUUGUUUGAUUGCUUGUGCAGGUAUUCGGUGAUCUGUGCAUUAUCUCCUACUGGAUUGAUACCUUGGUUCUAAAACUGAGGGAAAUACUUAUCUCUACUUUGCUGCAUCACCCUUUCCUCUUCAAGGGAAAAACCAACGCAAGCUCAAGAAGUAGCAGUGCUCAGCGAAGCCCUCCGGGAACGUGUUCACCAUUACCGUCACCACGCCGUCGUGCUGUCAGAACUCAUCUACUACUUCACCCAUCUUGCUGGAUCAAGAAAGCGAGGACGUCAUCGAGCUGAGCGUGUGCUGAACAUGGAGGUGUCGUAUGUUCGGUACUGGCUUGGUUGGAUCGCGAAGAAGUUCGACUACAUCAACCGCGUUAAUGAACGCUUCCGCUUUACGGUUUACAAGGGUACAUAGACACACUCUCCCCUCUUGUUGCUAUGCAUCUCCUUAAAUAGAUAUUACGUGUGCGUAGAAAUUUUUUUGUCUUCCAUGCAACGUUCCCCAACAGUGGCAUCAUGAGCCAGGUCUAUGCAUAGAUGAUAUGCACGAGUAGAACACAAAGAGGUUGUGGGCGAUGAUAGUCAUACAACUUACCACCAACGUCUUAUUUUGAUUCGACAGUAUUGAGGGAUGAAGCGGAAUGGACCAACCUUACGUGUCCACGCACAUGACACCGGUUCCACCGACUGACAUGCAACUUGUUUUGCAUAAAGGUGGCUGGUGGGUGUUUGUUUCUCCUACUUUCGUUGAAUGGAAUUUGACUACGGCAGGUCCUGGAAGAAGGUUAAAACAGCAAACUUGAUAAAUCACCAUUGUGGUUUUUGCGUAGUUAAGAACGGUUCUUUCUAGAAGCCCAUAGCAACCACGUAAAACUUGCAAUAACAAAGUAGAGGACGUCUAACUUGUUUUUCCAGGGCAUGUUGUGAUGUGAUAUGGUCCAGACGUGUUGUGAUAUACAUUGUUGUGUGAGAUGAUCAUGUUUUGUCAUAUCGACAACCUGCAGGAGCCUUAGGGUUGUCUCUUAAUUAUUGUAUGAAAUGCAACCGCCAUGUAAUAGAUUUACUUUUAUCACUAUGCGUUAGCAAUAGUUGUAGAAGCAAUAGUUGGCGAGAUGAACCCGACGCAACGAUGGAGAUCAAGGUGUCGAGCCAGUGACGAUGGAGAUCAUGACGAUGGUUUGGAGAUGGAGAUCAAAAUCACAAGAUGAUGAUGGCCAUAUCAUGUCACAUAUUUUGAUUGCAUGUGAUGUUUAUCCUCUAUGCAUCUUAUUUUUCUUAGAACAGUCGUAGCAUUGUAAGAUGAUCCCUUCACUAAAUUUCAAGAUAAAAGUGUUCUCCAGGAGUAUGCACCAUUGCCAAAGUUCGUCGUUUUGAAGCACCUCGUGAUGAUCGGGUGUGAUAGACUCUACGUUCACAUACAACGGGUGUAAGACAGUUUUGCACAUGCAGAAUACUUGGGUUAAACUUGACAAGCCUAGCAUGUACAGACAUGGUCUCGGAACACUGGAGACCGAAAGGUCAAACAUGAGUCAUAUAGUAGAUGUGAUCAACAUAGAGAUGUUCACCAUUAAUGACUUCCCCAUCUCACAUGAUGAUCGGACAUGGGUUAGUUGAUUUGGAUCAUGUAUCACUUAGAACUUGAGGGAUGUUUAUUUAAGUGGGAGUUCAUUAGUAAUUUGAUUAAUUGAACUUAAUUUACCAUGAACUUAGUCUUAAUAGUUUUUGCAUAUCUAUGUUGUAGAUCAUGGCCCGAGCUACCGUUCCCCUGAAUUUUAAUGCGUUCCUAGAGAAAGCUAAGUUGAAAGAUGAUGGUAGCAACUACACGGACUGGGUCCGUAAUUUGAGAAUUAUCCUCAUUGUUGCACAAAAGAAUUAUGUCCUUGAUGCACCGCUAGGUGACAGACCUGCUGCAGGAGCUACUACAUAUGUUAUGAACGUCUGGCAGAAUCGGUUUGAUGACUACUCGAUAGUUCAGUGUGCCAUGCUUUACAACCUAGAACCGGGACUUCAAAGACAUUUUGAACAUCAUAGAGCAUAUGAGAUGUUCCAAGAGCGGAAGUUGAUAUUUCAAGCCAAUGCCCAGGUUGAGAGAUAUGAAGUCUCCAACAAGUUCUACAGCUGCAAGAUGGAGGGAAAUAAUUCUGUCAAUGAACACAUACUCAAAAUAUCUGGGUAUCAUAACCACUUGACUCAGCUGGGAAUUGAUCUUCCAGUUGAGAGUGUUAUUGAUAGAGUUCUUCAGUCACUGCCACCAAGCUACAAAGGCUUCAUGAUGAACUAUAAUAUGCAAGGGAUGACGAAAACGAUUGUCGAGCUCUUCGCAAUGCUUAAGGCCGCAGAGGUAGAUAUCAAGAAGGAGCGUCAAGUGUUGAUGGUUAACAAACCCACUAGUUUCAAGAAAAAGGGCAAGGGAAAGAAAGAGAAUUUCGAGAAGAAUGGCAAGCAAGUUGCCACUCCCGUGAAGAAGCCCAAAGAUGGAAGCAAGCCUGAAACUGAGUGCUUCUACUGCAAAGGAAAUGGUCACUGGAAGCGGAACUGCCCCAAAUACUUGGCUGAUAAGAAGGAUGGCACAGUGAACAAAGGUAUAUUUGAUAUACAUGUUAUUGAUGUGUACCUUACUAAUGCUUGUCGUAGAGCCUAGGUAUUUGAUACUGGUUCGGUUGCUCAUAUCUGUUACUCGAAAUAGGAGCUACGGAAUAAACGAAGAUUGGCUAAGGACAAGGUGACAAUGCGCAUCAGGAAUGGUUCCAAGGUCGAUGUGAUCACCGUCGACACGCUACCUCUACAUCUACCUUCGGGGUUAGUUUUAGACCUCAAUAAUUGUUAUUUGGUGCCAGCAUUGAGCAUGAACAUUAUAUUUGGAUCUUGUUUAUUAUGAGACGGUUAUUCAUUUAAAUCAGAGAAUAAUGGUUGUUCUAUUUAUAUGAGUAAUAUCUUUUAUGGUCAUGCACCCUUGAUGAAUGGUCUAUUCUUGUUGAAUCUCGAUCAUAGUGAUACACAUAUAAUAUUGAUGCCAAAAGAUGCAAGGUUGAUAAUGAUAGUGCAAAAUAUUUGUGGCACUGUCGUUUAGGUCAUAUUGGUGUAAAGCGCAUGAAGAAACUCCAUAUAGAUGGACUUUUGGAAUCACUUGAUUAUGAAUCAUUUGAUACUUGCGAACCAUGCCUCAUGGGCAAGAUGACUAAAACUCCGUUCUCCAGAACAAUGGAGCGAGCUAAUGACUUACUGGAAAUAAUACAUACCGAUGUAUGCAGUCCGAUGAGUGUUGAGGCACGCGGUGGGUAUCAUUAUUUUCUGACCUUCACGGAUGAUUUGAGUAGGUAUGGAUAUAUCUACUUGAUGAAACACAUCUAAAACAUUUGAAAAGUUCAAGGAAUUUUGGAGUGAAGUAGAGAAUCAUCAUAAGAAGAAGAUAAAAUUUCUACGAUCUGAUCAUGGAGGUGAACAUUUGAGUUACGAGUUUGGCCUUCAUAUAAAAUAACGUGGAAUUGUUUCUCAACUCAUGCCACCUCGAACACCACAACGUAAUGGUGUGUCCAAACACCAUAACCACAUUUUAUUAGAUAUGGUGCGUUUUAUGGUGUCUCUUACCGAUUUACCACUAUUUUUUGGGUUAUGCAUUAGAGACAGCCGCAUUCUUGUUAAAUAGGGCACCGUCUAAAUCCGUUGAGAUGACACCGUAUGAACUAUGGUUUGGCAAGAAACCUAAGCUGUCGUUUCUUAAAGUUUGGGGAUGCGACACUUAUGUCAAAAGGCUUCAGCCUGAUAAGCUCGAACCCAAAUUGGAGAAUUGCGUCUUCAUAGGAUACCCUAAGGAAACUAUCGGUACACCUUCUACCACAGAUCCAAAGGCAAGAUCUUUGUUGCUAAGAAUGGGUCCUUUCUAGAGAAGGAGCUUCUAUCGAAAGAAGUGAGUGAGAGGAAAGUAGAACUUGAUGAGGUAAUUAUACCUUCUCUUGAAUUGGAAAGUAGCACAUCAGAGAAAACCGUUCCCGUGAUGCCUACACCAACUAGAGAGGAAGAUAAUGAUGAUGAUCAUGAAACUUCGGAUCAAGUUACUACUGGACCUUUUAGGUCGACCAGAGCAUGUUCUGCACUAGAGUGGUACGUACUCCUGUCCUGGAAGUCAUGUUAUUAGACCAUGGUGAACCUACAAACUAUGAAGAAGCUAUGAUGAGAUAGGAUCCAUGUAUGAGAACAAAGUAUGGACUUCGGUGGACUAGCCCGAUGAUCGGCAAGCCAUUGAGAAUAAAUGGAACUUCAAAAAGAAGACGGAUGCUGAUGGUAAUGUCACUAUCUACAAAGCUCAACUUGUCAGAAAAUGUUUCCGACAAGUUCAAGGGGUUGACUACGAUGAGACUUUCUCGCCCGUAGCGAUGCUUAAAUCUGUUCAAAUCAUGUUAGCAAUUGCCGCAUUUUAUAAUUAUGAAAUCUUGUAAAUGGACGUCAAAACUGCAUUCCUUAAUGGAUUUCUUAAAGAGAGUUGUAUAUGAUGCAACUAGAAGGUUUUGUCGAUCCUAAAGGUGCUAACAAAGUGUGCAAGCUGCAAAGAUCCAUCUAUGGACUGGUGCAAGCAUCUCGGAGUUGGAAUAUACGCUUUGAUGAGGUGAUUAAAGCAUAUGGUUUUAUACAGACUUACAAUGAAGUCUAUAUUUACAAGAAAGUGAGUGGGAGCUCUGUAGCAUUUCUGAUAUUAUAUGUGGAUGACAUAUUUGUUGAUUGGAAAUGAUAUAGAAUUUUUGGAUAGCAUAAAAGGAUACUUGAAUAAGAAUUCUUUAAUGAAAGACCCUGGUGAAGCUGCUUAUAUAUUUGGCAUCAAGAUCUAUGGGGAUAGAUCAAGAUGCUUAAUAGGACUUUAACAAAACACAUACCUUGAAAAAGUUUUGAAGAAGUACAAAAUUGAUCAGUCAAAGAAAGGGUUCUUGCCUAUGUUACAAGGUAUGAAAUUUAGUCAGACUCAAAGCCUGACCACUGCAAAAGAUAGAGAUAAAAUGAAAGUCAUUCCCCAUGCCUCAGCCAUAGGUUCUAUCAUGUAUGAUAUGCUGUGUACCAGACCUGAUGUGUGCCUAGCCAUAAGUUUGGCAGGUUUCGGUGUCAAAACAGGCGGAUCUCGGAUAGGGGAUCCCGAACUGUGCAUCUAAGGCUAAUGGUAACACGAGGCGGGGGACACAAUGUUUACCCAGGUUUGGGCCCUCUCGAUGGAGGUAAUACCCUACUUCCUGCUUGAUUGAUCUUGAUGAUAUGAGUAUUACAAGAGUUGAUCUACCACGAGAUCGAAGAGGCUAAACCCUAGAAGCUAGCCUAUGGUUAUGAUUGUUCUCCUCCUAUGGACUAAACCCUCCGGUUUAUAUAGACACUGGAGGGGGCUAGGGGUUACACAGAGUUGGUUACAAAGAAAGGAAUCUUCAUAUCCAAAUCGCCAAGCUUGCCUUUCACGCAAAGGAGAGUCCCAUCCGGACAUGGGAUGAAGUCUUCUAUCUUCUAUCUUCAUAUCCCAACAGCCCGGCAUACACAUAUAGUCCGGUUGUCCAAGGACCCCUUAAUCCAGGACUCCCUCAGUAGCCCCUAAACCAGGCUUCAAUGACGAUGAGUCCUGCGCGCAGAUUGUCUUCGGCAUUGCAAGGCGGGUUCCUUCUCUGAAUAGUCCAAAGUAGAUCUUGACCAAAAGAAUCGUGUCCGGCUCUGCAAAAAAAAAUUCCACAUACCAUGGUAGAGAGUACAGUAUCCCAUGAAUCCAAUCUGAUGACAGCUCAUAGCAUGACAUCACGCCGCGGUCGGGUCUUUAUUCGAACCAUUUUUAUCCUUCCCCUCCGUAUUUCGAGGCACGGUUUCAUUGGCACGUCUUGUCGAAGCAGAGAUCGUGUCCCCUUAUCACGGGAUUCUCACCAACGCGGGCGUGGGUAACCCAACCGUGCCAUCAGCACGACGCUUGGGAAAUAAGCAAGUUUUAGGGCGUACGGGGAGGCGCACGAUUUUUACUUCCUUUAUAAGGGGAUAAGGAUUCCCCUCUUUCACCCACGCCCUCUUCUUCCUCUGCUCAUUCAUCCUCGAGCUCCAACGCACAAGCACCCAUCUCUUCCGCCCCAAAAAGCACUCCCAUCAUGUCCGGAUCCGGAGCUGGAGGCAAGUGGAUGGACUCCUCCGUCAAGAAGGAGGACAUCAAGAAGCUCCGGGAGGCCGAGUACUUGUCCAAAGACAUCGCUCAUUGGCUUCCGGCCAAAGGGCAGAUCAUCCCUACCCCGGAGCCCCAAGAAAGGGUGGUAUUUCUUUCCCACUUCGUUCGCGGGCUGGGGUUCCCCCUCCACCCGUUCGUCUGUGGACUGAUGUUCUACUACGGGCUAGACUUCCACGACUUGGCCCCCAACUCCAUCCUCAACAUUUUGGCAUUCAUUGUCAUGUGUGAGUCCUUCCUCCGCAUCCCACCUCACUUUGGCCUAUGGCUGAAGACCUCCAAUGUGAAGCCCAAGGUGGUGAGCGGCGAACAAGCAGAGUGCGGAGGCGCUAUGGUGGGAAAGAUGCCCAAUGUCACCUGGCCCGAAGGCUCCUUUGUAGAGACCACAAAGGGGUGGCAAUCAGGGUGGUUCUACAUUACCGAACCGUGCGGCGCCAACUGGGCGGCGACCCCCGAAUUCUGAUCCGGAGUCCCCAUGCGGCUCACCUCUUGGCAAGAGAAGGGUUUAGCCUGGAGCUCAUUGGAAGAAGUGACUGGGCUCCAGACAUGUGUCCAGAACAUGAUUGACAAGAAAAUCAAGCUUGUGAACGUGAUCCAGGUCAUGCUCUUCCGCCGGAUUCUUCCGUGCCAGAGCCGGACUUGUAAUUUGUGGGAGUUCGACCCGGUCAAGCACCAGACACUACUGGAGCUCUUUGAUACGACACAUAAGACAUCUGGAAGGUGCUUUUUAAGGCCGGCGAGGUUCCACCGCCCACAUUCGAAGACCGCGAGCUUGCGCAAGACGCCGGGCUAAUCCGGUAAGUUCUUUUAUGUUUGCAAGAUAUAUCUUUUUGCCGGCAUAUCCGUGGGAGGAACCUAAGCCUCCAUGCCAAUCUCUCAGGCCUGGGUAACGAUCGUGGAGCAGAUCGAAUGUCCGACUCUGCUGCCCGAAGAUCAAUAAACGCCUCUUCUGACGAAGUUGCUAUUUCCGGCGCCUUAUGAGGUGUCGGAGAAGAAAACCAAGAAGGCGGCCAAGGGGACCAUAGGUGGUCUCCGACGCAAGGGAGUUUCAGACGUGACGUCUGAAGACGCCGAGGCGCACUCCUCCGCCGAAGACGACGGGGAGGNNNNNNNNNNNNNNNNNNNNNNNNNNNNNNNNNNNNNNNNNNNNNNNNNNNNNNNNNNNNNNNNNNNNNNNNNNNNNNNNNNNNNNNNNNNNNNNNNNNNNNNNNNNNNNNNNNNNNNNNNNNNNNNNNNNNNNNNNNNNNNNNNNNNNNNNNNNNNNNNNNNNNNNNNNNNNNNNNNNNNNNNNNNNNNNNNNNNNNNNNNNNNNNNNNNNNNNNNNNNNNNNNNNNNNNNNNNNNNNNNNNNNNNNNNNNNNNNNNNNNNNNNNNNNNNNNNNNNNNNNNNNNNNNNNNNNNNNNNNNNNNNNNNNNNNNNNNNNNNNNNNNNNNNNNNGAAGAGGAAGGCCUCCACAUAUGGGGAGGCCGAGGCGCCCAAGAAGGGAAAAAUCUCCCUUCCGGACUACUCCGCCGCAGCCACCAAUAGCAGCGAGGAGUGGGGGGCCAGGGUCAAGCCCCUGGCCAAAUUGUAAGUAUAUUUCCGAGCUUUUUCACCUUAUCGUUUUUAAUGUGUUAGACCAUGCAUCUGCAGUCCGGCCCAAUCCAACAUCGAGCUCUCCUCCUCUUCGAAGGGGUCGCUGGAUCCGUCAGUGAUGAACAGCAGGUCCCUUCCAACGGCCACCUCCCAUAAGGCCGCGGACAACACUGAUGUGUUGUCCCGAAGGAUACCGGGCCAAGGGAAGGCUGUUCCGGUGAUGCCGGAGGAAAGAAGUCUGGUCGUCGAGCACAUGGGGGGAAAGACCCCUAGACCCCGACGAUGAGGGCCGAGUCCAGUUCGGUCCUCAGCCAGAUACAGCUCCGGAGACCCAAGUGGCUCCGAAUUUGGGAAGGCAGUCUCUCCCUAACGAGGGGGGCAAGCCGCCUCCGCCGGUGACCUCUGUCCGCCUAGAGGCACCGGACAGAUUGUUGGAAGCGCUACAAGGCGCUUCCAUUAUGGAAGAACACCAUACUCUUAUGAGUACGGUGAUUGUGAAAGUCCAGGCCGCCAAAAACAGACUGACCGAAACCUGCCUUAGCCUUCUAACAGGCUUUGAGGUAAGUACUGUAGUUGUAAAAGAAUAUCACCUUGUAGACAGUAGCCCCUGAUGCUCUGUUCGGUGUUCGGAAAGAAAAACCAAACGGAGGAUCAAAAUAAUUUUCGCAGGAGUCUAACAUAGCAUGUCUAUGUGAACAAGCAGGCGUCGCUGCUACCCAUUGCCGCUCAUACUGCGGAGGUCUCUGACUUGACGCGGAAUCUGGAGCGGGCCGAGGAAGAACUCGGCCUCGUGAAGAAGCAACUAGAGGACGACCGAGGUCUACACUAACUGGUGCUUUAUAUUUGGGAAGGAUGAAAAGUUCAUACUGACUGAAGUGUCAUGAACUUUAUUAGGGGUCGCGACCAAAGUAGCGGCCCUUAAGAAGGCGUUGGCCGAGGCCGAGGACAAAGCGGCUAAGGAACGCGCCGCGCGCGAGAAGUAGGAGGCCCAGGUUGGCGAGGUCCAGCAAGAGCUUCAGGACGUUGUCAAAAAGUACGAAUCAUUGGAGCGUAAUUCGAAGAUUCAAGAGUCCGAACUUGCCAAGGCCCGCCAGGGCAUGCAAGAUGCCCGAGCCGAAGCCCAGAGCACCCUCCGGGAAAUCCAGGUGGCCCAGGAGAUCGCGGCGGGUAAGGCUUUUAUUAUGCAAAGCAAGUGUGUGAAUGAAACGUUCCCUUUACUUACCCGAAUUUGGAGUUCUACAGGAGCGUUUGCGGAUCUACCGUGUAGUAUAUCAGAUGCUGCCGAAUUCUUUCGAUCCGAAGAAGGGAGCUCUACGGAGAAGUUGUUCUAGUCUCAAUACCUUGGAUCGGAACAUCCGGUGCCCCUUAGCGACCAGCUAAAACAGUUGGUCGAGCUGCACAAGGUGGCCGAACUGGCAAUCACAGUAGUUCUCCCUUUACUACCCUAGUCGAUAUAGCGGAACGUAGGGUAGCAAGCACAGGAGCCGGGCAACCCAACUAUUGACCAAAGACAUGAUUCGGAGCCGAUGCAUAUAGUGCUAUAAGUUCGGGGUGCCGAACUAUACUAUAAACGUGUUCCGACUUUUUUGCCGUGUUAUGGGGACAAUGACGCCCCUGGCGAAUUAAGGCGUACCAUAAUGUAUGGGUGCAAUUGAAAAUAAAUGGACAAGAAAAAAUUGAAGUAAUGGGUAAACGCUGCAGAUUAUUUUUCAUUGUAAGUUGAUUGAUACGUCAAGGUGUAUCUAUACAAAGUAGUGCAAUAAGCAAAUAAGGCUAUUUAACAUGCCACGACCAAGAGCGAGUUGCGUGCGGGUAUUUAAAAUAGGUAUGACGAUCAUUAGCAAAGACCACCUGGGUAUCCCUUGUAUGUCCGAACCCCUAGCUUUCUUGGCGUAUCCGUCCCGCUACGGGUCCGAUGAACACGUUUAUCAAAAAAGGCCUUGAGAGGUGAAAAAACCUGAAAGAAAGAGAAAAAGUGAAGGUAUGCGGAUCCAGGAGCGGGUGAGCUGCAUUGUGGGCCGCAAUCUUAGUUGUGCCUCCGUCCAUGCCCAUGGUAUUUUAAGUGCGUAGUUGUGUACGCGCGGCACGAAUUUCGCCGCUUUAUUGGGGCUGGGAUGAAAGCUAGAUUGCUAGCUGAGCUGUGGACGAGCCGGAUGGUCCUGUUGCGGAGUAGCACGGACCCGCUUAACGGUGUCCGGGGGCUUUAUUGCCGAAUUGAGGUUUUGCCUAAGGAGGUUGUUCUAUACUUAUGGUGCAAGGGCCGCGGUAUGCUCCUCAGUACGGAGGGAGCGCUCCGUAUUUCCAUUGACUGUUAUAACACCGCGGGGUCUGGGCAUCUUGAGCUUAAGGUAGGCAUAGUGCGACACCGCAUUGAAACGGGCAAAUGCGGUUCGUUCGAGCAGUGCGUGAUAACCACUGUGGAAGGGGACGAUAUCGAAGAGUAGCUCUUCGCUUCGGAAAUUAUCCGGGGAUCCGAAGACCACUUCUAGUGUGAUUGAGCCCGUGCAGCAGGCCUCUACACCUGGUAUGACACCUUUAAAGGUGGUUUUGGUGGGCUUGAUCCUUGAGGGAUCAAUACCCAUUUUGCAUGUUGUAUCCUAGUAAAGCAGGUUCAGGCUGCUACCACCAUCCAUGAGGACGCGUGUGAGGUGGAAUCCGUCAAUGAUAGGGUCAAACACCAGUGCGGCUGAACCGCCGUGACGGAUACUAGUUGGAUGGUCCCUUCGAUCGAAGGUGAUCGAACAGGAGGACCAAGGGUUGUAUUUUGGGGCGACUAGCUCCAUCGCGUAGACGUCCCUUAGUGCGCGCUUCCGCUCCCUUUGGGGAUAUGGGUAGCAUAUAUCAUGUUCACCGUUUUCACUUGGGGGGGGGGGACUUCUUCUGUCCCCCUGUGUUCUGCGGUCGGGUUCCUCGUCGUCGUCACUUUGCGAUCCCUUUUCCUUGUUUUCAGCAUUUAACUUGCCGGCCUGUUUAAAGACCCAACAUUCUCUAUUGGUGUGAUUGGCUGGUUUAUCAGGGGUGCCGUGGCUUUGACAUGGACGAUCGAGUAUGCGGUCCAGACUGGACGGGCCCAGAUUGUUUCUUUUAAAAGGAUUUUUCCGCUGAUUGGACUUAGAGCCACUGAAUCCGGCAUUGAUGGUCGUGUCUUCGGUGUUAUCGCCAUUAUUUCGACGCUUGUGUCUGUUGCGUCGGGGCUUGCCAUUGCUGUCUUUGGCUUUGGAAGUGCCAGGUUUGCUUGAGAUGUUGUUGCUACGAGCUAGCCAGCUAUCCUCACCCACACAAAAGUGAGUCAUGAGCGUCGUGAGGGCUGCCGUGGACUUCGGCUUCUCUUGGUCGAGGUGUCGGGCGAGCCACUUGUCGCAGAUGUUAUGCUUAAAGGCCGCUAGGGCUUUGGCAUCUGGACAGUCGAUGAUUUGGUUCUUUUUAGUUAAGAACCGAGUCCAGAAUUUCCUGGCUGACUCUCCAGGCUGUUGGAUUAUAUGACUUAAGUCAUCAGCAUCCGGAGGUCGGACAUAAGUGCCCUGGAAGUUGUCAAGGAAUGUGUCUUCCAGGUUCUCCCAACUGCCAAUAGAGUUUCCUGGUAGACUGUUCAACCAGUGCCUAGCUGGCCCUUUGAGUUUUAGCGGGAGAUACUUGAUGGCAUGGAGAUCAUCACCGCAGGCCAUAUGUAUAUGGAUAAGGAAGUCCUCGAUCCAUACCACGGGAUCUAUUGUUCCAUCAUAUGAUUCAAUGUUUACGGGUUUAAACCCUUCUGGGAAUUCAUGCUCCAUUACUUCGUCAGUGAAGCGGAGGGGGUGUGCGGCACCUCUGUGUCGGGCUAUGCCCGAACGUAGCUCGAAUGGAGCCGGUCUGCGGUAUUCGGCCUGGACAGGUUUGUGCUUGUUAUAUCCGGCUUGGCGGCCGUCAUUGCACAUUGGGGCGCACCCCCGCGAUCCGUAGAUCGAUCUGGUUUGUCCUGCUCUAUUUUCCAAAUUGUACCGCGGGUCAUGUGUGUAUCCCUGAGCUGUUGUGUUUGUAUUUGUUCGGCGAGGUAGUGUCGGCUGGUGCUCGUGCUGAAUUGCCGUUUUAUCUCGGCCACGUGGUGGACGAUCAGCCGCAUUAUGCGCUGGUAGUGCCAGCUCUGGUGCCUCGUCAUCGAAUUGAGGUAGCAAUUUGCACUUUGGGUAACUUUUUGUUGGGCGUUCGAGUCUGUAUUCCUCGGCUCCCAGGACCUCGGUCCAUCUAUCAGUGAGCAGAUCUUGAUCAGCUUGAAACUGUUGCUGCUUCUUCUUCAGGCUUUUUGCAGUGGCUAUAACCCGGCGCUUGAAAUGCUCCUGCUCAACGGGAUCCUCUGGGACGAUAAAUUCUUCGUCGCCGAGGCUCACCUCGUCCUCGGAGAGGGGUAUGUAAUUGUUGUCUUCCGAGUCGUCAUUCACGGCCUGUUCGUCGGGGUUGGCUCGCCCAUCUUCCCGUCCAGCCUCUUCAAAACUUGGCUUGGCGGGGUCUUCGUUGUCUUCAGCAUCGUCCGGAGUGCUAUUCUCUCUUGUGCCGGUAUCGCUAUUUUUACCAUGGCGUGACUUAGAGCGGCGCCGCUGACAUCGGCACUUAGACUGCUUCUCAGGAAGUUUAUCCUCAACUGGAUCUUUUAUGUCAUCGCCAUUGUCUUCUUUGGGUGUAUCCACCAUGUAUAUAUUGUAUGAGGAGGCGACUGUCCAGCUCCCUAUUGGCGGUGGUUCCUGUUCUUCUCCAGCAUCGUCGUCCAUACCGUCGAUGUCUUCGUUGUCGAAAUCAAGCAUGUCGGUCAAAUUGUCAACAAUGGCUAUCAAGUGGGUGGUGGGUGGGUAACGAAGUUCUUCGUCGCCCGCUUGCCACUCAAGCCAGACAUAGUUCGGCCAAGGAUCUCCUGACAAGGAGAGGGACUUUAAUGAGUUUAACACAUCGCCUAAGGGCGAGUGUUGGAAGAUGUCCGCGGAGCUGAACUCUAAGAUCGGCGCCUGGUCAGAUUCGAUGGGUGCAGAUACGCGGGGUUCGGAGCCUAUGGCCGGAGAUGAGUCCGAGGCUGUGAUGACACAGGCCUCGUUGGAGGUUAGAUCUGUGUCCGUCUCUAGCACCGUUGAGUUUGCGGCUUCCGUGGCGAGGUUGAGCCUCCCGUCCCCGAAUGGCGCGCUCUGCUCUGGAUCUAGGGCCAGUGCAGUUACAUGCGCAAUCUCCCGCACGCCAUCUGAUGACAGAUUUAGGUCAUCUUCAUCGUGGCGGCGGGGCGCGACUGUCUUGGGCUCGAAUACGUCAAAGAUCAAGUCUCCGUGAAUAUCGGCGGUGUAGUUCAAGCUUCCAAACCUGACCUGAUGGCCAGGGGCGUAGCUGUCGAUCUGCUCCAGAUGGCCAAGCGAGUUGGCCCGCAGUGCGAAACCGCCAAAUAAGAAGAUCUGUCCGGGGAGAAAAACUUCACCCUAGACGACAUUGUUGUGGAUGAUUGAAGGAGCCAUCAAGUCUUAUGGUGGCGACACAGUGGAACUCUCAAUGAAAGCACCAAUGUCGGUGUCAAAACCGGCGGAUCUCGGGUAGGGGUCCCGAACUAUGUGUCUAAGGCUAAUGGUAACAGGAGGGCGGGGACACAAUGUUUACCCAGGUUCGGGCCCUCUCGAUGGAGGUAAUACCCUACUUCCUGCUUGAUUGAUCUUGAUGAUAUGAGUAUUACAAAAGUUGAUCUACCACGAGAUCGGAGAGGCUAAACCCUAGAAGCUAGCCUAUGGUUAUUAUUGUUCUCCUCCUACGGACUAAACCCUCCGGUUUAUAUAGACAUCGGAGGGGGCUAGGUUUACACAGAGUCGGUUACAGAGAAAGCAAUCUUCAUAUCCGAAUCGCCAAGCUUGCCUUCCAUGCAAAGGAGAGUCCCAUCCGGACAUGGGACGAAGUCUUCUAUCUUGUAUCUUCAUAUCCCAACAGUCCGGCAUACGCAUAUAGUCCGGCUGUCCGAGGACCCCUUAAUCCAGGACUCCCUCAGCAGGGAGGUACCAAAGUAAUCCAGGAGUGGAUCACUAGACAAAAUUCAAGAACAUCCUAGUACCUAAAAAGGACCAAGGAAAUUUUUCUCGGUUAUGGAGGUGACAAAGAGCUUGUCAUAAAUGGUUAUGUCGAUGCUAGCUUCGACACUGAUCCGGAUAACUCUAAGUCAUAAACCGGAUACGUAUUUAUAUUGAAUGGUGGAGCUGUCAGUUGGUGCAGUUCCAAGGAGAGUGUUGUGGCGGGAUCUAUGUGUGAAGCCGAGUACAUAGCUGCUUCAGAAGCAGCGCAUGAAGGAGUCUGGAUGAAGGACUUCAUAUCCAAUCUGGGUGUAAUACCCAGUGCAUCGGGUUCAACGAAAAUCUUUUGUGACAACACUGGAGAAAUUGCCUUAGUGAAGGAAUACAGGUUUCACAAGAGGACCAAACACAUUAGGAGACGCUUCAACUCCAUUAGUGAAAAGGUCAAGGAUGGAGACAUAGAAAUUUGCAAAAUACAUACGGAUCUGAAUGUAGCAGACCCAUUGACUAAGCCUCUUCCGCGAGCAAAACAUGAUCAAUACCAAGACUCCAUGGGUGUUAGAUUGAUUACAAUGUAAUCUAGAUUAUUGACUCUAGUGCAAGUGGGAGACUGAUGGAAAUAUGACCUAGAGGCAAUAAUAAAGUUGUUAUUAUUAUAUUUCCUUAUUCAUGAUAAAGGUUUAUUAUUCAUGCUAGAAUUUUAUUGACUAGAAACUUAAAUACAUGUGUGGAUACAUAAACAAAUACCGUGUCCCUAGUGAGACUCUACUAGACUAGCACGUUGAUAAAAAGAUGGUUAAGGUUUCCUAACCAUAGACAUGUGUUGUCACUUGAUAACGGGAUCACAUCAGAAUGAUGUGAUGGACAAGACCCAUCUGUUAGCUUAGCAUAUGAUCGUUCAGUUUAUUGCUAUUGCUUUCUUAAUGUCAAAUACAUAUUCCUUCGACUAUGAGAUCAUGAAACUCCCGGAUGCCGGAGGAAUAUCUUGUGUGCUAUCAAACGUCACAACAUAACUGGGUGAUCAUAAAGAUUCUCUACAGGUAUUUCCGAAUGUGUCUGUUGAGUUGGCAUGGAUUGAGAUUAGGAUUUGUCACUCCGUGUAUCGGAGAGGUAUCUCUGGGCCCUCUCGGUAAUACACAUCACAAGUAGCUUUCAAGCAAAGUGACUAAGGAGUUAGUUACGAGAUGAUGUAUCACUACUAGGGAAAAGCCUAUACAUAGGAUCUUACCAGCAGCGAGUUUUAAAAUAAGACGCUGCUGCAAUUUAUCAGUAGCGCGCUCCACCAGAACUCGCUGCUGAAAUAGAAGUAGCAGUAGCGCGCCUCCACUAAGCCACGCUACUGCUACAAUUCCCACGACCCUGCCACGAAGCUAGUUAUAGCAGCAACGUGUUAAUUAGAAGGGCGCUACUACUAGGUAGUUUAGUAGUAGCGCCUUUACCUAUACCACGCUACUGCUAAAACUAGCUACCUUCCACCACCCAUGCUCUCCUCUAUCCAAUCCACACUCACACUCACACUCACUCGACCUCCCCCUCAACCCCCCUCCCCCCGCGCCGGUCCUCUCCCGCCGGCCGCCGGCGCCUACCCCUCCUCCCUCUACGCCGUCGUCACCUCCUCCUCCUUGCUGGACUCGGUACCGCCCUCCUCCUCCUCCGUCCUUCCUCGACUCGCCGCCGGCCGGCCCCUCCUCGCUCCGCCAUUCCUCCUCCAUCCUACUCUCUCCUUCCUCCUCCAGUCGCCCCUCCUUCUCCCACCUCCCUCCUCCAUCCACAACCCCUCCUCCCUACUACAUUUUGAUUUAGUAGGCUAGUUCAUAUGCAACAUUUUGAUUUAGUUCAUAUGAUUUAGUUGAUUUAGUAGGCUAGUUGAUUUAGAACAUUUUGAUUUUGUUGAUUUAGUAGGCAAGUUGAUCUAGUAGGCUAGUUGAUUUAGUUGAUUUAUAGAACAUUUUGAUUUAGUCGAUUUAGUAGGCAAGUUGAUUUAAUAGGCUAGUUGAUUUAGUUGAUUUAUAGAACAUUUUGAUUUAGUUGAUUUAGUAUGCUAGUUGAUAGCUCUGAAGAUUUGGCACUUGGCAGUUGGUUCUAUUCUAGAAGGUGCUAGUAAGCUAUAAAAAUAUAACUGAAGAAGAACCAAAAAAUCACAUGCUACUAUUUUUAUUUCGUGUGAAGUGGAUUGUUAAUCCUUUGCUCAUAUUGCUUUAGGAAAAUGGCGCCACCACCACCACCACCAUGUCAAUUGUGCAAGUCAAGAUGCGCCAGCAGCCUUGCAACUGGCAAGCUGCUCGGCAUCUACUUCCAGCCGAGUUUUCGUCAUGCGGCGGUAAGAAAUUAUAUGAAAUGUAACAACUAUUUUAUUUUUAAUGUUGGUAUUACUGCAUUGUGUCAUUUUGCUUUUUUUACACAGAUCGUCCCAUGCAAUGUGAGGUUGAAAUUCAAUAAGCUGACAGGAGACAUUAUGACAUUUGAGGCUCCUGGGGGCCGUACACUAUGGAGGUCGAGAAAGGAUGAAAUAUUUCGCAGAUUGUAGGAGAUGGAUGGGCCCGUUUCCUCGCCCGCAUGAGUCUUACUGGUGGUGAGUUGAUCAGCUUCUCCUUCAGAGCAGAAAGACCCAAGUUGGUUGUCAUUUAUAUCAACCUGGUGGAAGAUGAUGAAGAUGACCAAGAUGAUGAAGAUAAUGAGGACCCACUUGAUGAAGAUGAUGAGGACCCACUUCAUGAAGCCAUCAUAGCUCAAAGAAUGAGGCUGAGUGACGAGGAGGUGUGCAACCUAUGGGACAUAAUUCCACCACGUGCUGACUUUGUCGGAGUGCCAUUCGUGACCCGCCUAACAAGUACCAUGGUCGAUCGACAUGAUAUGGUAUGUUAUACUUACAAAUGCAAAAUAUUCGAUGAUAUGAUUAGUGUGGAGUCCAAUGAUAUAUUGUGUGGAAUCUAGUCGAUGAUAUGCUUUAGUGUAGAGUUCGAUCACAUGCUUAUUAGUGUGGAAUCUAAGGAACUAUUAAUAGUGUAGGUAAUCCAUAUAUACUUAUUUGCAAGAGUAUGUGUGAGGCUAUUUAUUAAUUGACAUGUUUUUCUUAUUCAGAAAUUGGCAAAGAGCCUAUCUGUGAGUUAUGGUAUCGAGCCUGAUGAAGAAGGCUCAGCUGGACUACGCCUUACCGCAAGGGGCUCCGUCACAACCUGUACUUACCGCAUGGACACGGACAGUCGCACACACUUAAACUCGGUUGGGUGGAAGAGGUUCCUCGAUGGCAAGAAUCUUCGUGUUGGACAGGCCAUCCUAAUUACUAUCAGGAACACCAACCGCCCAGGCUUGAGGAUGAUGAUCGUCUUCGAUAUCAUCUAGAACUACAUAUGUGUGUGUGUGGAUAUGUCAUCUAGAACUACAUAUGAUGAUCGUCGUCGAUAUCAUCUAGAACUACAUAUGAUGAUCGUCGUCGAUAUGAUCUUGUACUGCUUGAGGAUGCAUGUUGACUAUACAUGAAAUUGUUAUCCAGUACUCCCUUCGUUCCAAAUUACUCAUCGUGGUUUGAACUAAAACCACGACGAGUAAUUUGGAACGGAGGGAGUACUACCUAGUACCUAUAAUGCUUUAUGAAAUUGAUAUAUAGUAGUAACUAGUAUCUGGAUAUUGCGGUUUACUGAAACCGAAACGGGGUAGGAAGCGGGGGGAAAUUGAUGAAAGAUAUAGCAGUAGCGAGGGGCUAGGAAUCCGCUACAGCUAACUAAUAGUAGCGUGUUCCAGAAAAGCGCUGCUGAUAUAGUCAAUAGUAGUAGCGCGGGUGCUGACCGCGCUAUUACUAACAGUUAGCUGUAGCACAGUAAUAGUAGUGCGGCUGCUCGUGCUGCUGAUAGCCUCAAAACCUGUGCUACUACUAGGGUUUUCCCUAGUAGUGUAUUACAGAAUGAGUAAAGAGACUUGCCGAUAAUGAGAUUGAACUAGGUAUGAAGAUACCGACGAUUGAAUCUCGAGCAAGUAACAUACCGACAGACAAAGGGAAUUAUGUAUGUUGUCAUUAGGUUCGAUCGAUAAAGAUCUUCGUAGAAUAUGUAGGAACCAAUAUGGGCAUCCAGGUUCCACUAUUGGUUAUUAACCGGAGAGGCGUCUCGGUCAUGCCUACAUCAUUCUCGAACCCAUAGGGUCCGCACACUUAACGUUCGUUGACGAUAUAGUGUUAUAUGAGUUAUGUGAUUUGGUGACCAAAUAUUGUUCGUAGUCUCGAAUGAGAUCACGGACAUGACGAGGAGCUUCGGAAUAGUCCGGAGGUAAAGAUUGAUAUAUAGGACGAUGAUAUUUGGACACCAGAAAGGUUUCCAAGUGAACCGGGUAUUCAUCGGAUCACCGGAAGGGGUUCCAGGAGGCCCCGAGAGGUCUAUGGUCCUAAUGGUCCAAGGGGAGGCAUAGACCAGCCCACAAGGGGGCUGGCGCGCCCUCUCCCUGGCCGCCGGCCCUAGAGAAGGAAAGGAAGGAGGGCUAGCCCCUCCCGCCUUCCCCUCCUCAUGGGAGAAAGGAAAGGGGGGGCACCCCCUCUCGCUUUCUCCCUGGUGCCAUACAAGGAAGGGGGCGCUAGAGGGCAGGAGUCCAAGGAGGCCGGCCGACCAACCUUGGGGCGCCUCCUGGCUAUCUCCCCUCCCUCCACUAUAUAUAUAUAGCCGUGUGUGACGCCCCUCUCCACAGUUUAGUCCUCCGUCCAGUUUCUCCGCACUGCUCGGCGAAGCCCUGCGGGAACGAGUUCAGCGUCACCAUCACCACGCCGUCGUGCUGCCGGAACUCAUCUACUACUUCGUCCGUCUUGCUGGAUCAAGAAGGCGAGGACGUCAUAUGUGUGUUGAACGCGGAGGUGAUGUAUGUUCGGUACUUGAUUGGUUGGAUCGCGAAGAAGUUCGACUACAUCAACCGCGUUAAUAAACACUUCUGCUUUACGGUCUACGAGGGUACGUAGACAUAAUCUCCCCUCUCGUUGCUAUGCAUCUCCUUAAAUAGAUCUUGCGUGUGCGUAGAAUUUUUUUUCCCAUGCAACGUUCCCCAAUAGUCGUAUCCCACCUUGAUCACACGAGUGGGUAUGAGAGGAAGACGAGGUCGUCGGACCAUCACAACACCACACGUAGAGUAUGAUUGGACUUGUGACAUAUGCACGUGUGUCGAGCAACUAGUGCUUCUCCUAAGACAUAAAAAGUCAAUAGUUUAUUAGUAUGCAAAAUUCGCUAAUCGACUUUUCUACCCAUAUGUAAUAACUUUGUAAUGCAAUAUUAUCUCAAAUUGGCGUUUUAAUCCUUCAAAUUGAGUGUGAUUAUUGAGUUGAUGUAACCAAAAAAUGAAGGUUGUGUUAUGACGACUCUAUGUUUGCGCAUAGCCAUUGCAACAUCUAACGUAUAUGGAGCACGCUCAAUAUCUCAUCGACUCUACAAGAAUUUAUCUUAGUUUAUAGUUUAAAUAAUUAUUAGUUGUUUGAUCAAUGUAAAGUCAUCGUGCAGUUCUUCUUCUGCCCAAGUUAUUAGGAAUGAAAUCGACAAAAUGACAUGUGGGUCCUACUUGCAGGGAAAAAAUGGAUGCUGCAUUACGACGACUUUGUGCUUCCACAUAGGCACGGCCCCCAUAUGCCAUAUGAUGAUUGCACUUGUGGUGACUCUGCUAGGGUCGAUCUAAGCAAUGGUACCAACGGGAAAAGACAUGUUUGCCAAGGCAGGAAAUUAGUAGGUUCCCUUCAAACUAAGCCAUAAGCCAAAAUAAAAUCUCUUAAGGACCUUCGACGUCUUACAAAUAAGCUAAUAAAAAAUCUUCUGCGUUUUUGGGCACGCAGAGAGAAACAACAAGGUUUACUAUGGAAUAACCAAGGUAUGGCCAUAUUUAAGACCUUUUUCAAAGGAAGACAUCAGAGAGAAAGAUUUGUUGCUUUCUUAGACAGGAAUGAUAGCUGGCGAACGUUUCCCGGGAGCCCAAUCCCGACGAACGCCUCCGGAACCAUCACAUUUGCAUCCAACAGUGGUAGUUUUCUGCCCAAAAAUUUAAUUUAAAUAAACUGCCAUGGCAGUUUUGUAAAAUGCCAACCUAGCCUCCCCUAAUACAUGUUCAAUUGCCACCCGGGCGUUCACAACUGCCAUGUCCAACAUUAAAAAAUGUAAGAGAGUCAAGUUGGGGUCUAUGUUAAUAGAGCUCUUAACUAGGGACAUGAUGAGUUAUGACAUGAAAUGUCUGGUUUGUAACAAACUUUUGUACCAAAAACUAAAGACCGAAUACAAUAAAGAAAGGGAAUUGAUAGUAAUUACUCGAUGAUUCACGAGAAGGACAAUUGUUGACUUUAAAAGGAUGAUUUAUUGAUUAUUUGUUUGGCGGAACCAAAAGUAAAAUUUGGUGUGGACAAGGAACCUGUAAAAACACCUAAUUUGUAGUAUGGAGAAAAGAGAAAUGAGGGAGGAAAUGACUACAAUUAUUAUUGUAACUAGUAGGUGUUUUUUUACUUCUUUGGCCCUUGUACAAUAGUUGUGUUACUUCAAACCAAAAAUCAAACUUAUCAAAAAAUGAAAUAUUUUUGGUUAAGUCUAUUUUUCGUAUUCAAUAUACAUGGUCGCAUACACUCGAUUUAUAUUAGUGAGAGGAGCAGUGCGCGUGCAAGAUCACUAACUUGAUAAAUUUAAAAAUAAACACAAAUAUUAUAGAAAUUUUAACAUGGCCCCAAACUAGUCUUCCGUAUUCUUUGGUCCAAGGGCCAUAUGAUCUUUUUUCUUACAAGAGGAAAUAUUAAUAAAAUAGGGAAAAAAGGCAUCAAUUAAUAAUAUGAAAAUAUAUUGCUAAGCGCUCUUGCAACAUCAAGUAUUAAGUUAAAUUCAGAACGGUACAUACUUUAACUUGUACAUACGUCAACAUGUUUGCAAAGUUAAUAAAUUACUAAUUUGACAUGUGAAUGUAAUUCUACAUAGAACUUUCAAUUAUUGCAUUUCUUUUCAAUCAAAUUUUAGUUUCUUCAAAACAAAAACUAAGAAUCCGUCCAGAAUAGCUUGUUCCACAUACACAAUUAACUUAGAUUUAUUUAUUUAUCGGAUUUGGUAAGGCACACACAAUUUGUCUGAGCCACACAUUUUUUUCAAUAUGUUAGGGAUUCUCUUCUUUGUUGAGGCUUCUUGAUACGAAAAGUGAUAUUUUAUAAAUUGUUUACUCCUUGCAGUCUAGAGAUGACAUGCGAAAAUCAAAGUUUCGCCUCCAUCCCGCCGGGGAUACUCCUUCGUCAUGCCGGUUGUUCGAUGCCAUUGUCAGUCAUUGCAUUCAUGUGAUUAUCAGCAGCAGGAUCGAGCUCCCUUUUGAGGAUCAGAUUGAUUACAUCGAGUUCUCGCUUUCCUUCUAAGUUGAAGAAGUUCUAGAAAAUGAUUACUUGUUCAACCAACUCAGACAGAUGCCUAAAGAGAAGUGGGUUGAGAUGUGGUCAAAGCUGAAAAAUGUCUCUAGUCACUAUGAAUUCCAAUAUCCCCCCAGGAAGGAUGAUGCGGUGAACAUGAUAUGGCGGCAGGUGAGGCACAAAAUCCCCGCAGUUAACCUUGCGAUCCACAGGAGUAGGAGACUAAAAGUUCCAGACUGGUGGUGAGCAUUUGGUGAAUUGUGUACAUAUUCUCAUAUCGAUGGCGAAACCGGCAUCAUUCAUAUGGUUCAUGACGAAGCCAUGGCGGUCAUUCCUUGUGCACCAUGACACUGGAUCCAGGAAGAUGUACUGACAGACACUAACAUUUUUGCCCCUUUUUGUUGAUCUUACGACACCGUAACCAUUACUCCCCCUUGAGGUCAUGAUAUAGUGAGAACGUGUAGUUAUGUUACAGAGCUGGCUUGCCCGGCAGAAGCAUGUGCAUUAGAAACACACUUACAAACAUGUGUACCAACAGACUGGAUGUUGCAAUGUAUUCAAGUAGAUAUAAUUUCUCUUA
rnacentral:lncRNA from 1 species